UUACAUGGUUCAAGUAAAAACUUGUAUUUGUGAUAUUUUGUGUAGUGUUUCACCUGUUCCUUAUUGACGUUUUUAGCCCCUUUAUAAUCUUACAUUUUCUUUCCACGCCGGUUUUUUUUUUUUUUUGGUUUCUGCAGCUACUCUCUGAAGAAAAGCACAAAAACUAUGGGGGCAUACUUGAGGAAUACAGAUCAAAAGCCGAGUUCUACAUCUGUUCAUGCCUAAACAAAAACAAUGGCAUCAACAACAUUGACCGGACCAAUGGUGGCCUAUUGUUCACACGCCAGUGGAACAACAUGCAAUAUGUAUCAUCUGCGUCUUUUCUUCUAACAGUCUACUCGGAUUUUCUUGCAAAUUUAAACCAACACCUGAGUUGCCCGAGAGGAAAUGCCUCACCAGGGGAACUUUUGGCUCUAGCCAAAUCUCAGGUCGAUUAUAUUUUAGGCUUGAACCCCAAAAACAUCAGUUACUUGGUGGGAUAUGGUUUAAACUAUCCGACCAAAGUGCACCACAGGGGUGCAUCAAUUGUCUCGUAUAGAGAAAAGAAAGGGUUCAUUGGGUGCACUCAGGGGUAUGACGAGUGGUACAGUCACAACGGGUCAAAUCCCAACGUUCUAGUUGGAGCUCUGGUGGGAGGCCCUGACCGAGACGAUGAGUUUCUUGAUGAUAGAGGAAAUUAUGUGCAAACUGAGGCAUGUACAUAUAACACAGCCCCCCUUGUUGGGGUUCUUGCAAAGUUGAAUCAAUUGUAUGGUUUGCAGUUGAUUGGUUCUUAUUAGAUAUUUAGAGAUGCAGAUGUAGUAGGAAUUUAGGAUGUUCUAAUAUCAGGGUGAAAAACCUACUAGCUGAGUAUCAUCAAUUUGCAUUUUUGUACUACCAUGUAAUAUGAAAGCAUAAUAUAGUGCUUUACACAUACCACAGCAGAAUACAUUGGUCCAUCUCUUUAACACAUCUUAUAUCUGAGACUGAGAGACUAUCAGCCUCAUAUCUCUGGUAGCUGCAACAGGUGUGGACAGUCCUAGACUAUGCAGGAUACAUAUAAGAUAGAGGGUGCAAGUAUGGUUUAUCUACAAGGUGGAUAGUAAUUUUGAGGCCAUCUUGAUAGCCACUUCCCAGCACAAACACCGUUGUGCCAUUUGGACUGAGAGGGCUGGUAACUUGACUAUUAUAACAAGGUUUAAAAGAGAUCAAGCUUUGAAAUCCUCCUGCGUCCUACCCCAGAUAAACUAGCAGUGGUCCACUCCUUAAAACCCAAAUUACGGGCUUUCAAAUGUAAGAACCUAGUAGCCUGUCAAAAAUAUAUAAUACAGUUAGGACNNNNNNNNNNNNNNNNNNNNNNNNNNNNNNNNNNNNNNNNNNNNNNNNNNNNNNNNNNNNNNNNNNNNNNNNNNNNNNNNNNNNNNNNNNNNNNNNNNNNNNNNNNNNNNNNNNNNNNNNNNNNNNNNNNNNNNNNNNNNNNNNNNNNNNNNNNNNNNNNNNNNNNNNNNNNNNNNNNNNNNNNNNNNNNNNNNNNNNNNNNNNNNNNNNNNNNNNNNNNNNNNNNNNNNNNNNNNNNNNNNNNNNNNNNNNNNNNNNNNNNNNNNNNNNNNNNNNNNNNNNNNNNNNNNNNNNNNNNNNNNNNNNNNNNNNNNNNNNNNNNNNNNNNNNNNNNNNNNNNNNNNNNNNNNNNNNNNNNNNNNNNNNNNNNNNNNNNNNNNNNNNNNNNNNNNNNNNNNNNNNNNNNNNNNNNNNNNNNNNNNNNNNNNNNNNNNNNNNNNNNNNNNNNNNNNNNNNNNNNNNNNNNNNNNNNNNNNNNNNNNNNNNNNNNNNNNNNNNNNNNNNNNNNNNNNNNNNNNNNNNNNNNNNNNNNNNNNNNNNNNNNNNNAAAAAAAAAAAAAAAAAGAAAAGAAAGAAAACUAUUACCUCAAGGUUUUGGGAGAGUUGAUAAUUUAACACCUCUUAACUAUAACAAAUUUGUAGUAUUCUACUAUUCUUGGCUUGGAAGAACAUGAAUCUUCCUUUCCCUCUCAGACCAAUUUAUUGAUUGAGCAUUACUCAGUACACAGAACUCAGAAACAAUAUAGGGAGGUUAUGGUCGCCAUAACCUGCCUAAGUAGUAAGUACUGUCUUUUAAAAUAAUUAGAAGGGUGGUCUACUGAUAUCUAAACUUGCUUCACGUUUUUAAUACGUGUGUUAACAACCAAACACACUGGUCACAAUGGUGGUCACAUUAUCUAGUGGAUGGAAUUUUCAAAUUUGGUACCUUUUCCUCCAUCCAUUUACCCAAUAAUUAUAAACAAGGAAGCAGCACUUAAAAACUUGCAUUUAUUAACUAUUCCAACAACCACAUUCCGUUGUUUGAUAAAAAGUGUGAAAUGGGAUAAAUAUAGGACUUCCAAAAUCACUACAACAUCUUAAAUAAGAAGUGUCGGAAAAAGUUUUUUGCACAAAAGACAGCACACGAGCUAUACUGGAACUGUAGUUGCUGAUUUGACUGGAAAACAAUAUUAUUCUGGCAGCCGAAUGCUUACUUUAUAAGAUUACAUGGAUUGCUGGGAAGAACCAUUUGCAGGCUUAGGAAAAUGGUUUACAACAAGUGGCGGUCGUAUAGCUUGAUGGUCAGCAAUCUUUUGUUUCCGAGCUUUGUACAUUUCUUCUGUCUCGAUCACAACCAAUCUUUUAACCUAAGAGACCAAGUGAAGAUAAAAAGUUACCAAGUGUUCAAAAAACUUAUCUCUUGCAAUGUGCUUUUAUUAUUAAACAUACCUGUUGAAGCAUUCCUCUAACAGUAGGAGUGUUCCAUCGCAUGACAGUACGAUUGCACUUCCGUAAACGUAAUGCUUCUAGUGUACGUCUAUGCAGCUUCCUGGUUCCUGGUAUUCCCCUGACCAAAGUUAUGUAUAGGUUUGGACUCCAUGCAAUUGGAACACAAGCUUUAUAAGCCUUGAAGGCAUUCAACAUGUUGUUUAAUUUCUUCAACCUAACAAUGUCAAGGAAACAUCGAGAAGAAUGUCAGUGUGAAGAAAAUUUCAAACACUGACAAACAAGAAAUCCAGAUAUCAAAGUAUUAAAUAAAGCAUCAUACAAACAUUUCCACUUCUCGGAUCCAUUACGCCUUCUUACAUAUUGACUACAUUAACCUUCCAAAAAGAAUCCUUAAUUCUGGAACCAACAGUCGGGGUAAAUUUCAGAAUUCACGGAGACAAUUAAAAUACAUAAAAUGCCUCCAUCUCCAACCUGGGCAGCACAGGUUGGGUCCAAUACACUUCUUUUACCUUGUUUUCGACUUCCCAAGAAACUUGCUCCCGGGUUUUUUAGGAACAAAAGCAGAUCAAUGAUAAAACAUGAAAGAUAGAAAAGGUAAAGGUAAACAAGGGGGCAAGAAAGAGGAAGUAGAAGCUCUCAAGAAUCAAUAACAAGAAAGAUGGGUUAUACUCAGAAUUAAAAAAAUAAAAUUAUAAACUACUACAUGAGUAAUCACAAUCAAGCUCUCUGGUAAAGGAUAUCCAGAUCAACAACAAGAACCUAACCAGUGUUCCAGUUGAAUUAAUAUCCUUUACACGACUAUUAAACGAACAAUCAGCUUCAAGAUCAAGAACAUUUCAUACACUGAUAUCAGCAUUAAACGAAGACCCAUUAGCCCAAAUAAACAUUUAAUCUGCGCAGUUAAAAGGCAUGUUAAAAAAUGUAAGAUCAAAAUAUAGUACUUGAGAAACUACAAGAGAGUACCUGAACAAAAGUGGCCGAGAUAUAACCGACGACAACCAGGGUUUUAGACCGACAAGACUACCCAAAUCCAUGUGUUUUUCUACUUUUUUAAGGAUGUAGUAAUUUUUUUUAUUUUUUUUUAUGUUUUAUCAAAAUUCGUAAUUACAAAUAUUUAUUUUAUAUUUCAAGAAUAUUUCUAUUCGUAAUAUUUAUUUAUUUUUUUAUUUGGUACGUGGUUAAUAUGCUUGUUACGACUUACGAGUCGGUUCGUGUGAUUUUUCACUUAUACGAAAUCGAUGAUGUGUAACCAGUUAGGUUGCAUAUUUAAAAAAUAUUAUAUUUUAUUAAGUUGAUUUUGUGAGUUAGAAUGACGUGUUCGUAAAUUAUGAUUUUUUGUUACAUAAAUGACUUUUGAUUUAUUUUCAAUUUUAAUAAUAUAAUACUAAAUUUAUUUUCCAUAUCAAUAUUAUCUCUAAAUAUGUUUAAAUAUGUAUUUGUGUAAGGUACUCGUCCCUGACAUAUGUAUGCCACAUAUUGUUUUUCGACAUCGGAUGAAUAUCCUACGGUCAGAGUUAGACCUAUACGUCCGGGUACUUUUAAAGUAUUGGACGAGUCUCGUUUAGUAUCUUUUAACCGCUGGACAAGUAUAUUUUACCUAUUAUUAGAAAACACCAAGUGUAUUAAACUUUUGUUAUGAGAUCAUUUCUCAACAAAUUUUCUAGAUGAUGACUUUGUAUUCAUGCGUUCCGACGGAAAAAAACCAAACUAAUUUUAACAUUUUAGUGAAUCUGGAAUCAAAUAUAAGAAGGUGACUCAAAACUUUUUUAAUGAUAAAUAGACAUUCAUCAUAUUUUGAUAACUUUCUGACAAUAAAUCAUCAUUUAAAAUAAAAUUCAUUUAAUCUUAUCCAAAAAAAUUCAUGCCACCUUCAUCAUUUCUUUUUUCUAAGUUUACUCUCUUAAUUAGAAUAUUUUUCUAUUCAACAACUAAACAGAACAUAAAUUUUUGGUCUCAAUUUAGUUAUUCAUUUCAUAAUAUUUCUGGACAAAUUGUGAGUACUCACUCGUGGAACACUCGUAAUAAAAGUCUGAUCGAAACAUUCUAGAGAUAUUGUAGAACCACAAUAAUAAAUAAUAAAUAAAUAAAACAAAGAAGAAGAAUAGUAGCGUAUACAAUGGGGAACACAAGAACAAGCUGACGACGACUCGGGCAACACUACCUGAUCUAAUUCAUCUUUUAACUAUUUCUUCUUAAUUCAAAAACAAUUUUAUUUCUUCUUUUAUUUCUAACAAAAUCAAAAUUAGGGUUUGUAUUUCCCGAGUAAAGAUCAAUUGAUCUCUUCAUUUCUUUCAGAUCCCAGUCCCCUCUUCAAUGUAAGUUCUUCUGUUCUUUUCUUUCAGCAGCUGCUAUUAAUAUAUGCACAUAUGUGUGAAUACGAUGCUCUAUUUUUGUAAUUCGUUGAUGAAUUUGUGUUUAUAUGAGCCUAUAAUAAAACCCUUUUCAGGUUCUUGAUUUUUGAUCAAGAUUUGGUGCUUUUGAUCAAGAUUUUAUGAUAUCUUUUGUGGGUAUCGAUCAUAUUUUGUAAAGGGUUGAGAAUGUAUUGAAUAGUAUGAGUUGCUACUUUAAAGGUGGAAACUUCGUGUUGUAUUGGUCCUAAAGGGGGUUCUUGAAAGGAUCCCAUUUGGGUGUUUUAGUGGAUAUGAUUAAGCAGAUUUUAGGCAAACUUCCUCGGAAGACGUCGUCUAAAUCUUCUAGCAGUAAGGAGGGUGCUUUUGCGUCUGCUAACUCGUCAGGUUUAGUUAGUGGUGUUGUUGGGAAUACUCCUAAGAGUAAUUCUGCUUCUGGGAAAGUACUUAAUACAGAUUCGGGAGCUUCUCAUUCUAGUAAUGGGACACAUGUUUCACAACCAACGAGUACUAGUGUUAAAUCAAAUCAAGGAAAGAAACUAGGGACGAUGGGUUCGGAAAAAGGUCAAGUGAAUAAUAAUACUGUUUAUGAAGCUUUGCCUAGCUUUAAGGAUGUUCCAAGCUCUGAGAAGAAUAAUCUUUUUGUUAGGAAGUUGAAUAUGUGCUGUAUUGUGUUUGAUUUUACUGAUCCUUCGAAGAAUCUGAAAGAGAAGGAUAUAAAGCGACAGACCUUGCUUGAGCUUGUCGAGUACAUUUCGUCGGUGACGUCCAAGUUCAAUGAGAUAACAAUGCUGGAAAUCACGAAAAUGAUUGCUGCAAAUUUGUUUCGAGCACUGCCGAAUCAUGAUAAUAAACUACCUUAUGUAUAUGACCCGGAGGAUGACGAACCGACUUUGGAGCCAUCCUGGCCUCAUCUCCAAAUUGUAUAUGAAUUUCUUUUGAGAUUUGUUGCUUCCCCGGAGACAGAUGCAAAACUAGCUAAAAGAUACAUUGAUCAGUCUUUUCUGUUGAAAUUACUUGAACUCUUUGACUCAGAUGAUCAAAGGGAAAGGGAAUACUUGAAGACAAUCCUUCACCGUAUUUAUGGAAAGUUCAUGGUGCACCGUCCAUUUAUUAGAAAAUCCAUUAACAACGUCUUCUACACUUUUAUAUUUGAGACGGGCCACCAUAAUGGAAUUGCAGAAUUGCUUGAGAUCUUGGGUAGUAUUAUCAAUGGAUUUGCACUUCCCUUGAAGGAAGAGCACAAACACUUCCUUGUCCGUGCACUGAUUCCCCUACACAAACCCAAAUGCAUAUCAAUGUACCACCAGCAACUUUCUUAUUGCAUUACCCAGUUUGUGGAGAAAGAUUUCAAGCUGGCUGACCCAGUGAUCCGAGGUCUACUAAAGUAUUGGCCGAUAACUAAUAGCUCAAAAGAGGUUAUGCUACUUGGUGAGCUAGAAGAAGUUCUGGAAGCUACCCUAGCAGCCGAAUUUCAACGGUGCAUGGUCCCAUUGUUCCAACAAAUUGCUCGCUGCCUCAGCAGUUCACACUUUCAGGUGACAUAUUAGUAUAUAAUAUGUCAUUCAUUGAUGUUACAGGGAUCUCUAUUAAACCGUUUUAUUAAUUCCUUUUGUGCCAUUAUGUACUACCAGAUAAUUGGUAGUUUAUGAACGUGUCUCGUUUUGAAAUUGUUUAUUCGUGACGUUUUCUUGUGCAAUUGAUACUCUGUGGACUUUAAUGAGUGCUCUGCCAACUGCUUAUAUAAGUAUCUAGUUGACUAGUAACUAUAGUUCAUAUGUAUAUAUUAUCUGUCAUGAACAGGAAUUAUUUUUGAUGCUUCCCACAAUAACUUUAGUUUAGAAAUUAUACAGAUAUUGGUAUAAAUGUAAAAUUAUAUAUAUAUGUGUGUGUGUGUGUAUUUUAAAUUUACACUUCGUAAAUAUAUUCACUUGGCUUUUCAAUUAAUAAAGUACAAAUGAAAACCCAGCUUCUUAUAAAAGGGAAAUAAAAAUUAUUUUUAAAGAAAUAAAAGACAGUGAAACUCAGUCAAGACCCUUAGAAGAUGACAUUAAUAAUAAUAAUCUUCUUCAAUAUUAAUUAUUAUAGUUUGUGAUCUUCUUAAUAUUGAAACAAACAAAAUUUUCAAUAUAUCAUUAUCUACUUUGAGUUCACUUACUUCGUAUGCAUACUAUUAUAAGUAACAAUACCCGGAUAUUGUAUAUGCAUAUAUAGUUAUUACAGUAAUGAUGAUCAAUAUUAGUUAUUAUAGUUUGUGAUUUUCUUAAUAUUGAAACAAACAAAUUUUUCAGUAUAUCAUGAUUUACUUUAACUUCACGUAAUUCGUAUGCAUACUAUUAUAAGUAACAAUACCCUGAUAUUAUAUAUAUUCUAGUGGGUCAAACAAAACGGUGAGAACAUAUUUUGUUUACGACCUUAUGUACCCAGGUGAGUGGUUGGGACUUGGGAUAUGUAUUAAUUGAUAAAGACAUACAUUCAAUUAUUGGACUGAGGAUGGUAUAGCCUUGAAUCAAAUCAAAAUUGAAAUGUCUUAAUAUGUGUAAAAGUCAAACCGGGCCAAAAUAUGGAAUGAAGGGACUAGGGAGUAGUAUAUAAGUAUAUUCAAGACAUCUUGGAGAUUCUGUGAUAAUAGAUACCAAGUUGUAAUAUGGUGUCAUACUGUCAUGCUAUAAUAUAAUAGAGGCUAUUAUGUUUUAAGAAAAUAUUGCUUCUGAUCUGAUGUUUGCCAAACUUGAAUCCUUAUAUUAAUAAUAUGACUGUUAUUGUAUAGAGUAUUUUAUAUUUUUAAGCUAUUAAGAUCUUGCGUCAAAAUUGAAUCAGGCUUCAUGACUGAGGGAUAGCAUGCACAUGAUCGCUCAACUUGCUCAUGGGUCAUAUGUUCAAGAUCUUCUCAAUAUCCCCACUAAGAGAAGAUUCUCGAGUCAUUUGUUUAAUAUUAAUUCUUUAUUAGUGCAGAGAUUUCUAUCUAUUUUAAUUUGGAGAAGUUAAUAAUUUAGGUACUAAAUGGGGAACACAAUCACAAUUUGAGUCCGGGUUGGAGUAGUUUGUAUAUAUUGCAGUAGCAUAAAGAGUAGUUUCUACAUUUAUUGUCAUCACUCGUUUCUCAUUAGAAUUUAGAUUACAGAGAGGCCGUCAUUCGUGAAACAGAUUUAGAUGUUAAUACACAGUUAUUGUGUAGUUCACGAAGAAUACUGCCUUUAGAUAGGCACUAUACAACUUUAUCAGAUUUGUUACUUUAUAGUUAAAAAUUAAUUUUAUAUUCUGGACAGUCAGUAUAAAGUUAGCAUUCUAGCAUACAUCAAUCGACUCCUGCAGACAUUUACAAAUUCUUCUACAGCACAGCUAUAACUUUCUUGAUAGAUAGUGUAUAAUUCUGCAUGGACCCGAUUCUAGUGAACCAAUUUCCUUGUCUUAGUUAUUUUCUUUUGGAUAUUUAAUUUGUGUUAACACUGGUCUAGGAACAUGAAUUAUCACCUACCUGUCCAACUAUUUACAUAGUAAACUUGUAAACAAUGUUGAGGGCAUGUAGUGAUGGAAUCUGCCAUUACAUGAUCUCUCAAGAUUUGUAUCUUAGACUAUCUGCACUUCAACAUGUAUUUAAAUGAUCUCAGAUAAUCAGAAAUCAGAAACAAUGGCAUUUUCUGCCAUUUGUAACAAAUUUUCCAUGUUAUCAUAUAUACUUCAAAGCAAUCUGAAAAGCUAUUAGUUAUCUUAAAUUAGAGUAUAAUCUUCUAUUUGACUUUGACCAAAAGGAUGCUACAUGUUUAUUACUCCCUCUGUCCUGGCCAUUUGUAUACGUUUGAGACAGAGGGCUCGGCACGCAUUUAAGGUUCUUAUAAAAUAUAGUUCCAUAAAUAUUAUUAUUAUUUUUGCUUUUGAAUACAAAUUUAAUGUUUAAAUUUUUAUUCAGAAACAAAAGCUUUUAAAAACAAGUUAUAGAAAUAUUCUUUAUAGAAGCCUUAAAAUCCCUACCAAGCAAUGCAAAAAACUGAACAGAAAUGAGUGGGACAGAGGGAGCAUAGUACAAUAGUAGAUGUCGCGUGGUGUCAUAAAAUGUUUUAGUAACUACUUGUAAAAUUCUAAUUGAUAUAUAUGUCAUUUAACCCCCCUCCCGACGAACAUGAUCCAUAAGUACUGCGGGGCCUUGUCAAUGGAAUUGCCAUCAAGUUCAGUUCUAGAGUAAUGAAACUGUGGUGCAUAGAUGUGCUUUUGAGAAGUGACUUCCAUUUAUUCUAGUAUAAUGAGAACAGCAGUGUUGAUACAUUUUGGAUUGUCCUCAUGAAGAGUAGAAUAGAAUGCUAUGAACUUAAAACCAAGGACUGGAUUCUAUAAUAAUGUCAAGAGCAGAGAAGAUUGGAAGCUGAUUUUGGAUGUAGUUGGUUUUAUCGUCCUUCCUUUCUGUUCAUUAAGGGUUCACUUGGAUCUCGAUCUUUAAGUAUGAUUAUACUGAAUAGUUCCUGUGUUCUUUUCCCUGCACUGUACGACAAGUUGUGCUCAUGAUUAAUCUAUAAUAUAUUGCGCUUUGACAUGUCAUGUCUUUGCCACAGGUAGCCGAGCGUGCAUUGUUCCUAUGGAAUAAUGAUCACAUAAGGAAUCUUAUUACUCAGAAUCGCAAGGUUAUACUUCCAAUAAUUUUCCCGGCAUUGGAAAACAACACCAGGAGUCAUUGGAAUCAAGCUGUUCAGAGCUUGACAGUGAAUGUUAAAAAAAUCUUUUCCGAUGCAGAUCAAGUACUUUUCGACGAGUGCCUAUCCAAAUUCCAAGAAGAUCAGAUCAGGGAAAAAGAAACAUCGGAGAAACGAGCAUCCACCUGGAAGCGGUUGGAAGAUGUCGCAGCAUCCAACACUGGGAGCAACGAGGCAUUGCUCGACUCUAGUUUUGCUUCCUCUGUCACAGUAUCUACUAGCACAACUUCUCAAGCCAAGACAGGUGGUUGAGGAUAACUCCUUAUGAUCACUCAAGUUGACAUCGUCGACCUGUUGGUGGCCAUACAAGGUAUUCUGUGAGGAUUGAAGACGAAUGAGUGUUGCUUUAAAAUCCCUAGGAAAUCUUACUAAUCACUCUGCGGAUCAAGCAUUGCACAUUAAGGGGCAAUUUUGUGGAUAUUAAGGUUAUUCUGUUUUCAAUUCUUUUCUUGGCUAUUUCUUUUUUGUUGUCAGCCAUGGAGAUGUGUGUAUCAUAAGAGAACUAAUUUUUAAAGCUCGUCUUUCGAAAUUUCUACCAUUAAUGUUAUUUGUGUACCGAAGCGAAGGAAUUGCCCUUUGUACUAGCAAAUAAUUAUGUAUAAUUUGGAUCAUACAUCUUUCUCUUACAUUUCUUGUUCAGCACCAUUCGACUGCAAAUUAUUUGGUUGUAAUAUUGAAGUGCCCAGAGGUCGGCUACUGCAACUCUGCGAGGGAGUUUAUGCUAUCGAACAAUGAUGUCAAACCCCCGGUUAAUUUUUUCAGUCAGUGGAUGUGGAAUAGUUGUCUGGUUACUGUGAGGCUUUUACUCGAGCUUUCAAUAAUAGACGACUGUUCUUUCUCUCUUUUUUGUUUUAAAAUUCUGAACUUUCAAAUGGAAAUUAUUGGAAAAGCUGAUUUUGGCCGUGCUUGGUUAGUUCUUAGCAGAGUGGAUUCAGCUAGGUAGUUGCUAGUCGACCGAAUGUUAGUUGUUUUGAUUAGCGGAUUGAAGAGCCCAGUCGAAAUAGUUCUAUCAAAAUUCGAUAGUCAGCAUUAAACUCCUCCAGUGAUAUUCACAUCUACUGAGGGUGUAGAGCCAUUGUUGAUUAUACCUUGAAUUAACGUCCUCGUGGCUUUAGAGGUCCAUUCCCUCUUUUUGUCAAAUUAGACGAACCCUCCUGUUUUCGAAUAAUGUUGUUCUGCACCGUGAGCUGUGACGUUGAAAAUGAACUCACACAUAACAAAAAUGCCCCAGCUAGUCCGGGAGGGGGUAGUGAGUAGUGACCAAUGGACCACUAAAUAAUUGAACCCCAGAUCGUCACAUGAUAAAAUGGGAGAUGACAGAUGCCAAAAUCUUAAUGAAUCCAGUAUAUUUCUGAUAUUUAUAAUUAUUGAAUUUGAGAAAAACUUGUGAUUUUUUCUUGAGUGUGAAGUGCAGACAUACUUGAACUUUCUAAUUAUAAUAUUUUUAAUGUUUUUGAUAAAAUUAUAGAAAGAUACUGUAUUGCGGAACUGUCAGAAGCGCGACUUAAUCAACUAGUUUAGUUUAAUAAAUAGACAACGACGAUCAACCCAGAAGUUGAUGAAGAGGCGUGGACGGUCUGGAGAAAAUUGGAUGCAUCCUUACACGAGUAACACGAGUGAUCAAAGUCCAAAGUGAAGAGAUGGAAGACAUGAGGAGGACACAAACAAGACAACAUUCAAGUCCAUUGGUCCCCAACAUAAAGCUAACCAAUGAAUUUGCAGCAAUAUCAGUAUGGGUUUAAUAACAUUAUCAUCAAAAAAAAAAAAUCUAUUUCUUUCCUGAUUCUCAUAAUAAAAAUUCAAUACGAUACAAAAACGUACACUUUCCUUUCAUGCCAGAUUGAUGCAAGUAUUACUCCUCCCUUCCCCGUCUUUUUGGAUUGUUAAUACUCCCUCCGUCGCCUGAGUAGUACACAUCGGAGACGAGGACGCGACACGGACUUUAAUGCUCCUACAAAGUGUUGUUGUGCAAUUUAUUUUUAAAAACUUUCUUUUCUAAAUUAAAGUUUGGAUGUUAUAUUUUUAUACCAAAAAAAAAAAUCUCAAAAAUAAGUUACGGAACUAAAUUUUAUAAGAGUAUUGAAAUGCGUGUCGAGUAGUUAGAAAUAAACGUAUAUAAUUAUUGGGACAGAGAGAGUAUUUUUUUAGAGAAGAUUCGAUAUGUAUGUUAAUAUUUAUAUAAUAUAAACUUAAUUUUAAUAUAUUUUUUAAAAAAUAAAAAAUAUAUCAAAAACAAAAAAAUUAGAAAAUAAAUUAUGAAAUUAUAUUUUAUAUACAUUUUAAAAUAUAUGUUAGAAUAAAAAAAAUAUAAAUAAUAUAAAGCAGAGAGACUAUCUUUAUCACUCUGCAAGCCUGCAAAACAACAAAAGACGGAGAGGUACAAGUCCUCCUAAAUAUCUUAACAUCACAAACUCCACAUGCCAUAUUUCUCCUCCACUCAAUAACCAAUUUUUGUAUUUCAUUUCUUCAUUUCACCUUGCUCCUGAACUAUAAUAAAAGUCUUCAAAAAAUUAAAUAAAAAUCCUUCACUAUUAUUAUUACACACAUUAUGAUGAUCCAAAAAGUAGUUUGUUGCGCAACGCCACCGGUUGCGACACCAACAUCAGUACCACCGCAGCGAACGACAUCGCUGCCGGUCCGUACCAUCCCCGGAGGGUACGGAUGGCCGGUGGUUGGGCCGUUAGGGGACAGGUUAUCGUAUUUUUGGUUCGAGGGACCAGCUACUUAUUUUAAGAAGAGAAUAGAGGAGCAUAAGAGCACGGUGUUUCGGACAAAUAUGCCACCAACGUUUCCGUUUUUCACGGGAGUGAAUCCGAAUGUGAUAGCCGUGCUAGACUGCAAGUCAUUUGCGCAUAUGUUUGAUAUGGAACUUGUUGAGAAGAAGAACAUUCUUAUUGGAGAUUUCAUGCCUAGUACUGGCUUCACUGGCGAUAUGCGUGUCUGCGCUUACCUUGAUACUUCUGAACCUAAACACACUCAGGUACGUGGAUACAAUUGUUGAAGAGAAGCUAAAGUUGCUUCUAACUUCUACUUUUUUUUGACCUAUUUGUGUAAACAAGUAGAUUUUAAUUAGUUGACAAUACUAGUUUUUGUUUCAGAGAGCUUCUAAUUCUUUUCUAAACACCUCUAAUCCACUUCUCCACUUCUGUAAGGAAGAAGUCAUUUCUGUAUUAAAUAAAUUGUUUAAAUUUGGUCGAAUUAAAUUGUUAAGAGUCGUUAUCAGACUGAUACAUUAAAUAACCGUUGCUGCAAAACUUAUGACAGGUCAAGAAAUUCGCGAUGGAGAUUCUAAAACGAAGCUCAAAGAUAUGGGUCCCGACCGUGACCUCAAACCUAGACACAAUGUGGGACUCCAUCGAGGCCGGUAUCUCCGAAUCCGGCUCCGUGACUCCCCUCGCCCAGCUCCAACAAUUCAUCUUCAACUUCCUCACAAUUUGCCUCAUUGGAGCCGAUCCUGCAAAAUCACCAGAAGUAGCUGAAAAAGGUUACAUGUGGCUCGACGCAUGGCUUGCCCUCCAAGUCCUUCCCAUUACGAACAUACCAACGUUACAACCUCUCGUUGAAAUUUUCUUGCAUUCUUUUGCGUAUCCUUCUUUUCUCGUCUCUGGCGGUUAUAAUAAGCUCGUCGAGUUCGUUGAAAAAGAAGGCCAAGAAGUUCUCGAGCUGGCUCAGACCGAGUUCGGGUUAAGUAAAGCAGAAGCCCUACAUAACCUAAUUUUUAUCCUAGGGUUUAAUGCAUUUGGUGGAUUUAGUGUUUUUUUACCGUCUAUUUUUAGUGCCCUGGGAAAUGAUACCACAGGGUUGCAACAAAAAUUACGAAACGAGGUCAAGGAAAAAAUCGGGACUAACUCGUUGAGUUUCGACUCGGUAAGACAACUCGACUUGGUUAACUCGUUUGUUUACGAGACACUUAGGCUCAACCCGCCCGUGGCAUUACAAUAUGCGAGGGCUAGGAAAGAUUUUACGCUGAGUUCGCAUGACUCGGCAUUCGAGAUAAAGAAAGGAGAGCUGCUUUGUGGAUAUCAGCCUCAGGUUAUGAGAGAUGAGAAAGUGUUUGAUGAGCCUGAGAAAUUUGUGGCGGACAGGUUUACUAAAGAGAAGGGGAGCGAGUUACUGAGUUAUUUGUUUUGGUCGAAUGGGCCACAGACCGGGUCACCCAGCGAGUCGAACAAGCAAUGUGCUGCCAAAGAUUAUGUAACGCUCACUAGUUCAAUUAUCGUGGCUCAUAUGUUUCAGAGGUACGAGUCUGUUAAGAUUGAUUCUUCUGGAGCAAUCUCGGACUAUGAAGCGGCUAAAUAAAUUUCGAAUAUUCAUGUAGUAAAACAGGUCUAUGAGGAAUAAGCAGCAUCAACUCAUUUGUGUUUUUAUAUGGUUAUGCCUCACAAAAAUGAUGGGUUGGUCAUGUAUUGUAUGAUAUGGAAUAUUAAGUACUUUUAUGCACAAAUUUUGAAUAAAGCACACUAUACAUGUUAUUACAUUCAUGUAUUUCAAAUAAUCACGUUUUUUUUUUAUUAAUUUCAACCUUAUAUUAUAUUCCAAAAAAAUUAGGCAAAAACUAUGCAUUGUGUAAGUUCUUUAAUAUUUAGUUUAAGAAUGCAAAUCUGUAGUACAAGUUUUUAAAAUAUUGGAGAAAAUUAUAUAUUAUUAAGAACUUCAAGUUCAUAUUAAACAAAAAAUCAUGAUAAGCACACAUAAAACUUGGAUCGGACCUGAUCCAUUUAAUUUUAUCGGAGUCGGAUUCGGAUCGGAUUUCAACCUGAUUUUUGGGACAUGAUCCUAAUCCUAAUUCAUAGGAUCACGGAUUUUCGGAUCGGAGUUCGUCCAUUUAUAUUUAGAAAAAAUAUAAAAAUUUCAUUAUAUAUAUAUAUUUAGAACUUUCGGAUCGCAUGAAAAUUUGAAUAUGUAUUGCAAAAUAAAAAUAAAAAUGCGUAAGUAAUACAAAACUACCGUACGCAUCAAUCCAUUUUGAAACUUAUAACAUUACAGCUCUGUUCUAAAAGUCGGUGAUUAAUCACCAAUUAAUCCCUGUUCCGUAGCUCACCGAACUGAUUAAAUCUCCGAUUAAUCACCGAUCAAUCCGAUUAAUCCCCCAUCAAUUCAAUUAAUCCCCGAUUAAUCUUUGUUCCGUAAUUUCACCGAUUAAGUCCGAUUAUCGCUUUUUACAACACUGCGUUACAGUACUUCAAAGGUAUCUUAAAAUGUAAACGGAAUGCAAUCAAUGCUUUUCUUUUGAUUGUAAAAACCAAGCAGAGCUACUCGUAACAAUUUCUUAAAAAAAAUAAAAUAUAUUGCUCAGUUAGAGUACUUUUGAUCAUCAAUACAUAUACUAUUGAUAAAACAAUACUCCUUGACAAAUUAAUAAUUGAUGGAUGAUUAAUAUGCUUAACUAUACUACUCUUCUGUAGGCUUAGGCAAUCUUAACUGCUACUCCCUCCGUCCCCUCCAUUUCUUUACACUUUCCUUUUUGGGGUGUCCCAUCCAAUUAUUUACAUUUCAAAACUGACCCAAAAUAGUCAAUGAGUCCCACCAUUUCUUCACUUUUCUUUCCUUUUCACACUACUUUUACUCCACUAUCUUCUUUUUAUACAUUAAAAAUCAAUGGGUCCCACCACUUCACCCACUUUUCAUCCCCUUUUCCACUACUUUAUACAUAUUUUUUAACCUCCGUGCCCAACCCAAACGAUAAGAAAUGGGAGGGACAGAGGGAGUAAUAUUUUAGUUCCUCCAAUGUAAAAAUAAGAGUUUUAUUAUCCUAAGUACUAUGUACAGAAUGCAGAUCCCUCUAGUUUAUUUUAUUUAUUUUUACAUAUAAUAUAUUAGUUAAGUAUUAUAAAUAAAUAAAUAAAUAAAUAUACGUAUAAAAUUCGGAUCGGAUUAUUUCCGGAUCGAAUCAUAUUAAAUCCAUAUCAUAUAUCUAUCGGAUCGGAUUUUUUUCGGGAUCGAAUUUUAUUUUAGAUGAUCCAUAUCCGCUCCGCUAGCUCCUGGAUCGGACCAGAUAUCCGAUCCAUUGACAGCCUAUGUCUGGGGAAGGACACUUCUAGCUUUUUUCGAUAGGAAACCAGCUUCUACUUUCAUUCACCCGUUUGCAUAAAAAGUCAAAAGCACUUAUAAAAAACUGAGAAUGCUAGCUUUUGUACUUAUAAAAAGCUGGGAAUGCUAACUUUUGUUUUGUUCAUGGCUUCUAUUUCUUUCGCAAACAGUUUAAUCACUUAUAAGUUUUAAUUAUUUCUCACCUGUAAUCUAUUUCUAAGUUUAUCCAAAUGAUCCUUACAAUAGUCUCAUAUUUCUCACCUGUAAUCCACUUCUUUACUCUAAACAAGAAGCACUUUUUUAAGUUUACUCAAGUCUCAAACACGUGCUUCUAUAAUCUCAAAUUUCUUUUGUUAAUUAAUACAUAUAAUUUGUGGAUUAUAUAUAUUCAAUAACAAUUUGUAAGCUAAUUAUUCUUUGAAUAUUAGUCGAAUAUUGACAUAACUACCCUAUAGGACUGACCACUUCUACAUGUGAUAAUUAUAUCCAUUCUACCUCUGAUUGUAAAGAAAAAGAAAAAAACACAUUUUUACACACUUUUGUCUUCAAGAAUGAGUUGAUCAUUAUCCAAAAGCCUAGUCAAAUUUGGUUACAAAUUAUCUUUAAAAAAUGCAGCAAAAACAUUGGAUGAGUUGCAAUAAAUUCAAAUCUAAGUACAUUAAAAUUUUAUAAAAGGACUUUGAGCUAUCACAUGGAGGGGGAACAGGAAAGGGGAAUGAACAUGGGAACUCGACGUUAAAUGGUUGGUGGGAAUAAAAAUGAGCGUGAAAUGAUUUGCAAAAAUGAUAAUUCAAACACCGUCCCAGGAGAUGAGGUUCUUAUUCCGGUUAACUAGGCUCACCUUCCAUAAACCAGACAUUCCAAUAGUAAGAAAUCUACGUGUAUAUAUGAAUUUUGAAGUCUAGAAACAUAAUCCCAUACAGGUAUUUAGUCUGGGCUAGAAAUCUACGCGUAUAUAUGAAUUUUGAAGUCUAGAAACAUAAUCCCAUACAGGUAUUUAGUCUGGGCUAACAUAUUCAGCAGUCAGCACUACUAUAAUCAGGUACAUUGCCAUAGUCAGCAUGCCCACCUCCGAGCAGAACGAUAGCUUGACAUGGACAAACACGACCAAAUUCAUUUAGUUCCAUUCGAGCAAAAAGAUAACUUGACAUAGACAAACAUUACCAUAUUCAGGUAGUUUCUAUAAGAGAUCUCUAGCUCUUUAAAGAAACUGGACAUCUCAUCAAGACUGAGCAUGAGAUUUGUCAACACCUUCUUUCCAGCCUCUCUGGCGAGCUCGUAGCUCCCACAAUGAAGUCAGUCGUUUUUGUGCCAACAAAGUCACUUCAGCCUUUUCUCGGGCUUCUUCGCAUGUCUCCAUUCCGGAAUUGCACUUGUCUGCCUCCUUUUGAUAUUGGGAUGUGAUCUUCUUAGCCUCAAGCAAAGCCAUAUCAGCACGCUGCUGAUUUUCGGUGAAUUCCGCUUCUCGUAAUUUUAACUCCUCUGAUAGAAGUUCUGUAAGAUUAUUUUCAGUGUCUUCGCCAACUUCUGGAUCAUGCUUUGCACAAUCUGCGCACAAGCACAAACAACAUUAAGAAGCAUACUGAAUAAUCAACCGAAUCUAGGCUAAGAUGAAAAUGAAGACUUGUAAGUAACCACCAGCAGAACCCGUAAACAGCUUUUAUAUGCUCAUUAAAGUAAAAACUAACCUGCAAAAGAAUUGUUGCUCAGCUCUGCAAGAAAAACAAACAAUAAAUAAAAGUAAGCAUUGCAUUAAAUUACUGAAGAAUAAUAUAGGUAAAGAAACUGAUCAGGAUGCAAAAGAUAAAUCAAACUGACAGAGAAGCUAACGGUAAAUUUGAUCAUAACUGACGAAUAUAAAUCUUGUAUCAUAGGUAUUAUAAACAAAAAAAAACAUUAAGCUAUAUCAGCCCAACAGAUACAUCCAUACAUAACCUCAUGUCACAUAUUUAAAGCACAUAUAACAAGAGGGAUGCACGUCUGAUAACAAGAAUCAUGUUCUGAUAAUUACUCAUGACUAGACAGUCAAACUGCAUGCAGGUGGGACCUGAGGUGGAGAGUGAUGCUGGGACUAAAGGGUCACAGCUGCCAUUCCAUUUCUAGUUAAGUAGACUAUAUCGUACUAAUAAUAGAAUUGAAGUUGAGCAGCUGGGUUGUUUGGCCCAUGUUUUACCUUCACCAGGUUGUGAGGUUGCCAUUUGGACAAGCAAAAUAAAAAAUAUUGUGCUUUCUAGUCUGACACUCCGGAUUCAUCAUUGGUUAGACGAUAUUUCAUCCAAUGUAAAGUGACCAGAGCACUGGAAAAUAUAAGUCACUGCAUUCUUGAUAAAUGACCAACUCUCCCAAAACCAUACAGUGUUGAAGGAAGCCACUAAAUGGAUCUUAUCAUCUUAUACAUAAACACUCUCCCUCAAUUGAAAGCCCGUUAAGGUUAGGAGUGGAUCACCAUAAUAAACCCAUUGAUGGGCACACAUAAGAUGUCCAAAUUAUAUUGAAUUUUAAAGGCCUCUCAUAAACCAAAGAUACCAUGUUUGUUGGGGUCAUCUAACAAAAACUGAAGCUGUUUGAAUAAGCUACUUAAUGACCCUUAUACAUUAUGAAUAUAACAUAGCUCAACCUUCCAAACCCGGCAAACCUUCUACUCAGGCAAACAGAUAAGGAGAACUAUAUGAGUGGUAGGAAGCUCACUAGGCACAAUUUUAGAGGAAAACAAAAAUUAUCGCAUGACAGUUAUGGUGAGUACUUAUAAUAGAUUACCAUGUUAUUUCGCAAACAAUCUUUUUUUCACAUGUCUACUGAAAUUAUAAAAAAGCAAUGACGUAUAUAGCAAAGGAGAACUUUUAACUCGUAACUUAAUUACUUCUGGAAACUUUUACCAUAAUGCUAAUACAUCAGACAAACUUAUAAUCGUGACAAAGCCUUGCUGUAAAGCCAUAAUUUUACUAGAAGUCAGCAAGCUAACUCGUUUGAGUUGUAGCUUAUGGGUAUAAAAUGGUAAUGUUUUCACCGAUCGCCAGAAGGGGGACCACCAUCCGGUAUAAUACUUACCCCGGAGCUGAAUGCAUCUGUUGUUCGAAUGCUUGUGCAGAAACCAAAAAUUACUGGAACUCUACAAUGAACAAAUGAAGGCUUCUAAGUUUUAACACCAUGUCUAAUAUAUUUAAGGCCUUCGUCAUCAUGCCGAUCAUUCUGACUUAUUAAGAGUAUUCCUAACAAAUUUAACGUUCCACUUCCAAUUUGUCAUUGUAAGGGGAAAACAACUGAAGGAUGAAAAAUAUGCUUCUUUCCUAAAUGGAAGGCGAAAGACCCAACGUUUUUUUCUAAUUGGUUCAAGGGCAAUGUGGAAUUAUAGUUAACACUUAACAGUCAGCUUUGUCUUGCCAAUUCAUCUAUGCUUACCACAAGUACUUGUAACAAUUCAUUUUGUGAACACUGUCAAUACCAUGAUGUUUUGUUAAUCGUUUAAAUGCUAGUCAUCUAAACUUUCUAUGCAACUUCAAUAUCUUUUUUCAAUUUUUCAAUAAUUACUUACAGACACAGAAUGGCUUUAUCUGACAUCCCCAACUCUUAGGAAAGUGCAAGAGACGGCUUAAUAAAAAAAAAAAAAGAACUGUUCAAUUCAGUGCGUUAUACUAGAUAAGAUUUAUAGAAACUUAACUGUUGGUGAUUAAUGAUUAUUAAACAGGACCUGUAGGCUAAUUCAUGCUUGAUUUCAAUAUUAUUUUUUCCUUCAUGUCCCCAGUCAUAGACUGUAUAGGAAAAGUUAAAACAUCAUGCUACUUCAAAGUCUAAAACAAUAUACGCAUUGACUUUAAUAUAGAGGGGUCAUCUAAAAAUGUUUUCACAACAAUUGGAAGUGAAGUUGAUUAGAAUGUCAAUCAAGGACAUGCAGCUUUGUGUCAAUGUGAACUACAGGCAUUUUUCCUAAUUUCCCCUUCACUUGACCUCUUCGGCGUUAUCCUUAAUGUGAUAUUUGGUAACUUAAUUUUAAGCAUGGGUUUGAAAAUGAAAGAUGAAAGAUAAUUCUUGAUCCCAUAUCAUUACACAUUCCAAAUACAAUUCCCUGCUUCCCAAGAUCUAAACAGAAAAGUUACGACAUAUAUAUUUUUUGUAGUCUCCCUCUCCCCUCCAGGAUAAACAUGGAAAUACUAUUUACUAGAAUAAGUAGACAUGGCAUUGCAACGCGUGUUAAUGGAGAAAACUAAAAUGAAAUGAUAACACUCUUUGACGUUAAUAUAUAAUUAAAGAAACAAUUUUAUGCUUCCUAAGUAUGAAUGAAAGAAUAUAAUCAAUAAUCAAAAUUGAUUCUAAAAGGGACAGUAAAGUCUAGAACAACACAAAAUGUACACAAAAAUAGAAACAAAGCUAGGCUAGCAACAUUACUCAUAAGAAAAUACUCCACUUAGCAUCUAAGACCUAAAACCCCCAUUCUUCACCAAGGUACAGGCUAAUACCAGAAAGAGAAAAACUAACUAGAUCUAUGCAAACUCGAAACUUAUAGUGCCUUGUAUAUACUUAGUCAAAGCUUAGACAUCAGUCUUGUAGUCUAGUGGAAACUACCUGAGAUAACAAGAGAUUGAGUGUUCGGAGAAAUAAAGGUAGGCAAAACAAGUUAUAGCCUUAUAGAAAUCCUAGCCAAAGUAAUAGUAUAAAUCUUCAUUACUUAAUAACAAGCACUAACCUAGACCUUGAAAAUGAAAACUUUGAUUUCAAAAUCUAAGUGCAAUGUCUUCACUCAAACAAAACCUCCGGAUCUUUAGCCAAACCGCCAAACCGACACAAUUACUUGCUCAGAUCAGAAUGAGGAUCAAUGCCCAUAUUGGGAUCUCAUAUCCAGAAACCCACACUUAAACUAAACCAACACGAUGAGCAGAAUCCACAACACCUAUAAGUUACAUAUCACAUGAGCUAUAAUCAAAUGAGUAAAAAUCUCAAGAUCCACCCCAAACAACCCAAACAAUACACUUCCAUCACAACACAAAACAAGAUUGCAAAAAAUCCAAAAGGGUCACAGUAAAAACCAAGAAAACGAAAAGGGCCACUGUAAUAAGUGAAAAAGUUAGUACCUUGAGGAAUAGUAAUGAGAGGCAGAGAAGCAGAGCAAUCACAGAGUGGGCAAGAAGGGCAAGAAAGUGAAGAAGAAGCAGCUAAAGCCUCCAGAGAAUGCCAGUAAAGAGGUGGACCCACUAUAUAACCAGCCAGACACAAUGCUAGUAUUACCACAACUGUUUUCAAGACUCCUGCACUGCUGAAUCUUGUUUCUUGAUCUUCUAGUGCCAUUGCUGUGGAUGCAAGUUCAACACAGAGUCAGCUCUUAUUGUCAACGUGUUUUCUGUUUUUCAAGAUCCAGGCAGCAAAAUAUGCUGGGUUUGAGUAAAAUAAUUUAGGGGUUUUAUAAAAAAUGUCAAGUCUUUGAAAUUCUUUUGUAAAACAUAUCGUAUAUUUUUUAAAAUGUUUUUAAAAUAUGAUUUUCUAAAUAAAAAUUUUAAAUAUCAUUUUCGAUAUCUAUUUAUAAAACUACAAUUACAAAUUUAUAUAUACAACUGUUAUCCACCAUAUUUAUAAUUAUAAAUAUAACUUAAAAAAUAUCUUAAAAACAUAAAAACAACUUUAGAAAAACACUAUUAAAAAUGCUCCGCCUCACAUAGCAACAAAGAAAUCUAACUUUUCCACUAGUUUGAUCACCCGGCUUCUGGCAUCGGCUACUCAAGUUCAUAAGAAACAUUAAAAGCAACGCAACCCUGAUUGAAAAAAAAAAAACAUUAUAAAUAAUAGAGAGAUGUAAUGCAGUCUAUCAAUAACCUGUUAAAACCCGCUUCGUAUAUUAGCGCAUUGCGACUUUGGGAAUAAUACUGAAAUAUUUCCGGAGUUGGUAUUCUUUCAAAAUUAUAUAAUAUUAUAUGUCUAAAUGGUUAAAUAAUGUGUUUUAGCUUGCAAGAUUGGUCAAAAUUACAACUAAUUAUAAAUAUAUUUUUUGUGUAUAUAUGAAAAUUAUUUUAAAUUACAUUCAGCUAAACAAUAUAUUUUCAAAUAUUCUCAUAGUAGAAUCCUAAAAAUAUUUUUAAAAAUUGAUAUUUUUGAUAAAUACCAUAAAAGUUAUCCAUUUUUUAAUUAGGAAGAAUAAUUUAUUUGUUUUCUUAAAUUAGCACUACAGAAAAAAUGUGGUGUGUCAUUGAUAAAAAUGGUCGUAAAAAUAAAAUAUAUCCAUAUCUUUUAUGAUUUUUUAACAAAAUUUGUCGGUAACUUACAAGUUUAAAUAAUUCUAAAUUAAAAAAAUUAGUUUUUUAGAUGUAAAUUGUUUUGCAUUCACACAGUCACCUUUUUAAUACAGUCUAAUAAAUUAACAAUGCACUUGAUAGUAUAAUGUUUAAGAAAGAGAUAAUUUAACCAAUUUAAGAUGAUACAAGAAAUGAACAAUUGUUUAAGAUGAAUGAAAUUAUAAACAAAUGAAAUGAUAACUGAAGACGGGAAAAAGAAAAAUAUGUGCACAUGUCUACUUAGUUCAUGACUCUUUUAAUACCUAACAUGGUCACGAACACUUCAUCGAAAAACUGAUCCUAUUUUUAUUUUGAUUGCAUUCCAUUAGGGUUAAUUAUCAAACUAGCACAAAUGAUAUCAACUUCAUUGCUAUCUCCACGGUCUCAAAUAACUCACUAAACUUUAAUGGUAUCAAAUUCAUCACUUUUGUUAAAAAAAGUAACGAAAGUUUAGACGGAUGUAGGGUUUGACAUGUGGCACGUAAUUUGAAGUUUAUAUAGAUACAAUCUUUUCAUUAAAUUAAGUUUAGAAUAUAAUUAUCUAAAUAAAUGAAUGGAACUAAAUUUUAAGAUAUAAUUAACUAAACUUCCAAGAUUAACUUUUAUGUUUUUUAUUAGAUUAUAAUUAUUUUUGAAUAAUAUUGAAAUGUUUUCUCUUUUAAUAAAUUUUAUUUCUGUGAAUAUUAUUGUUGGCAAAAAAACAUUUUUAAAUUUUUUUAUAUCUCCAAAUUUCUUAAAAUUUUAAGAAAGAUCUAGAUCUCCAAAAAGAAAUAGAACAGAUUGAAAGAUCUAGAUAGAGCAGAUUGAAAUUGUUUUCGAUUUUUAACAUUUCUAUUUCUUUUAGAGAUUUAGAUCUUUCUUAAAAUUUUAAAAAAGUUGGUGAUAUAAAAUAAAUUUAAAAAUAUUUUUUUGCCAACAAUACUAUUCACAUAAAUAAAAUUUAUUAAAAAAGAAAAUAUUUCAAUAUUAUUCAAAAAUAAUAUAAUCUAAUAAAAAAUAUAAAAGUUAAUCUUGGAAGUUUAGUUAAUUAUAUCUUGAAAUUUAGUUUCAUCCAUUUAUUUAGAUAAUUAUAUUUAUAAUUAAUUUAACAAAAAGAUUAUAUACUUUAUUUUCAUAUAACUUCAAAUGACCUGGCUUAUCGACAAUCUGUCAAUCCGUUUAAAUUUUCGUUACCUCUUUUUUAAUGGCAGUGAUGAGUUUAAGUGAUGAAGUUAGAUAUUAUUUGUUGUCCAUUUCAACGAUGAGUUUGAUAAUUAAUCACAUUCCUUUGCUAUGAAACUAGACUAGUGGUUAAAGACCCUACUUGCAACUUAAUUCACAUUUCUUUGCUAUGAAACUAAACUAAUGACUAAAGACCCUACUUGCAACUUAAUUUUGUUCGCUCUUUCCUGUUCUUUUUGGUCUUCUACAAAUUUAUCCACAAAUAUUUCAUUUACAUUUUCUCAGCCAACACAACGAUAAUAAUGUGUGAAUAGGGAUUUUUGACUUUUCCCGAUAAACACGUUAAAGACUUGUUUCCUUAAGAACAUGUAAGCCAUAUCAUUAUUCUAAGAAAGCUAGAAGCUUCUUAUUUUCAUUCGUUACCAAUGCAAUGAUAUUUUGCUUUUACCUCCAUUGUCAAAGAAAAAAUAGUUUUAUUCUACAUGAUAUCAGUGACUUUUUUCUGCUAAGCUUUAUCAGAGGACUUUGCCUGCACACACAUAAAAUAGACAACAAAGUAGAGAGCGAACAAAAAGAUCAACACAAAAGCUUCAAACAUGUUCUCAUGCACCUUCAGGUUUUGAUAAUCUAUAACUUGACUUUGAUAUCCAAUCUUGUAAUUUAGAAUGUAAGGUCGUAUAAAUCAUAUUUAUCAUAUGCAGUGACUAGUGAGUUUAUGUUUUAUAUAUUAAUUCCAUCAAAAUUAGCUAGGUCAUUCCGGUCGGAAAAAAAUUGUCUACCGGCUUAGACAUUUCUUGCCUGUGCUAACUUCUGUUAACAUAAUGUGCAGUUCCUCCUCUAUAAGUUAUUAUGUAUCUGGUCACUUGAACUUCAAGUAUGAUUAAUGCUAGUGCAAAAUGAACUCGUAUUUCUCAUGGUGCUUUUUUUCUUUUAUCUUUUUUCUAUUUCUCAAUUUAAUUUAGUUUUUUUUUGGUAUAUUUAGCAUAUAAAACAAAUUUAAAAAUAUUUUACAAAAUACAUAUAAAAAUCUAUAUAUCAAAUAUUCUAGUUAUAUAAUUUUUCAUGUAAAGGGAAUACAAUUUUGUUCUGUUAUUUUGUAGAUUGUUUUUUUUAAAAAAGUGAUUAUUUAAUAUGAUCAUGAUAAAUUACAAUUAUGCUAAUACCAAAAUAAUUUUACAAAUAAAUUGAUUUUCUGAUUAAAUAAAAAAGUACUUUGACAAUAAAAUUUGUUCAACAUAAUAAAAAUGAACUACUAUAAAAGAUAAUUAUAUAAUUUUAAUUAUUUUAUCUUGUAAGAAAUUUGUACAAUCGCCGGUAAAAUUAUUAAAGUAGUAAUAUCAAAUCAGUGAUAUAAAUAAAAUAAAGAAUAAUCAAAUGAAAAUGAAAUAAAGAAUAAUCAAAUUGAACAAGCAAAAAUCAUUUUUCCUAGUCUAUAUAUUGGCAUGUUUGAUCAUAUAUUUAAAACUUAUUUGGUGUCAGUAUAAAAAUAGUAUGUGGCUUAAUAUUUUUCUUUUUAGAUUUCUAAUAUAGAAAUUGGAAGUGAAUAUAAAUUCUAAAAAUUUCAGCAGAUAACAAAUUGCAAAAGUUAUUCGUCUUCCCAUCUACUGCAUCUGUAAAAUGAUUUUUUUUAUAUAUAUUUAAUACACAAAGCAAGAAGUGAUCAAUGAAGAUUCUAGUGUACAUGCUCAGACUAUGCAAAUCGAACAUAAAGGAGAGAUACUUAGCAAAUGAUGCAGAGGUAUAUGGAAUGCAUUAUCUGCAUAUUCCAUGCUUUUUAGACUAGCUAGUGCCUCGACACAAUAAAAAAUGAUGGUUUUAGUUUAAAAAAACUCAACCUAUAAUUUAAGUGAUCAUAAAUGAAUUUUAAUAAUGAUGAUAGUCUUCUAUAUGAUGUAUAUUUUCAUUUUAAUCUUUAAAUAUAAUGAUAUUCUUUCAUGAUCUUAGUUAUCAGAAGGGUAUUGUUCAAUACUAUAUAUCAAGACCGAGUUUAUGUCAAUAGUAGCAUAUGACUAUAGCCAAUGAAAACAGAGCAAAAGCAAAUUAACAAUCAAAUUAUUAGCAAUCCACAUGAACCAUAAUUUUCAGCAACUUAAAGAUAAAGUGUUUACGGUACCAAUAUAAGGUAGCCGAGUCUUUUUAAAAAAUUUAAGUUUUCUUCUUACUAUAAAAGAAGGGAACAAGAUGUAAUCAUCUAGAUGUUUUCUGAAUAUAAAAUUAUCAUUUUUCUGAAGAAAAGUAUUAGCACUUAAGAUUUGAUAAACCUGCAGUAUCACCAACUACUCUGCAGCUAGUCUGUAGUUGUCUCAUGUCCUUUUGCCAGCCUUUGGAAUAUUUCUAGCAAAUUUUUUAUGCUUGCAGGAUGUGCCUGCAUAAUAUGAAACCAAAAUGAAUUAUAUAUAUGUGUAUGCGCGCGCGUAUGUAAUUGUGACUUGUCAUCAGAAAAAUAUUAUCUACAAAUUACGUAAUAAGAUGUAUUUAUAUGUGUACUGUGACUUGUUUCUCAGGAAAAAUAUCAUAAGAAAGAAAUUUAAUAAUAAAAAAAUGAGGAGUUGUAUAUCUAAAAUUACUGACAAUGAUUUUGUUGUUCAAUUAGAGAUACUCAAAGAAGUUGUGAUGUAUAACUAUUGCAAAUAGUGCGUGCCUCUAACAUCCAUGCAUGUAACAUAGAUUCUUUUUAUUUUUAGUAAUUUGGGUUUUAGUAGAAUUUCUUGUUUUGUGUAACAAGAUCAGCUAAAUGAACUUACACGAAGGGCAUUAAUAUAUGGAGCACUCAUCAAUAUUGAUGGAAUGAAGCUUUUAAUAAGGAGACAACCCCUGCAUUCAAAUCACAUAAAAUCAUGCCCGUCAAAUACUACCAAAAUCAACUUCCAGGAGCAUAAAACAACUCUCAAGAAUCAAGUGCAUGAUUAUAUAGUUUCUUUCCGAAAAUUCUUAUUCAAUAACCGUAGAAACAAUAUAACAAAAUCAAAAGAUUUACAUAAAUGAUGAAAAAUAUUGUUUGCUAACCUUGAUGUCUCAGACACUAUGAGAUAGCAUUGAAUAAUAUUUUUCAGGACGGUUGCUGAUGGUUUAUCAUGCAUCUUUUCAAUAGCAUCUUUGAAAACCCGCAUUAUUGCACACAUUCGAGUUGUAGGCUCGUAGCAAUAUUGUAGACCUUGUUUUUGUAUUAGUAGCCUUGAAAUAAUCCAGGAUGCAGUCUGAAUAGCCAUAUACAAGUACUUAAUUAAUAUGAGUGUAAGGAGUAUAAUUAACUAUGAGUGUCUAUCUAGAUAUUUGAUGAUAUGGCAUUGUAUUUAGUAUAAUUUAAGGAAGUUCUUUUCUAAAACGAGCAAGUCUCUAUCAUGCGAUAUUUUGCAAAUAAUUCAAAUAUGGUUAGGUAAUAAAUUUAAUAUAAACCAAUAUAUAGUUAUUCAUCAAUCUUCCUGAUAAAAAGUUUCAAUAUGAUUAACGGGGAUGAGAAUGAGAUUCGAGUACAAAAAUGUAUUGAAAUCUCAUUUUCAUUUCCAUUAACCGUGUUGCAAUCCCAUAAUCAAACAUUAGCUAAAUACUCUACAAGUGGGAUGCAUGGAAGCAAUUAUAUGGUAAGAUCAAGAUUUAAUGGACACUUACAGAUUGCGAAAGGUCGUUACCAAACUCUAUGCUACGUAGGCACAUAGGGAAAAAUCCUGAUUGAAGCAAAUGAUGAACAGAAUCCUUUGCAAUAGGAUCAUCAAUCUGCAUAAAAGAGAAGAUUUAGAUGUAUAUUUAGUAGUAACGUUUAGACAUACUUUAUACAUCAAAUCAUAGUAAAGCAUUUUAUAUUUGUAUAUACAAUCUGUUACAAGACAUAUUCAUCGAAUUUCUUUGAAAACUAGAAGGGCGGGUAGACCAUCAAAAAUCAUUUUCAUGAUGGGUUGCUGGUGUUUAGCAAUUUUAAUUAUCCUUGAUGUCAAAGUAUAAAUUUUUUUGAAGGUAUAAUAUAAUAAUUUGGAGAGGAAGUGUACCUCCUUCAAGAGACCUCCUAUCACCCCCAAGCUCAUUAACCUUAGGUAUUGGAAUGGUCUUCCCCUUUCCUCAGUCAUCAAAAAAGGGUAAAGAUAACAGUGUAUCUGAACUGCAAGGACAUAACUAAAUUAUCACAAAUCUGUCUAUAAUUAGCUAUAUAUAGCUAUUCAAUUUCUAUUAUAAUCAGUUACAAGUAAAAAUCAUAAAAUUUUAACAAAGAUUUCUUUUAAUUGUAUCUUUAACUGUAUUAUUUAUUUCACCUCAGUGUCAUGUUUCAUUCAUCUUUUAUAAAGACAUAUCACACCGGCUUGAAAUAUAAGGUGUUUAAAUGUUUUUAUAUCAAAAUAUUUCAACUUCGACAAUAUCAUCUGUAGUCCACAAAGUGGAAUGUUAAACCGUAAGUGAUGAAAAAAAAUUAAAUAUGAAAUAAGCUUAAUCAAGUAGAGAAGCUAUAUUUAUAAUUACAUCCAAAAAUAUUUCAAAGAAAAUUAAUUUAAUUAAUGAAGAAAUUAAAAGAAACAUGCCACAAAUUUCAAAGUAUUAAGUAGAAUACCAUUGAGGAAUUCCUUCUUUGUUUGACGAUGACUUGCUAGACACUGCAUUCAAUAAAAAAUCAUCAUGAUUUUAAAUUUUUAUACAUAAUUUGCAAGUAUAUAGAGUACCAAAAUCUCUGUCACAACUAAACAUAAUCAUGAUAUGAAGAUGACAUAUGUAGUAAUGUGUGUGUUUGUGUGUUGGUUGUGGGGGCUCCAUACAAAUUUUCGGUUAGAAAUAACAAUGGUUUGACACACAAAAAUUGGUGCUCUUAACGAGAUAUUAAUGUUAUCCAUUUUUUACUUGACGCUUUCGAUCAAGAAUGAAAUGAGCCAUAAAAAAUUGUGGAAGAUAGUUGACGAUAUGAGGUAUGGAGCUAAAAUAUCAACAAACACCUCAAAAUCAUGCAUAAAAUUAAAAUAUUUUAAAUCUUAAAACUCAGAAUGUUCUGCGAUUUCUUAAAUAAUAUCAAUACUCUCUACAAAGAUCAAAACUAGAUGACAUUCGUAUCCGAAUUAUUAAUUUUUAACAACUCAACAAUCUUUGAGCAUUAGUCAAAAUGAAAUUUUCGAAAAUGUUUUAAUUGUGAACAAAGGUCACAUAAUAAUGAUAUUUGGUUUGUUAUUAUGGCCUACAUAACUCAGAAAUUCACACAGAUUAUACUUUAAGCACUCCCGAUAUCUCAAAAUAUGAAAUGAUGUGAAAUUUGAGAUGAUCAAGAAAUAAACUUUAGAAGGUUUUAAAGCUAAGACUGAUCUGGUUUUAAACAUCAAAAGCCCUUAUGCCUGAAAAAACAAAAGAAGCAAGAACAUUACAAAGUUAAUGCUACUAAGAGAAAUUUCGAGGAUCAGAAUUGACCUCAAACAAAACAAGCACAUCACAAACUCUACUUGAUUCUUUCAUUGUAAGCUUUUCAGGAGUAAACGACUUGUAAAUUGAUAUUAUUUCCUGCAAUAAAGAAGAUAUUGGAAUUAUCACUAUUCAUGACAUGAAUUUCCCUUGUGGAUAGAUUGAAUAACCGCUACAAAUCUUAAACCGAGCUUGUCAAAUAAAAAUAUGGAUUUAAUUUAAAGUUUCCAAUGACCAUCAUAUGCGAAAUAAUUUCAAAAAUAGAUCAAGUUCUGUUCAAGAUUAUGAUGCAACUUGAUAUUACAAUUUUUGUGUUUAUGUUUAGCUAAGAUUAAAAACUUAAGAAAAACUACACCAAGCUAUUACAGCAAAAUAAUUUUAUGUGAUUCAUGCAAUACAUUUGACAUAUCAAACAAAUUCUGCAUACCGUUAACAAAAAGAAAAUUGUAUUCGGAGAACGCCAUAUUUGGAGAGCCAAAUCCUUAUUGGAUCCCUGCUUCUGUAUUGAUUAAUCACAUGUUAUAAUGAAAUACACUAUAUCACACAACAGGCAUUAGAACAUAAAGUAUAAAAUAUAAACUCUACAAUAUGCACAUUAACCUUUUAAUAAGCGAAUUUUAUUAUCAUUUGUCUACAUAUACUUAUUGAAAGAAUUUACAUAAGAGUGUCACAUCAAGUUUGAAAUUUAAUUUAUGAUUUUUUUCCGUAUAGCUCAUGAUUAAACAACACUUUGAAAAAAAUAAUAUGACAAAGAGGAAUAUAAUCAAAACAUGAUUACCCGCAACUAAAUUUGUGUUUAAACAUAGAAAUGUAUUAUCGAACCUCUUAAAAACCUCCAAUCCAUUGUCAAUUACUACUGAUAACCUUCGAUCAUGAUUAAUUAUGAAUGCACCUAAUGAAAUUAAAUACUCCUUCCAUUAAUUCAUGAUUCUUAAUUCAUUCUAACCAACAAAUUAACAAUAACCAAUACAAACAUACAUAUACAUAAAAAAAAUUCAAUUGAUCGAUCACUUAUUGGUGGAUUCAAAAAGCCUCUUGACUAUUGUCCUCUUAGACAUGUUUAACAUCCAGCUAGCCACACAAAGAUAAUAUAGCAUACACAUGUAUAACAUCUACUAAUAUAUAUAUAUGAAAAAACUUCAAUCAUGAUUAUUAUCAAUUAAUUAUAUCCAGCCACAUCAACAUAAACUAACACACACAUACACACAGACAAAUAUGAAUUUAAAUGGUGACCUUGAUUCGAGUAAGAAGCGAGAUGGCCUUUUCACGGUGCUCGGGUUCACCAAGCAAUUGAAGCAACUCGUCAACACUAGCCAAAGACAAAUCAAGUGCUCUAACACCAUUAGCAGUUGCACCACCGUUAGUAAAAGCACAUUCGCUAUUCUCGAAAUCCGGGAAAAGAGAGUCCGGCAAGUUCAUCAUUGUUUCAGACAAAAAUCCCUAGAAGCACCCCCAACAAGAAGGCCGUUAUUGAGUUUUGUAGGAAAAGCACAAUAUGAGAAGCGGCAACUUGUAAGAGAUCUAUUAUAAUGUUAAUAUCUUUUUGGUUUUAUGAUUUGUAUCUUUUGCUAGAGUCACGAGCUGGGUACCUACCUUGUUUUGUACAUUUAUGAAAAGUAACGAAUGGAUUUAGCACACUUGGACAAGAUUUGAUGGUGAUGGUAACUUUAGCUUCAUGUGUGACAAGUGAAUUACACCAGAUUUAUGAUAUAUUUGGGCCUAAUCCAAUACAAUUAAUACCUUGGCCCAUCUUCACCGAUGAUUGUUCGCAUAUUUUUAAAAAUACUAUUUUAUAAAAUUACUACAUCACAGCCUCUGUUUAACAAAAAAUUCGACGAUUGUUGACGCACUUUUAAAGAGAUUAUUUUCUAAAAUGAAUAUAUUAUGGUCUAAAUGCAUAAAAAUUAGGAAUAAAAUAUUCCGAACUUUAUUCCAAUACACAAACGCAUAAGAGUUAGGAAUAAAAUAUUCUUAAAGUAUAUUUUAAGAUAAGGUUAAUUAUCAAGUUGAUCACUGAAGUGGGCACAAUGUAUCAAGUUGGUCACUAAACUCAAAACGGUAUCAAGAUGAUCAUUGAAGUGGCCAUAAAUAUCAAACAAAUACCUUGAAAUAUAAGUUCAAGUAGUAAAAAUAUUAUUUAUAAAGUUUUACACAUUAUUUUUAAAUUUGACCAAAACCAAGUAAAAGGUUAUGACUUCUAAUAUUUAUGAUAAUAUAUUUAGAUUUUAUCAAGUUUAUUUAUUAUUUAUUUUUGAUUAAAACAAAGAAAAUAACUAUAUAAUAAAAUAUAAAUAAUAAAAAAACUUGAUAAAAUAUAAAUAUAUUAUUUUAAAUAAUAGAAGUCAUAACCUUUUAGUUGGUUGUGAUAACAUUUAAAAAUAAUGUGUAAAAUUUUAUAAAUAAUAUUUUUAGUACUUGAACUCAUAUUUCAAGGUACUUACUUGAUAAUUAUGGCCACUUCAGUGACCAUCUUGAUACCGUUUUGAGUUCAGUGACCAACUUGAUACAUUAAGCCCACUUCAGUGACCAACUUGAUAAUUAACCCUUUUAAGAUAUGCUUUCUAUAUAUAUUUUGUAAUAUAAUUAUACAAUCAAAAGUUGAAAAGGAAUACUGGAAGAAAAAAAAAAAAGGAAGUUGAAAAGCAAUAUUAAAAGGCACCAGCCCAAAUGAAAAAUUAUACACACUCAAUAAAAGAUGUUAUAAGCCCAAAUUAAAAAACUAAUUACAUGCUCUUGAGGUCCAAUGUUAUAGAAUACAGGCCGACUAGGAUUUUAAUAUCCGUUAAUUAAAGUCAACUAGUCAACCUAGUCUUAUAAAUUUAUUUUUAGUAUUUUUUUAUAAUUGCAUAAUUGUUUUUUUAUCAUGAAAAAUGUAUUUUAUUACUAAAAUGAAAUUAUAAAUUAAAUCAAAAAGAUCUAUGUUGGAAAUGGCACAUACACACGAAAAUAGAUACUCCCUCCGUCCCCUUGAGAUAUAUACGUUUGUAUUGGGCACGGAGACUAAGAAAAGUGUAUAAAGGUAAUGUAAAGUAACGAGAAAGAGAAAGAAAAGUAGGUAAAGUGGUAGAGUACUAGGGUUCAUUAAUAUUUAAGUGAUAGUUUGGGGAAAGGAGAUGAAGAUAGUGGGUGGAUAGGAUUUUUAUAUUAUAAAAGUUUACUAUUUUGGGGAGGUUUUGAAAUAUAUAAAAUUAAAUGAGAUAUCUCGAAAAGAAAAGUGUAUAGAUUUCAAAGGGAUAGAGGUUUAACAAUUUUUUUCCAAAGGUUUGGGGAUGGAUUGAACAAACUAAUCUCAUUGUAUGUGAGUACUUUUUUCCUUGAAUAUGAUCAACUAUUUGUAUGCUUUUCGUACACCACAUUCACUCCAAAGUUGUAACAGCCUCAAUAAUAAUGAUGAAUAUCGUCUCUAAAUAUCUGCAUUUGUAACUUACAAAUAUAAUAUCACCAAUGAAUUUGCUUCGUACAAGUAAUAUAAUCAUAAUAUCAAUUUCAAAUUAAUUGUCAUAGUUUUUUUUAUAUAAUUUGAAUUCAGUUAACCGAACUCGAUUGCAACUUCGAUCAGCUGCACACCAAAAUACAAAUUUAAAAUCGCUCAAAUAUACUCGAAGCACAAAUUUAAAAUUUUGUGGUCACUAUCUUGAGUUAAGUUGACCUGCAUUACAAUGCACGGAAUUAAAUGUCAGCAAAGCUCGGAGUUAGAGUUGACAAGGAGUAAUGGGCACUCAUCACCUGCUGCAAAUAUUAUAAGAACUACUCCCUCCGUCCCUAUUUAUCUGUCCACUUUGCAAGUAAAAAUUUGUCCCUAUUUAUCUGUCCAUUUAUACUUUCAAAACUAAUUUAAUGAUAGUUUUUCAAAUAUAUCUCCAUAAUUUCAAUUUUCAAGGCUUGACUUAUUUAAAACUUGGUUGAAUUCAUGUUUUCAAGACAUAAAGUAGGGGUAUUCCACCAUUUUCAAGAUAUUAAUUAGAGGUAUUAUCAAAGUUAAAAAAAAAAUCAUAUUUAGAAUAGGAUGCUAACAAUGUAUAUAUUAUAGGCUAGGGAGAAUUAAAUAAGAGGCAAUAAACAGGAUCAUAAUACAAGCCUCCCAAAAUGUUUGCCAGCCCUGUCCUACUUACUCAACAUAAUACAUUCGGAUGAGUUAAAGGAUAACAGCUCUCUCUUUAUAACGGGGUUAAAAAAAAAGGUUAAUUAUCUAGUUGGAAGUGGCUUAAAGUAUCGAGUUGGUCACUGAACUCAAAACAGUAUCAAGAUUUUCACUGAAGUGACCCUAAUCAAACAAAUACCUUGAAAUAUGAGUUUAAGCAGUAAAAAUAUUAUUUAUAAAAUUUUACAUAUUAUUUUUGAAUGUUACCAAAACCAAGUAAAAGAUUAUGACUUCUAAUAUUUAUGAUAAUAUAUUUAGAUUUUAUCAAGUUUAUUUAUUAUUUAUUUUUGAUUAAAACAAAGAAAAUAACUAUAUAAUAAAAUAUAAAUAAUAAAAAAACUUGAUAAAAUAUAAAUAUAUUAUUUUAAAUAAUAGAAGUCAUAACCUUUUAGUUGGUUGUGAUAACAUUUAAAAAUAAUGUGUAAAAUUUUAUAAAUAAUAUUUUUAGUACUUGAACUCAUAUUUCAAGGUACUUACUUGAUAAUUAUGGCCACUUCAGUGACCAUCUUGAUACCGUUUUGAGUUCAGUGACCAACUUGAUACAUUAAGCCCACUUCAGUGACCAACUUGAUAAUUAACCCUUUUAAGAUAUGCUUUCUAUAUAUAUUUUGUAAUAUAAUUAUACAAUCAAAAGUUGAAAAGGAAUACUGGAAGAAAAAAAAAAAAGGAAGUUGAAAAGCAAUAUUAAAAGGCACCAGCCCAAAUGAAAAAUUAUACACACUCAAUAAAAGAUGUUAUAAGCCCAAAUUAAAAAACUAAUUACAUGCUCUUGAGGUCCAAUGUUAUAGAAUACAGGCCGACUAGGAUUUUAAUAUCCGUUAAUUAAAGUCAACUAGUCAACCUAGUCUUAUAAAUUUAUUUUUAGUAUUUUUUUAUAAUUGCAUAAUUGUUUUUUUAUCAUGAAAAAUGUAUUUUAUUACUAAAAUGAAAUUAUAAAUUAAAUCAAAAAGAUCUAUGUUGGAAAUGGCACAUACACACGAAAAUAGAUACUCCCUCCGUCCCCUUGAGAUAUAUACGUUUGUAUUGGGCACGGAGACUAAGAAAAGUGUAUAAAGGUAAUGUAAAGUAACGAGAAAGAGAAAGAAAAGUAGGUAAAGUGGUAGAGUACUAGGGUUCAUUAAUAUUUAAGUGAUAGUUUGGGGAAAGGAGAUGAAGAUAGUGGGUGGAUAGGAUUUUUAUAUUAUAAAAGUUUACUAUUUUGGGGAGGUUUUGAAAUAUAUAAAAUUAAAUGAGAUAUCUCGAAAAGAAAAGUGUAUAGAUUUCAAAGGGAUAGAGGUUUAACAAUUUUUUUCCAAAGGUUUGGGGAUGGAUUGAACAAACUAAUCUCAUUGUAUGUGAGUACUUUUUUCCUUGAAUAUGAUCAACUAUUUGUAUGCUUUUCGUACACCACAUUCACUCCAAAGUUGUAACAGCCUCAAUAAUAAUGAUGAAUAUCGUCUCUAAAUAUCUGCAUUUGUAACUUACAAAUAUAAUAUCACCAAUGAAUUUGCUUCGUACAAGUAAUAUAAUCAUAAUAUCAAUUUCAAAUUAAUUGUCAUAGUUUUUUUUAUAUAAUUUGAAUUCAGUUAACCGAACUCGAUUGCAACUUCGAUCAGCUGCACACCAAAAUACAAAUUUAAAAUCGCUCAAAUAUACUCGAAGCACAAAUUUAAAAUUUUGUGGUCACUAUCUUGAGUUAAGUUGACCUGCAUUACAAUGCACGGAAUUAAAUGUCAGCAAAGCUCGGAGUUAGAGUUGACAAGGAGUAAUGGGCACUCAUCACCUGCUGCAAAUAUUAUAAGUACUACUCCCUCCGUCCCUAUUUAUCUGUCCACUUUGGAAGUAAAAAUUUGUCCCUAUUUAUCUGUCCAUUUAUACUUUCAAAACUAAUUUAAUGAUAGUUUUUCAAAUAUAUCUCCAUAAUUUCAAUUUUCAAGGCUUGACUUAUUUAAAACUUGGUUGAAUUCAUGUUUUCAAGACAUAAAGUAGGGGUAUUCCACCAUUUUCAAGAUAUUAAUUAGAGGUAUUCAAUGAAAAAGUUCAUAGCAUCAAUUAUUCAUUGGUAUGUGUUUUUUUUUUCAAAAUGGACAGAUAAAAAGGGACGGAGGGAGUAGUAUUCUUGCCCGCUACGCUUGGCAAUUUUUAUUUUUUUAUCAAAAAAUUUUUGAAGCCAUGACAUUAAUUUUUAAAAUUUAAAUUACGAAGUCAUUGUACUUUUCCUUUUCUCGAAAAAUAUACGAACAUGAUAGUGUCUUUGUUUUUUAGUACAUUUUGUUUCAUAAAUUUUUCAUUCAUUUUUGAUUAUUUCCAAGUGUGUGCUCAUGAACACAUGCUAAGUACCAAAUUUUAUAAGAAUGGUGGAUUUUAAUUGGUUCCCACUCUUUUAUAAUGGUGGACCUCCUGCAAAUUUACCAAUCACACCAAUUAAAAUCCACUUAGCCCAACUGCAACGGGUUAACUAUUCCACUUUGAAUCUUCAAAGAAAUCCAUUUGAACUCUCAUUAAACAACUCAUUUCUAUGGUCCUAACUAGGGAUGAACAUAAACCCGUUCAACCCGCUAACCCAACCCAAACCGACCCUUUUUUAGGCCGGUUAACCCGACCCGUUCAAAACCGAAAAAUAAAUGGGUUGAUUUUUAAAAAACCCGAUUAAGUUGGGUUGGGUCAGGGUUUUACAGAUUUUAACCCUGAACUAACCCAACCCAACCCGAUUAUAUAUAUAAAAACCAGUUUCUGGACAGUUUUUUAUCACUAUUUUUAACUACAGAAAUCACUAAUUUGUACAUAACAUAUCACUAAUUUAUAUAUAGCAUAUCUCGCGAAUAUAAAUAUAUAUAUACACACAUAUAUGCAAUGUAUAUGACCAUCAUCUUCACCCAAAUCGUAAUAAUGGAACUCUUACCACCAUUACCAAACGUUUGUAUGACUUGCCACCAUUGUCUAUAAUCACCAAUAGUCACGUACACUUUCCAUCAUAACUUACAAAACUAACGACUACUUACCAUCAUCAUACAACUUCUCUUGCGGCUUCCUACCACCAAGAACCUUCAUACGGAUGAAAUUAAUCAUCUAUAAUCGAUUAUCAAUAAUCUAGAUAAGUAGAUUUUCUCAAUUUUGAUAAUAAAAAUCGCUGUUUACAUUAUGUAUAAAAACAGUGAUUAGUGCAGUAUAAAUUAGUGAUACCCGUAGUUAUAAAUAGUGGUAGGGAAACUGGUUUCUAGUUUUUAUUUUAAGAGUGGUUUCUAUUUGAUCAUGAGCCUAUAUAUAAUAUUUACAUACCUAUUUUAUAUUUUUUAGUUUAUCUCAAUCAAUCUUUAACCUAAAUUUGAUUUAUCUAGGGUGUGUCUAUACAUUUACAACAGCAAUAUGAAUAAUUUUAAGUAUCUCGAUAACUAUAAAAUGUAAAUGAUGACUUUUGGAAUUUGAACAUGAUUAAUGAUUUGUGUAUACAACAAUUUUCUAUUAUUUCAUCAUUGUUUAAAUGUUUCACCAAUGUAAUAGGCUUCCCUCUUCGAUCAAAAACUUACGCAUCGACUGAUAUUGGUGAAUGAUUCAUAGAAACUGAGUAACUAUAAAUAUGUAUGCCGACUGUUACUAGCUACCGGUGUGCGAGUGAGUUUUUUUUUUCCUGUCACGAUGAAUAACUAAAUUUUUAUUUAUUAUAAUUUUCGCAAGUUUAACCCAAACCAAUCCGACCCAACCCGAAUUAAUUGGGGUGGGUAGGGUUGGGUUAGAUAAAUUUUUUUCAGUUAUCGGGUUAAGUUUUUAUUAACCCGAAGUUUUUAUUAACCCGAACUAAUUGGGUUGGGUCGUUUUUUUCCAAAAACCCGCCCAACCCAACCCAUGUUCACCCCUAGUCCUAACAGUCUUGCACACAUGCAUGUUAUUCACAUUGUUUUAUAUUUAUGGCGAUCCACACGAUAAUAUUUCAUAAAAAUAGAAUAUUGCAAGAAAUAUAAAAUAUGUAGCAAAGUGACAACGAUGCAUGGACCUGAAUUAUAAGAUGGAAAACAAUAUCUUUGUGGAAAUGUACCCUUUAUUAUUGUGAUUUUCAACUGUCCCCUAACAGUGCUACUUAAUUAACUGGUCCAUCGAUCCAGGGUCUCUCUACGGUGUGAUAAGCAUUUUCUAUUUAUUAAUAAAAUUCGGAUGAUUGCAGUCUGAUCUGAAUUUUUCAACAUUCUUGGGUAUUAAAUUUAUUUUGGAUCGUCAUCAAUAUCUCAGUCUAGUCAAACUAAUUUUUUUAAUUCAGUGGCGUGGUUGUGAGUUGAUUAAACAAAUGCUAUCAUUUAUCGUCACUGUUUGAAAAUAAAGCACCGUUUCGCUCUAUAUGUUUAUCCGUAAUACUAAUUCUUGAUCAACCAUGUCUUACGUAAAAUUCAGUUUUAAUUUAGAGAAACCACGAGUAGUCAAGGAUUAUCAGAAUUAUCCUUAGAAGUUAGAACAAACAAUGUGUUGUAUAGACUAAUUUUUGGCCGCAGAGAUAAACUGCAUUAUUACAUUUCAUAGUAAUGAAUUUGCUAUAUUAUUAAUUUGGAGGUAUGUCAGCUAUAGAUAAAGCAAAAAUUAUUCAGAGUUGAUAACAUGUCAUCAAAAAAUAAUGCUAAGAGAGUGAGACUCCAGAUAAGGAAAGCCAAACCCCAGUCACAAUAUCUUCACCAGACGUUGAAACUUGAAAUGAGAUGUUAUGUUUUAGUUUGAAGAUUUCAAGCCUUACGGACAACUUGUGUCGGUAUUAUUAAUUAAAUUUAAAAUUUUCAUUUAAUAGAUAUUUUAAAAUUUUAUAUUCAUAAAAUCAUGAAAUCAAAUAUUUGUAUCAAUUAUUCAAAAAAUAUAUAUAUUUACAAUAAAUUUAGAUAUAGUAAAUUCAUUUUUACAAAAAUAUAUGUAAUAAAAUUAAUAAAAUUUAAAUGUGGAAUGCAUAAAACAUAAAUUAAUUAGUUGUAUCUUUGAUCACUUGUUCUGGAGUUUAGUACGACAAAUGUAUAGAAUAAUAUUGAAUAUUUGAAUAUCUAAAAUAUAAAUUAAUUUGAAUCAUGUUACAAUUGUAUUAAAACUAAAUAUUUAUCGCACUCUAAAUAUAUAAUAUCUUUCGAUAAUUUUCUAAAUUGUAGAUAUUUAAGGCUCAUUUGCAUUAUCAAAAUUUAUAAAAUUCAUGUGCAUCCAGGAAAGAUCUUAAAUAUUGUAUAAAAGUUGAUGUUAUUCAAUUAAAAAUUUGAAAUUUGAAAAUUAUUUAGUUCCAAGUUCAAAAUAAUCUUUAUUUAACGAUAUUAACAUAAACAUAAAUUAUAUGUGAUAUUCAAUAGAGCUUAUUAUAUUUUGUAACCCUACACUUUGGUCAAUUAGCAAAUCAGACCCCACACUUUGAAACGUGACACAUUGUAAUCCUACACUUUAUUUUCCUUUCAAUUUGUACCCGGGCCCACUAUUCCGUUAAAAAACCACGUUACCGUGAAGUGAUUAAGAGGUUAACAGCUGCAAUUUCAGUUUAUAACCCUCGUUACCCCUGUACUUGAUGUAGGCUUGGUAAUUUAACACGUAACACGCUAACACGAAACGACACGAAAAAAAUGGAUAUGAGUUUUGAUUUUUAAUACACGAAACACGAAAGUACACGAUCACGAAAUUACACGAUAGAUUUCGCGUCGGAUAUGGGUUUUCAUUUUGGGUACACGAAAUACACGAAAGUACACGAAAUAUUUGUACAGAAUUUUUAUUAUAUAUAUGUUAUAAUAUAUUAUAUAAAUAAUUAUGUAAAAUAUAUAUAUAUAUAUAUAUAUAUAUAUAUAUAUAUAUGUAAAUUUAUAUUAGAGAUUCGUUAACAAAUUUGUAGAGAAUUGUAUGUAAGCAUAAAUAUAUCAUUCAUAUUUAAUAAAAUUAUAUAAGAAAAUAUAUAUUAAAACUAUUUAUUGAUUAAAAUUAUAUUAACUAUUUUAUAUAUAAUAUACACAAAAAGUACACGAAAAAUACACGAAACGUUUCGGAUCGGAUAAGGGUUUCAGAUUAGGUAUACGAAAUCAAUAAUGGGCGGAUACGGGUUACAAGUUUUAGUUGUUGUUUCUGUGCUUUCUCUGUAUGGUUUUGAACUGCAAAAAAUCAACUUCAUCAAGUACAGUUGAUAGGGGGUAAUAGGGGGUUAUAAACUGAAAUUGCAGCUGUUAACCCUUAAUCACUUCACAGUAACGUGGUUUUUUAACAGAAUAGUGGGCCCGAGUUACAAGCCGAAAGGAAAAUAAAGUUUAGGGUUACAAUGUGUCACGUUUCAAAGUGUGGGGUCUGAUUUGCUAAUUGGCCAAAGUGUAGGGUUACAAAGUGCAAUAAACUCUAUUCAAUAUAUAUAAAGUGAAUGGUAUUGAAUUUUGCUAUUUUUAAAAAAUUAAUGAAAUCUCAUAUAAAUCUAUAAAAUGACGUUGAAUUUAAAGAUUUGGUUAUAAUCUUUGUUAAUUGUUAUUAUUUUUAAAUCUAAUCACGAUUAGUAGCCAUGUAAAAUGAGAAAGUACUAGCUAGCCAUCAGUUUUUUUGUUGUAGGUAGUCAAAAUAUAGGAAAAGGAUGGGGAGUAAAUGACAAGGCAAGUCGUAGUAAUAGACUUUGUAGUGUAAACUAGGCCACAACAAGUAGAAGAUAAAGGAAGAGAGUGAUCUCUAUCAUCACAAUAUUAUCAAACAAAGAUACAAUAACUACAAAUCUUAACACUCACCUUGUAUUUGGUCUACCCUUUUUCCCUUGUUAUUAGCCGAGUCAAUUGUACCAUACCUCAAGACUCUAGACUCAUCCUCCCUUCUUUGUUAUAAUAUUCCAUGGCUCAAGGGAGUGGACUCUCCAUUGAUCCUCCUUCUUCUCAUCUCUUGUUUACUUGUUCCUUAUCUUCGGAUCAUCCACAAGACCUUAGCCUAAGACACCGACACAAGCUGAGGCUUGAACCAUCAAUACAACAGCUCAUGGAUUGUCCAAAAGGGCCGAGUACUAUACAGUUUCCUGUGAACCUCAACUGCACCACUGCAGACCAUGAUCAUGAUCAAGACCAAGAACGCGAUGAGGAUCGAUGUUUUAAGUCUGAUGAGAAGCGGCCUGUCAUUGAUGAGAUGGACUUCUUUGCCAGCAAGAAGGAUGAUGAGGAUCAUGAUCACAUAGCUGAGACUGAUGGUGAUGAUCAGAAAGAUGGUUUGUGUGGACCUCAACAUUUCAAUGUGAAUGUGAGUCUUGUGGUUUUCUUGAGCUUAUCAUUUCUAUAUUUUUCUCAACUACUUUUAUCGUUUUCCUCAUUAAUAAAUGUUGUUCAUCUGUAUGCACUAACAAAGUAUACUAAAAACAGACUGGUUUGCAUCUUCUCACCACAAACACUAGCAGUGAUCAGUCAAUAGUGGAUGAUGGAGUUUCUUCCAGCUCUGAAGAGAGGAGAGUCAAAAGUGAGGUAAUCUUUAGUUGCAUACUUCUACCUUGAUCAUUCCAAUACAAACUGAUUAAGAUUCGUAUAGCUUCAAAAAUGAUUUUAACGUUUUCUUCUUCUGAAUAAAAAUUUAAUUUUCAAACUUUUAUUCAGAUGAAGAAAAUUUCAAAAAUAAGUUAUGGAACUAUAUUUUAUGUACGUCCAAUGUUAAAAAAGUGUUAACAAAUGGAAGGGACAGAGGGAGUAUUGUUUAGUGUGUUAAUCUAUAGAUGAUAGACUGAUCUUCAUUUAAUAUUUCAGCUAGCGGUGCUUCAUGCUGAGUUGGAACGAAUGAACUCCGAGAAUCAGAGAUUGAGGGACAUGGUGGAUGAGGUGACCAACAAUUACAACAAUCUUCAGAUGCAUUUAGUCACAUUUAUGCAGCAGCAGCAGCAGCAGAAAGCGGAUGAUAAUGAAGUAGAAGCAGAUGAUGAUGGUGGAAAUAAUAGCAAGGGUGAGAAAUUUGUUAGACAAAAUAGCAUGCGAAAUACGGUGCCUAGACAGUUCAUUGAUCUGGCAGUAGGAGGGGGGUCUAAUGAUGAAACAACAGAUCAGGAGCCUUCACUUUCUUCGUCAGAAGGCCGUGAUCCGUCUCACUCUCGGAUGAGUAAACAGAAACAGGAUGAUUUGUACAGAGAAACGGAUAGUCCAAAUCAUGGGUCUCCACACUGGGGAGGUUCUAAUAAAGUCUCUAGAUUGAAUCCUUCCAAAGAAGUUGACCAGGCCACUGAGGCUACCAUUAGAAAAGCCCGAGUCUCGGUCCGGGCUAGAUCAGAGGCCCCAAUGGUAUAUAUAUCAUGAACUGGCUCAGAUCAUUACUGUUAUAUUUGGUUGAAAUUUAUGCAAUUUUAAUUCAUUAUCAAAUUUUUGGUACUCUCAGAUUACUGACGGAUGCCAGUGGAGAAAAUAUGGACAGAAGAUGGCUAAAGGAAACCCGUGUCCUCGAGCCUACUAUAGGUGCACCAUGGCUGCUGGUUGUCCAGUUCGGAAACAGGUAUCCAAAGACUACUAUGAGCUUAAAGUUCUGAAUAGUAGAAAAGAUCCAAGGCUAAAAUACCAGUAACUAAUUGAUUUUUUAGGAACCUCCUGCCUCUUGUUACCCACUAUGUUACAUGACUAAGGAUGGUUCAGCAAGUAGAACAGUACUAAAUGUAUUACCAGCUCCGAUCUUAUAAAAUGAUACUAUUGUAAAUUUUCAGGUGCAAAGGUGCGCAGAAGAUAGGACAAUCCUGAUCACAACAUAUGAAGGCAAUCACAACCAUCCUUUACCUCCAGCCGCAAUGGCAAUGGCUUCAACCACAUCAUCCGCUGCACGGAUGCUCCUCUCUGGAUCAAUGCCAAGCGCGGAUGGCAUAAUAAACUCAAAUUUACUAGCCAGAACUCUCCUUCCUUGUUCCUCAAGCAUGGCCACAAUCUCCGCUUCAGCACCAUUUCCCACUGUUACAUUGGACUUGACUCAAUCUCCAAACCCCUUGCAACAACUCCAAAGGCCUCAAAAUCAAUUCCAACUUCCCUUCGCGAAUCCACAACAAUCACCAAACUCCCCUGCAGCUCUGCUACCGCAGAUUUUCACUCAGGCAUUGUACAACCAAUCAAAAUUCUCAGGCCUUCAAAUGUCGUCUCACGAUACUGAUGCUAACCAGGCACUAGGCUUUCCACCAAUGCACAACCAAGCGCAACCAGGCACGAUGGCUGACACUGUCAAUGCAUUAACUUCUGAUCCGAAUUUUACUGCAGCUCUAGCAGCAGCCCUUUCUUCUAUGUUCGGUGGCACUUCCCAUGCAAACAACAGCACCAACAACAAUGCCAAUGUCACAACUUCUACCAGCAACAACAAUAGUAACUGAGCAUGCAUCUUAUCAUUUUUAUUCUUGUUUUAGUUUUUUUUAAUAUAAUUUUAAUAUCAGCUGAGAGGAGAGAAAUGAUGGUUUACAUGUUCAUUUGUUAGGGAUGGGAUGGGGUAUACAUAGAAUCGAGUUUUUUUUAUUCAAAUUCUUGUUUAAUUAAUAAUUCCGAUUUGCGGUGAAAAUAUAUACAAAAAAUAGUGUAAAAGCAAAAAUACAAUGAAUAAUACAUGUUAGUUCUUACUCAAAUUUAUGUGUGAUCGCGGAACUGUAUUUUUCUUUAGGCCUGCUUGUGAAGAAUGCAGUCAAGAUAUUCGUCUCAGACUUUGUUCAGAUUUGUGGAAAAGAUAGAAAUAAAUUGUCUCAUGCGGAAAAGAUUUGAUUUCUUGUCUGGUUUGAAUUAGCCGUUUGGCCCCCAAUCAAUAUAACAAAAUUACUUUUUUUAUUAUUUUUUUAUUAUAUUUCGAUUUUUGACACAUUGAUUGGAUUGGAUAGUAAAUUUUUUUUAUGGAUAUAAAUUUAUAUUUUAUUGAUAAUAUAAAAUUAAUAAUAUUUAUCUGAUUUAAUUACUCAUUUUCUAAUAUUAAUUUUUGGUGAUAAAAAAUAGACAAAAAUGUUACCGUUGAUGAGCAUAAAUCUGAUUUUCAAAUUUUUCUAUACACAUUGUACUGUUUGCGUCAAGCAACUCAAGCCUUUCAUAUAGCACAAGAUAAGCUAUACGGGUACUACAUAACACAAUAAUAUAGUAACAUUAUUUUUAUAUGUAUCGUCGAUCUCUUUAUAUAAACAUUUUAUAGAAAAAAUAUAUAAUUUUAAUAGAUUAAUAUAUAUUCAAAAAGUCGUUUUCAUUUUAAGUAUCCUAAACAUUUGUCAUUGAGUGAAUAGUAAAAUUUCUCCUCCGGCUCUGCUUCUUCCGGCGAGUCUAUUGGAGAUUUGGAGCUACCCUGAUUCGUAAAAAUUACAGCUAACAUGCUCUGCUCAUUUGAUUGAUAAAAUUUUAUUAUCUAUACCAUAAUAAUACAGAUGCAUGUUUCUACUAUAAAUAAUGUUAAUGUUAAUAUAUAUGGAUAUAAAUUCAUAUUUUAUUGAUAAUAUAAAAAUAAUAAUAUUUAUCAUAUCUAAUUACUCAUUUUCUAAUAUUAGUUUUUGGUGAUAAAAAAUAGACAAAAAUGUUACCGUUGAUGAGCAGAAAUCGCUGCUUUUCAUAUUUGUCUACACAAAUUGUAUUGUUUGCGUCAAGCGACUCAAGCCCUUCCAUAUAGCAGAGGGUAAGUCAUAUGUAUACUACAUAAUAUAAUAGUAUAGUAACAUUGUUUUUAUGCUAUUGACACAAACCUUCCAUAUAGCACAAGGUAAGCCAUACGUGUACUACAUAAUACAAUAGUAUAGUAACAUUGUUUUUAUGCUCUUGACUCAAGCCUUCCAUAUAGCACAAGGUAAGCCAUACGUGUACUACAUAAUACAAUAGUACUGUAACAUUGUUUGUGUGCCCCAUGCCUCCAAAUGUAGUUGGUCCUCAACUUAUACAGUUGUUUUUUGACCUUGCUCAACUUAAAUAGGGAAAAUAGAUUUUUUUGCCACUCAACUUAUAGUGUUUUUAGAAACUUACCACCCAACUAAUUUUUUUAUUCUUUUAGUCACUAAUGUUAGGUUUGGUUUUGUUUUUAGCCACCAGCUUAGGUUUGGAUUUGAUUACUUGUAUCAUCAUUUAUACGUAGUGAUAGUAUCUAAUAUUUUGAUGAUGUUUCGUAUGUUUAUAUCCUUAUAUAUAGCAAUAGUAAUAUAAAAUGAGCCGAUGAAAAAUUUAAAUUAUGAAUAAUAGUAAUUAGAUUCUAAAAAUUCAAUAAAUCAUGAAUAUGAAAUCAAUGACUUCAAACAAUUCACCCUCUCUCAUAAGAUAAAGUGUAAUUGAGUGAUAUGACGCAUCAUCUUUCGCUAUUAAACUUUAAAUGGACUAGCUCAGUCUAAGAUCUUUCUUAAAUUUAUCUUCAAAAAUUUAAUAACUUUAUCUUAUUACAAUUUUCGAGAUGAAUAAAUAGAGAGGAAAACUUAAUUUUCGAUGAUUGUCCUCUAUAUAUAAUACAUCAUUUUAUAUUAUUAUUACUCCUUCCGUCCUUCUCAUUAGUUUACAAAUUUUCUCUAGUGCUUAGCAUGUAUUUAAGAUUCUUAUAAAACAUAGUUUCAUAACUUAUUUUUGUGUGUAAAAAUUCAAACGCUGAAUUUUCAUUCGGAAGAAAAAAAAUAAAGUUAUAUAUGAAACUACAUCUUUUAAAGGCCAUAUAAUGCGUGUAAAAUUCUUAUCAUCCAAGGUAAGCGACCUUGAAGACAUAAAAAGUACUACAUAUAAAAAUACAAACAUAUAUCAAAUCAUCAAAAUAUUACCGACUACCACUAUAUUUUAAUAAUGAUACACAUAAAAUGUAAUGCUAAUAAUCAAAUCUGAACCUAACUUCAGUGACAAAAAAAAGAGCUAAAUCUAACACUAGUGAGUAAAAUAAAAAAAUUAUAGUUCAGUGGUUAGUUUCUAAAAACGCAAUAAGUUUAGUGACAAAAAAUUAUCAUAAUGCUGGUAAUCAAAUCCAAACCUAAGUUGGUGGCUAAAAAUAAAACCAAACCUAACAUAAGUGACUAAAAGAAUAAAAAAAUUAGUUGGGUGGUAAGUUUCUAAAAACACUAUAAGUUGAGUAGCAAAAAAAUCUAUUUUCCCACUUAAAUAUAAAAUUUUAACAUAUUAAUAUAUAUUCAAAGAGUCGUUUUCAUUUUAAGAAUUCUAAACAUCUGUCAUUGAGUGGAUAGUAAAAUUUCUCCUCCGGCUCUGCUUCUUCCGGCGAGUCUAUGGAGAUUUGGAGCUACCCUGAUUCGUAAAAAUUACAGCUAACAUGCUCCGCUCAUUUGAUUGAUAAAAUUUUAUUAUCUAUACCAUAAUAAUACUAAUAAUACCAUAAUAAUACUAAUACAUAUUUCUACUAUAAAUAAUGUUAAUAUAUAUAAUGUCUAUUAUUUAACUGUCUAAACAUAUAAGUAUUAUAAUAAUUUUUCAUAUAUUAUUUCUAUAUAAUAUCUAUUAUUUUAAUUGUCUAAUCAAAAUUUGUCAAGUGAGAUAAUGUAUAACAACUAAAUAGAUAAAAUAAAGAGUACAGAUAUAUAAAUAUGUGAAUAUGCAUUAAUCGCAUGCACGGUCUCUAUCGUAAAUUUAGAUUAUAUUUAAAAUCAAUACACGAAUUUGAAUAUAUAUCAACAAAAAAUAUACAUGAAUAAAUGCGUAACAUGCCUUAAUACAUGCGUCCACACGAUAUUUAAACCGGUUAUGAAAAUUAAACGUACACAAAUAAAAAAUAUGCAUACAUAAAUACAUUUGUUGAAUCACGUGAACUUCUUGAAUACGAACAAAAAAUAUGAAUGAUAAACGCUUACGUAUGUAUUAAACUCGUGAACUUUCUAGAAUUAUGAAUCUAGACGGUAUUACUGAUGGAUACAUAAAUAUAGAUAGAAACAUUUUUUACAAAAACAAAAGACGACUCGACUAUUUUUAAUAAUUAUAAAAAAUAAUUUGAAAAAUAAAAACAAAUAAGUCUCCUUUAAUUUCUGAAAAAUUCCUGAAAAUUAGUUACCGAUACAUUUAAUUUGUUGGUACACAGUUUAUAGAAAAAAAAUCUCAAUAAUUAGAUCACAGAUCACCACAAAUAAUUUCCAUCCAACAGUAAAUUCGGUCGCAUGUGUUAAUUAAAUCAUAAAUUAAAUAUCAUAAUUAUACCAUAUCUGUUUAAAUAAUAAUAUAAUAAUUUAGUAAUCGUGGAGAGACAGCCAGCCAGGGCCGAAUUUAAAUAUUAAGAAAAAAGGUAACCUUUAUAGUUUCUGUGAACUUGCCUUGUGAGUUCUGUUGACCUGCUAGGACACAAGUAAACACUCAAUCUGCUACUUUCCUCUGGGUUAAGGUAAAACUUAAACUCUUCUGUCUGAUCCCAUGUAUCAUAGCUAUCUAUGUAUGUACCUAUGUUUAUGUUUGUUCACACGAGUGUUUAUGUUUCUCAUUUUUCCUAUGAUCUGUCCAGUUUCUUAUCUUCUGUUGUUUGAUUGUUGUAAAAUUAUGGAAUAUAACACACGCACACAGAGGUUUGUGUGUGUAUGAAAAUUUUAGUAUGUUAUGUUUUAUAUAUUUUUUUUAACUUUUAAUUUCUUAGGUUUUACUAGAUGUUUAUGUAAUUCUUUGUGUUCACAAUUAGGUUUACUUUAUGUGGUUUGCGUUUCAGUUUUUGAAUUUUGAUUUGAUGCUUGAAUUUUUGUUUGUUUCUCUAUAUGAUAUGCAAUUAUUAUUAUUGCCGAGGGAAACUAGGUUUAUCAAAAUUGUGGAGGCGUAGAAUGUUACCAAGCACAUUGGAUUUUAUAUGUGAUUAUUUGUUGUGUUUAUGUAAAUUGCAGUUGACUGUCAUGGAUUCCGAUUUCCGAGUGAUUGCGGCUGCAUUUUUCAUGCUGCUGCUUAUGGCUCCAGCGGUGUUUUCAUUGUCAAGUGACCGACUGGUUAGAGUUGAAUUGAGAAAGAGGAAAGUGGAUCCUGCAAACCGUAUUGCUGGAAGUGUAAAAUCGAUAGAAGGUCUUGGUUCGAGGAAUGACGGUCUUCCUGGUGAUUUUGGGCAUCCAGAUGCUGCUAUUGUUGAACUGAAAAACUAUUUGGAUGCUCAGUAUUAUGGUGAGAUUGGUAUUGGUACCCCGCCUCAAAAAUUUACAGUCAUUUUCGACACCGGGAGUUCUAAUCUGUGGGUGCCCUCUGCAAAGUGUUAUUUUUCAGUGAGUUUUGUCUUUUUUCAUAUUUAGAAGUUGGUGAAAAGGUUAAUUCUCUUGUUUUAUUGUUUGCACGACUUAUAGUCUGUAUAUAAAUGAAGGUCGCAUGCCUUUUCCACCCCAAAUACAAGUCUAGCCAUUCAAGUACCUACAAGAAGAAUGGUAAGGGUUUUAUUCUGCUUUUAUUUAAUUCCUAAUCAUUUAUAAGAUGUUUCCUGUUUCUUAUCAAAUAAAAUAGUAAAUUUUGGAGAAGAACUAGGUCAUGUGUAGACAUAUAGCCCUUAUCAUUAGAAGUCACCCGAGAGCUGAAAUAACAAAAUCUUUCAAGUACAAGUACACAAUCAAACUAUCAUUUAGGACUGACAGCUAAGACUUUAUUUAUAAAUUAAAAUGUACCUCUUGUAAAGUGAUUUAGAAAAUUACAAGCAGCGUAUGCUAUCAUUGUAAUAUUUCUUACUGACUAUUUGGUUUAUCAUUUUAGUUUCUUGAAAUUUGUCACCUGGUAAUUCUAGAAAAAAUUGAUGUGUAUACACCACUAUGAAAUUAUAAAGAGCUUUAGUAAACUGUUAUAACUUAUAGGGAUCACACCUGUUCUGCAUCCUUGUGAUAUCAAUGCAGAAUGCUUUGGGCCUAUACAUGUCUGAUGAGUAUCGACUUUUUAUAUUCUGAACAGGAAAAUCUGCUGAAAUCCAUUAUGGAACUGGAUCCAUCUCUGGCUUCUUUAGCCAAGAUAAUGUCAAAGUUGGUGAUCUUGUUGUUAAGGAACAGGUAAGACACUCCUCUAAUUAAAUAUCUAGAAGAAUCAUGCUGAAAUGCUUCUAAUUUUUUUAUUUAAUUUUGCUGUUCAUUCUAUGGUGUCACUGGUCACUAGGAUUUUAUUGAGGCCACCAGAGAGCCAGGCGUCACAUUCUUGGCAGCUAAGUUUGAUGGCAUCCUUGGACUUGGAUUUCAAGAGAUAUCUGUUGGCAAUGCAGUUCCUGUUUGGUAGGUCUAUGUACCUCCCGCUAUUUUAUUUAUAAUUUCGCUAUCUGUUUCCAACCUAGAACCUAGUUCAUUCCUUUGUUAAAUUACAUCAGGGCCCAAGUCACAUCCAUGACGUUCUAGUAAGAUGUAACAUUACAUCAUUGUUACUGUAGCAUACUCAGGGGCAAUUUUUUUUUGUUUGGUUGGUCUGCAGUAAUUUAAGAGCUUAACCUCUCCUUGUAAUAGAUAUUACAGAUACAUAUAUAAUAUACACGGCUUCUUCCGCCUCUUCUUUUCUUUAGUCUUUCCCUUCUCUCUCCAAAAUCGACUGUGUAGCUAUGACUUGAGACCUUUGCAUAUCGAUUUCCUUGGAAACAAGUUACUUACGAUCUUAAAUUUUUAUGGUAACUCAGACUCUAAAAUGACCAUGAAAUUAAUAUUUGAAUAGGUACUCUAUGGUUAAUCAAGGUCUUGUUAAAGAACCAGUUUUCUCAUUUUGGCUUAAUCGCAAUGCUGAAGAGGGUGAAGGGGGUGAACUUGUUUUUGGUGGGGUUGAUACGAAUCAUUUCAAGGGCAACCACACAUAUGUUCCUGUGUCUCAGAAAGGAUAUUGGCAGGUGUGUCUUAUUAAAAUUCCCCAUGAUUGUUCCUGUAUCUACUUGGUAUACUUUAUUUCACUGUAUUAAUAUUUAUAUUUGUUUGCAUUGUUUUCAGUUUGAUAUGGGCGAUGUCCUAGUUGGUGGUCAAUCCACUGGUAAUUUUGUAGACCCUAUUUCGUGCUGUCUUGCUAAUUAGUUCCCACGUGUGUAAAAUUAUGUGUGUGAUGUUAUUAAAAUCCUCUGCUGGUUAUGGACCUGAUGAUGCAUGUUCUCAUUUUUCAGAAUUUUGCUCUGGUGGUUGUUCAGCAAUUGCUGAUUCUGGAACCUCUUUGUUGGCUGGACCAACUGUACGUACUUUCUGAAACUUAAGAAAUUAAAUUUUCUGAUUUUGAUAGAUAAAAUCUCCUUAACAGUAGUUACUAGAAUGCUAGUAGAUUAAUAUUGGAAAGAUGAGAUUCCUUGGUGGUUAUUAUAGUGGAACAUGGCAUGUAUCUGUAGUUCCGUGGAUCGAGACUCUGUUUUCUAUUACAAAGUAUGUUGAUUCUGAAGUUUUUUUCGUGUAUACAGGACGCUUUACAUUGUUUAAUUGCAUUAUAUCUUUUAUGUAAUUUAAGUUGUUAUGUGGCAAAUGUCUUUGAAAGUGAUGAUUUGGAAACUAGAUUCAUCUCCAUUCUUUAUUGUAUGUGAGCACUAGCAAAUUCUGCGAGUAAAUAUCCUUUGUCUUUGUGUGGCAUGCCAUUCUGUCAAAUAUUGUAGACAAUCUAGCAUCUCUUUUUUGCUUCAUGUGCUUGUUGCUCUGUUUAUAGACACAUCUUCAGUUUAUAUUAUCAGGCAUCCUAUAUUAAUGCUACUAUCUGGCUAUACACAUUGCAGACUGUGAUUACUCAAAUUAAUCAUGCAAUUGGAGCUUCAGGAGUCAUAAGCCAAGAAUGCAAGUCUGUCGUUUCCCAGUAUGGGAAGGAAAUUUUGGACUUGCUGUUGUCUGAGGUACGUCAUUAUGUGCUGAACUUGGCUCUUCCCAUUUGUAGACAUUAAAUAUGUCACUCCCACCGUCCCACUCAUUUCUUUACAGUUUUUCUUCACUGCUUGACACACAUUUUAAGAUGUAUAUAAAGCCUAGUUUGAUAACUUAUUUUAAAAAAUAAAAAUUUAAACAUUAAAUUUUAUUCAGAAGAGAAAAAAAUUAAAAUAAUUUAUGAAAUACUUUAUAAGAGCCUUGAAAUGCGUGUCGAGCCCUCUGUUCCCCAAAUGUAAACAACCCACUCGGACAGAGGGAGUACUUUCUUCCAGCUGAUUAUAGAAAUAUAUAUACUGGUAGUUAUUUUGUAUACAUGCCUACAAAGCAUUUUGUUCCGUGAAAUUUGCAUGUUCCGGCUAAUUUUGACAAAUUUGCUUUUUCUAAUGGCGAUUAUAGGCGCAACCUUUGAAAAUUUGCUCACAGAUUGGCUUGUGCUCUUCACGUGGUACUCAUGAUCGUAGGUUAGUUUCAACAUGUUGCUUUUACAAUUUGUUAUUGUGUUUGAAGUUGUAAACACCAUUCAACUAAUUGCGAAUAUCAAAUAUUUGCUAUUAUGUUGAUCAUGGUAAACAUAAACUGACUAAUUUUGCUUCAAUUCUGGCCUAUUACUUAAAUAAUACGGCGACGAAAUGGUGACUAAUAUGUAGUUGGAUGGGUACAGUAUGAUAAUUGAAAGUGUCGUGGACAUGAACUCUGGAAAAUCGUCAAGUGGCCUGCAUGAUGAGAUGUGUACUUUCUGUGAGAUGACUGUUGUCUGGAUGCAAAGUCAGCUUAGUAGAAACCAGACGGAGGAUAAAAUUAUCGAUUACAUUAACGAGGUGAGUAGAUUCUAAGUUUUGCUCAAUGUUUAUGGCAUGCCAUCAGAGGCUUAAGCCAUUAAUUUGAUUGCAGCUCUGUAACCGACUUCCUAGUCCAAUGGGGGAAUCAGCUGUUGACUGCAACAGUCUCUCAUCGAUGCCUUCUGUUACUUUUACACUUGGUGAUAAAACAUUUGACCUCUCAGCAGAUCAGGUAAUUGCAAUAUGCCGCUGUAGGCUCUAGAUAAUGCAACCGUUAUUAUAUUCAUUGACAUUAAUAUUUCACGCAAAAUUGAUGUGCACAACACAUUUUGAGGAGCUGUGUUUAGUCCCUAAUAUAGGUUUUUUUUCAGUAUGCCCUAGUUUUUGUUUAAUAUGCCCCAAGUAGAAUCAGUGGCAAACAGCACAGUAGUAUAUUCUUGAUUGAUGCUAUUAAUCUGUUAAUACUUGAUAUCUGAUAUCAUCUUCUAGGAAGAUUAUAUUAGUGUUGCACAGAAAUGCCCAUUAGGAUCUUGAUUGUGAGACUAGGAUGCUGUUUGGCCAAGUAUUUUUUUGGACUUGCAAGUCGGAAACUUAAAUUAGAUAAAUGGGUAUAUGUGUAUUUAAUUAUUAGUGUAUUGGAGAAUCCCUCCAUCAUCCCAUAUAUUUUGACCACAUUUCAUAAUAUUUUAUUAUGCCCUGAAUUUUAUGUCCAUAUUUACUUAUCAAGGUAAAUUAAGUUCAAAUUUUGUUAAAAUUCAAAAAUCUGUCUAUUUAAUCAAUUGGAAAUUUAAGUGAUAAACUAUAAUUUUAGUACUUAUUAGUUCGUCUAAUUUGAUCGAAAUGGAUCAAUAUCUAGGUAUGUUUGAGCCAUUUAUGUGAACGUGUACAAUAUCUUGACAUUUGCUUCCAUGAUAUAUAUUAGACUAUCAAAGCAAUAGGUGUCUUUCUAGCCUCAUUGUUAUUAAUUAGUUUGGUGUUGUAUGCACACCGACUUUCUUAACUCAUUUCAUUUUUUACUCUUUUUGUUGGAUGGUGGUGGCUUUAUGACUUACUAGUACGUCCUUAAAGUCGGUGAGGGUACAGCAGCUCAAUGCAUCAGUGGUUUUACAGCUCUAGCUCCUCCUCGUGGUCCUUUAUGGUAAAGACCUCUUACUCUUGCUUCUUAAUCACUUUUUUUUCCGCUUCCAUAUUUUGGUUCUGAAUGGAUAAAGUAACCUCUUAUCUAUGUUCAUUACGCAUCAAUUCAUUAUCUGGAAACAUGACCAGGCAUGUUGUCAAUUAUAUAUCUUAGCUGAAUGGUUUGAAUGAAUAGACGAAAUAUAGGUCCUCACUUGACCUUGAUUUUUCAUCUAUCUUCAACCUCUGGCUUGUCCAAGAACAUAGUACCUCUAAAAUUUUAAAUUAUUUUCUAUUUUGUUAUCGGAUAGCAGCUUUGAAAUUUUCAGCAUUGUCUGAUGCAGGAUCUUGGGGGAUGUUUUUAUGGGUAAAUACCACACAGUAUUUGACUAUGGGAACAUGAGGGUGGGAUUUGCUGAAGCAGCAUGAGCAUGUCAUUGGACUUCUGUUUACAUUUUGCUUAAUCUGCAUGAUUGUCCCUUUUGCCAAUGUUUAUAUUUAAGUUACCCCCUUUAUGAGUUGCAAACGUGUGGGGAAGGCAGCCUUAUCUGUUGCACCAAAUUUGUACCGUUAAACUCUUUCCUGUAAAUAUGAAAAUACACAAAGCUCGCUAACUUGCAUGAUAAUAAUACAGCGAUUUUCACCAAAUAAUCAUCGCCUGCACAAUAUCCAUCAAUAUUUUGAUGGGGGAAAGCAUCCUUGUUUGUACAAGGCUGCAUCUGAUUUGAAUACCGAGCAAAUUGGUGCUGAACUAGCAUUCAUGUUUGUACAUACCAGGUAGUCUAACAAUUGUGAUUUCUGCAAAGUAGAGAAAUGUCAAAUUUAGAAAAAAUAAAUUGCAUGAUUGCUGGACAGUAUGCAGUCGAGGCAAAAUCAGAUUGAGAAUAUAUUUCAUAACAUGCUUACUCUGCAUAUAUCGCAAAAAUCACUUUAGAAGUCAAGUUUUAGAACAAUGCUCCUAUGUGUUGCGAAAGAACAAGAUCUCUAUAGAAAUUUUAUUAUUUUGUUCUGAGGUUUUGAGAAGAACAUGGAUAUACGAGAGAAUGAAUCAAUUUUUUCUGGAAUCGGGGAGCUCUAGAUCGUAACGAAGAGAGUUCAGAUGCUGUUUAUUGGAUACUUGGCAUUGGAUGCUUCAUCCUGUAGUUUUCUGGCGACUCACCUUUCUUUUUCCGUUUUAACAUGAAUUUGCGUUCAUAUAUUUGUAAGGAAACAUAUUAUAUUAUAUAGAGUUGUAAACAAGUUAAUUUCGUCUGCCUUGUAGCAGCACCGUGGAGCUGCAUGCGAAUAAUCUCGACUCGACUCAUUUAAAACUCUGACUCGGUUAUUAUCGAAUUUAAGUUCGAACAACAUAUUUUGUUUGUUAAAAAAUUUGAUUCAAGUCUAGUAAUAAGUAUUACUAGUGUUCUGACUUGUUAACGACUUAGUCUGGCUCGACUUGUUAAACUCAAAUCAUCCUAUACGAAUACUUCUUUAGGCAUCUCGACUAAAAAUGCUAUUUUCGAUCAAUUUUGGAAGUAGAACAAUUGCAGAAGAACUAUCAUGCAUAAUGCUUAUUACAUUAACAUCACUGAACAAAUUCGUAAAACCAUCAAUUCUAAUAGUGUAACAUGGUGAUAUUACACUCAAUAACCGAGUAUGCAGCUGCCAUAUCAAGAUAAACAGUCUCAAACGUUGCAUAGCCUCUAGCAAACCGAAACUUCCCAGUACCAGACACCACAGACACCUCUCGAACUCUUUCAAACUGCGGACUAGCUCCUUGUAUUUCCAAAGUGCUGCCCUUGUACUCUUCAUUAGUGAACACAAGUGAGAUCAGAACAUGAGUAUUAGACCCGUCUAGAGCCGAGGUCACGUAGAUGCCUUGAGCUCGUCCCACGGGUGUUGAGCUAGCAUCAAGGCCCUCAGUUAUCGGAUCAUCAGUGCAGAAUAUGGUACCGAAUCUAUGGAAUGCCCAGUCUCCAUCGGAUGAGACCCCGGUGAUCGGGAUCAGUGUGGCGUUAGGACCAUAAGAGUAGUCUUGAAUGUAGUAUGUGAUGCUGGUUUCUUGUGGCUCCCCGAGUUGCAGCUUCGAAUCAGUUAGUGCUAAAGUGGCUAGAACUAAUAUUAAGCACAAAUAUUUAGAAGAUGCCAUAUGUAGAGUUGGAUUAAGUAUAUGAAGAAUAUAAAUCUAGAAUAAAUUUCAUUGUGAGAACGGCAUGUACUUAUAAAGCUGAAGUUGAGUAAUAUCUUAUGCAAGUUCUAUGUUAAUUCCGCUUUUUGGAUGGAUUAGUCUGAUCUACUGUCAUUAUAUCCUAAUUUUUGUAUUCUACAGAAACACGAAAUUAAAGAAUAAGGAGAUCUCUGAGCAGUAUAAAACAAGGACUAACAAAACAAACAGGUAUAUUUGAAUGAUUAACCAGAUUGUAUAUUCCCUUACACCUCUACUUGUUUAUUAUACUACUAUCUCUAAACUGAUGCUAUGAUUCAUAAUACAUGGUGAUCAACAAACUCAGGUUAUGCAGGAGGUUUCGAUCUAUUAAUCCAUUAAAUUUUGAAAGCGAAGUCAAGCUGCAGUAUGCAGAAUUGCAGAACUUCAGCUAUGAGGUCACAUAAAGUAAAUUGUUAUCGUAGAAUUGUUGGAUUUGAUAGCUCAACUAGUAGGGGGCUAGCUAGUUAUCGUCCUAAUGCCUGGCCACAGUGAAGAGCAUUUUUUGGAAUUGGAUAUUUGUCUCUCCAUGAAUGUGCAGCAGAAUAUACGCGAAGGUAGAACUGCUGGCCUAAGUAUUGUCUAGCCCAGUUCUCAGACCGUAUGUUCCACAUUCCUACAUUGUCUAGUGGCAUAUAAACUGCUGUCCAUGAUCUGGGAUACACCUGCAGAUAUAAAAAGGUUGUAAUCUUGAAAGAUUUGGUUGAGAAAAUUAAGGAUCGUCUAUUGAAAAAAAUUACAUUUUACAAGAUUUUAUAAAACUUGAAGAAUAAUGUGGACUGUCUACUUAUUAUGUACCUGGACAGUGCAGCGAGAAAUGGCGUCUCUUAGGUUGUAACUUGAUCUGCUUGAAACGGACCACUGCCAUCGACCCAUCCUGUUCAUGUCGCAAUAAGUAUGAAACUUGAAUGCAUUUAGAGUCAAGUAUGUAUUAUUUUGUAUCUUGUUACAGAGUUUUUGAUCAGUUAUAUGGCAAUCUGUAUCCUCAGAAACCAUAUGUUGUGCAGAAUGCUAAUGGAAUUACACUACUGAAAGUCUGAAAGAAAUAAACUUACCCCACAACAAAGAAGAAGUGGCCAUCAAUGUGCCAUGAUUGCAGGAUGUCCUCUGAGUUUUCAAACACCACCUCAGCAAACCCUCUGAAAUCUGCAGCCAUGACAGAUGUCCGAAGAUAAUUCCAACCACCCACAGGAUUAUCAGGAAUGCUUCCCAGAAUGAAAACACCUGAAAUGUUGUAAUAAUCCGCGAGCUUAAGUGGUGUGUCUGCAGGGGUAAAUGAUACACUAUUGACUGCAUAUCUCUUCUUCCCAUUGAUGAUUGGAGCAGAAUUCGCUAGCUUAAUAGUACGGGUAAUAUUAACCAUGCCAUAGUGAUAAGAGCCUUGAGGAUUAGGCCUCGGUCCACUAGCUGUCAAAUUUUGCCUAAGAGAUAGAGCCUGAUUAAGUGACCACUCUAUAUCAAUGUUUGGACCAUCCAAGGGAGGACCAGUAACAUUUUUCGUUGAGUUGCUAUAAUGUAGAAUGGAUGUUGUUGUGAGAACUUGAGAAGUGAAACGCGUAGAAACAACAAUGUGAUAGUCCUGACAAGGUUGAUCAGCUGUGACCAAAACUGAGUAGGAUUGGCCCAAAUGAAUGUCAAGAGAAUCGUAUGUGUUUUGGAGAGUAUGAGUCCCUUCUAUUUCAACCAAAAGCAUCUUGUGUCCCUGUAUUCUGAAAUUGAUUGAGGUAGUAAGUCCUACAUUUGAUAGCCUGAACCUGUAAGUCUUGCCUGCCCCAUAAAAAUAAAUUAUAAGACCUCAAUUUGACAAAACCUUACAAAAAAGGCAUGCAAAAGCAGGAAAAGAUAUAAAUAAUUACCUUGAUCAACAGUGAAACUGGAUACAUUUGAUGCGCGACCAUUAAUUAGAAGUCCAGCAGGGAAGGGAAGACCAUGUCCUUCGUCUAAACUUGCUUUUAAGUUCUGCCAUGUUUAAGAAAUUUCAGUCAAGAACAUCGGAAUGUGCUAACAUGAAAAGAACUGUUUAGAAUAGGAGAUAAGGAUUUUGAAGCAUGUGAAUGGAUCCUUACAGUGUGAUUUUGGAUGAACCAAUCACCAGAAAGUAUGGUGAAAUCUCCGGCAGGUGGUGGGAAAGGAACAGGAAUCAUUGGACGGCUGAAGAUCUUGAUUCCACCAAAGCCACCAGCAGCCUUGUGGAAAGCAAGGGAAGGAAAGUAAAAGAAACUACCAAUUUGGUCUUUAAACUGAAGAAUAUAAGUAAAAUUUUGGCCUGGUGGGAUGGGGCAGUUUGUGCCAUACACACCAUCCUGCCAAGAAUUCCUUCUUUGUUGUAUUCCAUUCCUGCUCUCAAGUUAAUACGGAAAAUAAUAAGUGAAAAGCACAUAGGAAUAUAGGCAUCAGUUAAACGGAUACAUAUCAUUACAAAAAAUUAGAAGUAGCUAAGGAGAAGAGAAACAACCAUGACAUGAGAAAUGGUUCAUCCAGCUUAUUGAUAAUGUUGACAAUCACAUUGUCAUUGGUGACAGACUCGAUUGUUGGUCCUGGGAAUUGCCCGUUUAUCAGUAUUCCCUGAUAAACAGAAAGAAUUAUAUGUUAUACACUGAAAGAACACAGAGCACAAAUUUGCUGGGAAAAGAGGUGCACUUUUCUCAGUUGUACCUGCUGUUUAACACCGAGGGGAUAAAUAUCACCAUAAGUAAUGUUCCAAGUGAAAAAUCUAUAAGGGUCUUCCCCGCUUAUGGAUUCUAAUACAAAUGUUAGUAGUACCAACACGACGCACCAAUAAUUUCUUGAACUUCUGUCUCCCAUCUCUGGAAAAAUGAAGACUAGUUCAAGCUGUAUCAACAAUCACUAUGAAAGAGAAGCUUUCUUUGUACCCGUGACAAAUAACGUAUUCGGAUAUCUCAAUUUGAAGAUAUUCCUCAUCUUUAUAAGAGAAAUGUUCCCACUUCCCAGCAACUUAAUGGAUUUGUGUAUAAAACUUAGCUGUAAUAAGUAAUAACCACUACCACCUUGGGCUUAGAGAAUGAAACUAAUAUAUUCUACACACAUUGCUAGCAUGUUUCAUAUGUGUUUACACAACAAAUGUGCUAUACAUGGCGCACUUUUUAACUCGAUCCUCAUAAACACAUAAUAUGCAAUGUAUUCUACUAAUUAAGGACAGAUCACGGAAGCUUGUAGCUUGCAGAUAAUUAGAGUUUAUAGUGAGUAAAAUCGAAACAACACUAAAAACAAGCUUGAGAUUAUGAAAGAUGCAGACAGCCUUUACAAGGAGAAAGAUCAUCAUACAAGGCUAAAGAAAUUAAACGUGACACAUAAGCUAAGCCUUAUUUUGUGGAAUAAGUAUUGGAGGACUCAAGCCAGGUCUCAAACCACAUUUGGAACAUGUAAUCUGCCUUCUUGUACUUUGGAACCAUAGAAUAGACACUUCCAUGAUGAUUUGUGGGGAACACCUCUUUGGUAAUAUAAUCAUUAUUGUUAAAUAUAGCUUGUUUAUUAAUUAAUGGAGUUCAUAGCUCAACCUUUUGUAAUUAAUUGGUAAUUACUAUAAUUUGAAGACCGGGAGAUGAGCACUUAGCAUUUUAUACUACUACAUAGUAGUAUACACUAUUCUCGGUGUAUCAUUCGAUUGAAUACAGUUUUUCCGAUGAUGACACAUAUUUUAAGGUAAAUAUAAAGUCUAUUUCCAUAAUUUAUUUUAACAUUUAUAUUAAAAUUUAAAUAUUGAUUUUUUAGUUAAAAGAAAAAAAUUUAAUAAAUAAUUUAUGAAAUUAUAAUUUGGGAAGACCAUUAUGGAUAUCAGGUAGUAGUUUCCGUUCAGUCGGUUGAUUGUUACCCUUCAAUUUCAAAUUUUCAGGCGUGCCAAAAAAGACAACUCCAUAAAAUUUUCAUUCGAGAAAAAUCAGGAUGGAUCUUUGUAUAUACAUACAAAAGUAAAACUGGACUUCUAAACGAAAGUAUAACUGUGUUCUCAAACAGGAAGACUAUCUAGAUAAUUUUGGUUGCUCGGAGGAUGAUUUAUAUUUUGAAGUUUGUGAGCUCUGUGCUUCGUUGCUUAAACCUUACAUUUUCGAGGAAAAAAUUCUGACAUUUACCAGAAUUUUCUCUCGAGCUGUCAAUGAGCUCAGCUAGCAUGUAAGAUUAGACUUUCCUGAAACUAUAUAUAGAUCUUAUUUUUGAAGGUUUUUCCGUAAUUCAACCAAUAUUACAGAUUAUAAUUCACUAUUGUCCAAACAUUUCUUUGCAAUAUUGAAAACCCACAAGAUUAUAUUGUAGUGGUUAAUUCGACAGUUUUUAACCAGUUGCAGAAGCAGUUGCAUGCAGUGAUAACUGCUAUAGUAUUUGUUUAUGCAAGAAAAUUUGCUGUAGGAUUUUAUCGAGUUUUAGACUUUAAUGCUGAUAAUGUAGCCAAGGGCUCUAUCGGGUGAUGUAAUUCUCCAGGUUAAUUCCAGAACAGGAUUAGCUAUAUUGGUAUGUACUGAGCAUUUCUUUGUCUAGCACGAUAGUUGAAUAUGAAAUAGUUCCCAUGCAUAUUGCUUGAUAUUAUAUUUAAUUUAUAAAUUAUAUAAUUAAACUUAAGUUCAACAUUGCUGGGUAAAUUAUCCAAUAUAUAUGUUGGAAUUUUAAAUUGUCACGGGUAAAUUUUUGUUGGUAGUAUUUAAAUCAAUUUUUGACACCUUACACACUAUUUUGAUUUCAUUAUUGAAACAAUUCCUAAUCUAAAAAUGUUUGAAUAUAGUUUAUGAAAUCAGAUAGUGCAAGGUAAAUAAUUUGAAAACAGUGCAACUAUUCAUGUGUACUGUUUUAUCAACAAAAUGGAUAUACAUGAUUUAUUUUUUUAAAUUUGUAGUUAUAUAUUGAUUCAAAAUUACAUCAACAUGAAAUAGAAGCACAAAUUAAUUUCAAAAACAAUUUUUACAUAAACUAAUAUUAUUAUAUUGAAUUGUGUUUCAAUCUCUUUAUAUUUAUAUAAAAUCAAAACCAUAUUUAAAAAAAUGUAUACUAGUAAGAAAGGGAGGAAAAAGAAGAUAGGAGAGCUAUCUAUCUAUCCAUGUGAAAGAAGUGAGCAAAGAAACCGGAGGAUAGAAAACGUAGCAUGCAGCACACAACCCGGGGCGAUCUAUAUGCUUACGCCUAUAAAUUCUUCUAAGUACUUCCUUCUUUCCUUCAUCUUUCACUUGUAAUAAUAUUAUUUUUUGUUUCUCUCUCUCUUUCUCCAUCAUUUCCUGUCAAUCUUUCCUCCUUCUUCACUUAAAUUACUCAUCUUCAACACUCUCUACAACUGCUUUCUCAUCUCCAAACCAUUAAGUUAAAACUCUUCACAUAUAUAUUAGUUUCUCUCUAUUUCCCAAGUCGAUUCACAAGCUUAAAGAUACACUUCUUCUCUAGCUAGCUGGCUUAAUUUCUAAGGCUUAGUGUCCGAACUUAUCUUCUAAAAGAUAUUAACUAGCAAAUUAUAGAAGUAGCUAGAAAAAGAAGAGAAUUGAUGGUGUCACAAGGAGGGAGGUGUGGAAUAAGCAACUCUGAGGGGGGAGUAGGACAUCAUGUGGUGUUAAAGAAAGGGCCAUGGACGGCAGCUGAGGAUGCCGUGUUGUUGGAGUAUGUGAAGAGGCAAGGAGAGGGCAACUGGAAUGCCGUGCAGAAGAAUUCAGGGUUGCAGAGAUGUGGAAAGAGUUGUCGUCUCAGAUGGGCUAACCAUCUGAGGCCUUUUCUCAAGAAAGGUCCCUUUACUCCUGAUGAAGAGAAAACUAUCAUUGAUCUUCAUUCAAAGAUCGGUAAUAAAUGGGCUCGCAUGGCUGCUCAGGUGAAUCUUUCAUAUCUAGCUAGCUUGCCAUAUAUUUUCUAAAUUUUUUAAGAUAUGUCACCUUCUUGGACUUUUUUAUUAAUCACCGCCUUCACUUCCAAUCUUCUAUAUAUCAUGGUUCUUGAUAAACAAUAACUUCAAUUAUAAGUGUUCAAAUAUAUCGUCUGAUUGAUUUAUUUUGUUAAAUUAUUGUUUAUGAAUAAACCCUAGAAACGUGUCCCAUAAAUAGUAAGUUUUGAAUCCGAGGGAGAAUAGACCUAUGAAAUGUUAUCUUGUUUUGGUCCAAUCACCCAUUCACACUGAUUUCUCAGCUAUAAAUAGUAACUCACUCACGUAUGUUCUCUGCACCGCAGCUUCCUGGCAGAACAGAUAACGAGAUUAAAAAUUACUGGAACACAAGGCUUAAGAGGCGUCAGCGAGCUGGUUUACCAGUUUAUCCUAUGGACUUGCUCCAACAACAAUACAACCAGCAACACCAGCAGCCUCCAAAUAUCUCGGUUUCUCCAUCCUCCUCUUUUGCCAGUAUUAUAUCUGCCGCGGCUGCUGCAUCGCCUUCAGCUUCUCACCCAACUUUUCAUCGUCGUCUGAACCAAAAUUCCAUAAAUCUUAUGAAAAAUUGCACACCACUUGAUCUUCUGAAUCAUCCUACGUACUGCAAUAACAUGACCGGUACCAAGUCAAUUCCAUUCCUUUCCCGUGGUCUAAUUAACAAUCAUCCUUUCUCGUUCCAAAAUUCUGUGCUACUUAAUCAAUCAUUUUCGGGAAAAUCUCUGUUAUUUGAUGCUAAUCUUGGUCAUAACAGUAGUCCCAUUCCAUUACCUGUUACUGCUACUAAUACCACCAACUCGUUUGAUCUGAUGAGAUUAUCUGGUAUGGGCACCGAUAACAAUGAGCUGUCUUCAAUCCAAAAUACAAUACAAACUUCUAACAAUUCGGGGUACAUGGAAAGCGAUGAUGUGAUGGGUGGAGCAUCCAGUGGUGGUGAUGAACAAUGUGAUAAGAUUGCAAGAGGCAACAGUGGCUUACUAGGUGACUUACUCCAGGAGUCUCAAGCAAUUAAGCGUUGCGAGGAUAGUGAGGAUAAAGACAUAAAUGGAGAAGAAGAUGGACUAUCAAAAGAUGCUUUCCAAGAUUUCAAGAAUUGCAAUAUUGACCUCAUGAGCAACGUCCCUAAACAUAUAUCACACAGUGGACUUUCCAUUUCAGAUCGUUCUAAUAUUGGUUAGUAUUAAUAUUUAGCUAAACUUAUUCAUAUUUUUAAAUCAAACUCGAAUGUUUUUUGAUGGCAUUGUUUUGCUAUGUAGGGAUGAACCAUGAAAAGGCAGAGGUAGCAGAGGAAAUGAAUAUCAUGGAUGAUGAUCUUAUGCGUUUACUGGACUGCCCUUCACCGGUGUGCAUCCCAGAUUGGUACGACGUUGGUAGCAGUACUAAUACAAGUAACUAUUCAAGCAGGGAACCAUCAAAUGUUACUCCUACUUAUUUUAGCAAUGUAAAGAAAGAUGAAGAUGAUGAUUGGGACGAGAACUUUUGCUGCUGGAAUAACAUGCCUCGUGUUCUUAAUUCAUAGCUAAGAGCAAUGCCUUUGAUCUAGUUUGGACUUCAUUAUUGAAUUUAUUGCUACUUCUUUUAGUACUAUUGCAUGCUUAGCAGCAUUUCUAAUCAGUGUGUUGUCACAGUAUUAGUAAUUUAAGCUUUUAUCAGAAUGUUUGAAUGGACGAGUUAUUAUUGAUUUGGCUGUAAUUUGUGUGAUUUCACUUUUAUUGCAACAAGCUCUUUGAUCCAAAAUUUGUCCAUGAUUGCAAAUUUUCUACACCAACAUUGAUCAAUUAAUUGGUGAUAUUGCUCUAAACUCUGCGGAUAAGUCUCUGGUUUAGAGUUUAGACUAUUCAUCAUUGCUUUCCAAAGAGAAUUUCAUAGUUUUCCCACAACCUUUCUUUCCGCAGUGAUUUCUUGUACAUUACUAAAAACCCCACAACUUGUUAACUACAACAAGGUCACCAUAAUGGCAACUUCAAAACUUCUAAUUAAAUCAAGUUACUAAUUGAGUGCAUUAAAGUUCUUAAAUAUUAUACUCGCUCCGUUUCAUUUGAUUUUUUCAUACAGUUUUAGAUGUUUUGAUUAUAGAAUAAAAGUUCUUUCAUUUUUUUUUAAAGAAAAUUGUGAAUUAUAAUAGCUAUAGACUAUAGUAUAUCUUUAUUCACACAAAAAUGAUAAAUUUUUCUAUAUAAUCAAAGUAUUUAAAAUUUGUAUCACAAAAUCAAACAAUUUAUAAAACAAAAUAGACAAAGGGAGUAGCUCCAUAAGAUCUACAUGGAGAGGAAAUUAUGUUAAAUUUUAUUUUUCAAUCAAAUUAAAAAAAUUAAUAAAUAUAAAAAAAGGUGUUAUAUGUAAUAUUAAAUUUGUGAUAUAAAUGAGACGACUCUCGUCUCUCGGGUACUUUGAUAAUAUGUAUCUUUAGUUAACUCAUAUGUUUUUAUAAUUAAUGAUGCGUCUAAAAUUAAUCUAAUUUAUAUAUUAUUAAAAUUUUAAACUUUUACUUUUAAAAAUAUAUAAAAUACGGGCUCCUUUCCCGCUAAAUAAGUUGCAAAGACACUUCUUUUUUUUUUUUCCCAGGAUCAACACAAAUAACGUGUACAUGAUGAAUCAAAAUGACGAUCGGCGGAGUAUUGCAUCCAACUUUAUCCUGUAAUUCGGAGUUUCGUACCAAAAUCCGUCAAACUUUAAAAUUGAACAGCAAACAUAUGAGCUAAGGUCACAUGUAUAUCAAGAUAUCAAGAUAUACACGAAAAUCUGAAAUCUUUUUUCUGAUAAGCUUGGUUCUUUCUGAUAAGCCUGGUUCUUUCGUGGCUUAAAAGAUGAAAAUAUGGACACGUCAAGAUAAUGAAAAAAGAUACCUAAAAGCUAAAAAUCUGAUGUUAAAAUAUUUUUGUUUGUGUGAUUCUAAUAAUUAAACUUAAUCAACCUUAAGUAACUUAAUAUUUUGAUAACAUAAUACUUAAAAAAAUUUAAAACUGAUUAAUAAAUUCAUUUAUCAUUGAAAUGUCAUUACUAUAGUGUAUGUAUAUAGUUUAUUCAAAAUAUUUUCAUAUGUUUUACUCAGUUGUUUCUUUGUACAAAUAUUUGAUAGAAAGUUAAAUAUGUUAUUUUAAAAACUCAUUUAGAAUUUUAGACUUGUAAAAAUUCAAAUAAUUAUUCUUAAUUAAAUGAAAAAAAUCAUAUACAUUAUUGUUUAUAAUUUAUAUGUUAAUGGUUACAUUAUUUUAUUUACACAACAAAAUAAAUUCAACUUAUAACUUAUGUAAAAUGGGUCAUGUUCCACUUAGAACCAUUAGUCAUUUAACUCUUACAACCAUUAACUUAUUUCUAAUAUUAUUUACGCUUAUGGAGCAGAACUGCACAUGAAAAAAAUGUCAUAUUUAUGUAUUUUAUUUUGAAAUUACUUUUUUUUUGUAAGGUAUUUUGAAAUUACUUUCGAACACACAACAAUAAAAAAAAUAUAUUUAGAUUUAAAGCCUGAAAAUCUAUGAAAAAAAUAAGAUUGUGUAUGGUUAUGGUUUUAUGAUUCUAUUUUAAUUAUUGGUUCUGAGCACCACCCUAUGUAAAAUAUAGGAAAAUGCUCUUAAAAAACCUAGUCAAACAAGCAUCAUAUAUAUUUCAUUAAUCAAAUUCAAGAUAAAUUAAAUUAUGAAAUAUCAUAUUGCUAACGAGUGUUUGAACUCAUUUGCUGUAGUUCUAGAUGCAUAGAUCAUCUCCCGAUCCUAACGACUCAUAUCCGCAAAAUCAUUCAAUUUUACGCGCAGAGAAAGUAAUAGCUGACGAGGAGAGGGGGCUGCAGCUUGUGGGAGAAGAUGGAUUGUAAACAUGAUCCAGCUUCCAUCUACCCAAUCCCAACAUGCAUGAUGCAUUCAUAAUUAAAGUGAUCAAAUGACGUAUAUUAUAUUAUUAUAGCAACCCUUCUCAUCUUUUAUAUAUCUUGUGUGAGUUUCUUUGCAUAAUUUUGUAUAAAAUUUAAAAUUUAAAAAUUGACUUUUUUUUCUUCAAAGAUAUCAAUAUCAUAUUUCUAUUUAAAAUUUUCUAAAUAUAUAUUAAUUUUAAUUAUAUACACAAACACAUAAAAAUAAGUGUAAAAAAUCAUAAAAAAUAUAUGCGUAGCAUAUAGAGAUGCAUUGACAGGACAGGAUAAUACUGUGCCAUACUUUCAAACGGAAUAGCCCUGGCCCCUGGGUACAAAUACGAAGGAUAUUGCUUUUUCCAAUCUCUUUUAGCCUCUUGCUAGCUUUUUUCUUAAAGUGUUUGCAAGUAGCAAACUUUACUAGGAUUCCUUCCAUGUUUUCAGAUUUAGUUUUCCUAUUUCUGUAAAGUUUAGCCAGCUUUUGAGACUUUUAUGUAGAAAUGAAGAGAUAUAGAUCAAAUAUAUUUAUGUACUACCUAAUUAGGCUAUAUAUUUUUUAAAUAUAUAUAUAUAUAUAUAUAUAUAUAUAUAUAUAUAUAUGUGUGUGUGUGUGUUUUGUUAUUGUUCUAAAAGUGAUUGUUUAAUUAUGAUUAAUUACCGAUUAAUCACAUUUCAUAACUCGUAAAAUGAGUUAAAUAUUUGAUUAUUUAAUCUAUCAUCCAAUUAAUUUUUAUUUCAUAUUUUAUUGAUUAAAUCUGAUUUCUAUUUAUUACAAUAUUGACCAUAUCGAGGCAUACUUGCAUGGCAGACCUCUUCAAGAGGUCCAUUGUUUUGUAUGGAGUCCAAUGGUGAGAUUGAAGAAUGGUCUGCAUACAGUAUGUAUAAGGAUAUGCAGUAUAUUUGACGUUUUAUGGAAGAAUUAUUAGUACACCCAAGUAUAGAAGGCACUUGCAUAGUUGCAUAUGCAUGUCUGUCUCUACAAUAAUGUUGUCAAACGUCAUAUUGCUAAAUCAAUAAAAGAAAGGAUCAGAUGAGAAUUAUUAUAUCUAACAUUUUUCUUGCUCAAAAAAAUCGAGUCGAAAGAGUGCAGGUUAUUAGAAAUUUAAUUUUGAUGAUGAUACAUCGCUUUGGUGAUAGUAGAUUAUGAAAUUAAGAGUGUGGAGGAAAUCUCGAAAGUUUGACACUAUGUUUGAAUUUUAAAUAUACACUGUUGAAAUGAGAAAAAUUAAGAAAACGGAUUGCGUGAUACAUUGCAUGAUUCGCCAACCUGCAGUCUGCAGUGUUAAUUAUAGUAAUUUAGCUGACGGCUCAUGUUUUACAUACCUCAUAUCUAAAUUUGAUAAUGCAAUGGUGACGUGCUUUAGUCUUUUUUUUCUUAUCUUAUCAGUUAAGGCAUGCAUAUAUUUUCCCGUCUUGAAUAUUUGUAAAAAGAAAUUGGAUCCAUAAUAUACAAUUAAAAUAUUUUUUUUAAAUAAUAUAAUUGUUUCGUACAAGAACAACUUGAUGCUACCGAUCCAUGGAUAAUUGAAGCCAGAAUAUCGAUUCCAAUAACAAAAAUAUAGAAUUCGAUAUAUGUAUACAAUACACAUACACAUAGAUAGUGUAUAUUCCAUAAAAAUGACUUGAGUUUAGAAAAUGAGAAUUUUGAUAUUAACUCUACUUUUAAUUCUCAGUAAUACGUUGUAUAUAAUUAUAAAUGUGUUAAAAAUAUUUGAGAACGAUAAAAUUUAUGAGGUUGUGAUGAGUUGGAUUGUUUGUAUCUUUUAUAGUCGAACCUGUUUUCAUGAAAGAACACCGAUUUUAGCUACUUAUAUAAUUUAGCAUAAUAGUGAUUAUGUGAAUUAAAUUAUUGGUAUAUGAAUUAAUUGUUCAAAAACAGGACGUCGAAAAUUUUGAAUUAUAUAGUUACACGAGUAAAUCCGAGUUAUGCAUCCCAUUAAUCCAUGUUUUUAUAUCUUUUGUUCCCCGAUAUGUUCCAUGAGCAAUUCCAUAAUGUUUAUACCUAUCAAUGAUCCAAUGCUUUUCUAGCAAACUGAUCUUAGAUAUGAGCCUCUCAAAAGCAUGAACCAUUCCAUGUUUACUUUUUCAAUUUGUUGCACAAAUUAUGGUCAUCGCACUGAAAAAUUUUAGGCUAAAUUAGUUGAAUGUACUUAAUAGUGCAGGUUGAGAUGUAUAUCACUCCACUUGAAAGAAUUGCCUCGAGGCUCAAGCAUUGCUGCCACAAACAAUUUCCAUAUACUCCUAUGUCAAUCCCAAGAGAGAAAACCCGCAUUUAUAUAUUCGUAACAUACUCGAUCCCAAAUUAAACGUACUUUUGGAUUUUCUAGAUAUCAAAUUGAUUGUUUUUUUAGUUAAAUAUUAAAAAAAAAUCAUUAUUCUAAAAUAGACUAGGUAUACUUUUAAAUAAUAUAUUUUAAAAAAAUUUCAAAUAUACAAUAUUUAUAAAUUUUAGUUAAUAUAAAUAAUUUAAUAGUCAAAAAUCGAAAAAAAUGUAUUAAGUGUUAGCUUAAUCGUCCGUUGUCGGACACAAUCACGCGAAGAAAAUGAGCAACUCAGGGUUAUAAUUGGAAUACGAUGGGUUAGAUGGAAUCAUGUCGGGCCACAUUUUCGGGCUCAAACCUGAUACAACAUCUUUGAGACUAAAUAAUAUUAUUUUGCUAAUUCGUGAUAUUGGUGAGCUUUUGGUUGGAGAUGGGCCUGGCCCAUAAUUUUAGUUCGAACUUGGUUACUGUAUUAUACUGACUUUUUUCUUUUCUUUUUUUUCCUUAAUUUUUUUUUUUCAUUAUCAUGGUCUUUGUAAAUCGAAGAAAACUGGGAAAGAAUAUGAAUGCCGAUAUCUGGGUCAGCAAAAUGAGUUAUACGCGCGAGUAUUCCUGAGAAAACCUCAGCAAAGGCCCAGGCCCAGAGCUCAAUACAGUAUUGCUAAUUUGUUUUUUUUUUUUUGAAGUGCUAUGAAAUAAUGAAUAUUAUAAUUUAUUUAUAAAAUGCACAGCACAUAUAUUGAAAUUAAUAAUAACGGGCCUACAGUAAUAAGGAAAACAGCUGUAAUCAAACUGUAUAUUUGGAAGAAAAAAAUUACAGUACAACUUUUCCAUAUUGAUUUGGGCGACCCACAAAAUCUUAAUCAAGCCUCUGAUUAAGCUAAUCAAGUCAAAACUCAAAAGGUACCCCCUCUCUCUCUGUACAACCUUGUGUAUUAGCAGCAUUGUUAAACUUCUUAAUUAUUUGAUUAGUGAUUAAUUUUAUUUGUUUAAACAUUUGUUAUCGAAUUUCAUUAUGCCAGUUUGUUUUGAUUUACUUUGUGUUCAUCGUAACUGUGUAUCCAGCGAUUUUUGUAAUAUGCAUAUACAAUUUGUUAAAUUAUUAGUUUGAUCCUCUAAUCAUCUGUCGUCUUAGUAAAAGAAAUACUAAUCGGUCUUUUAUGGGGGUGUUUUUGGAGUUUAUUCCGGUUCAGAUAAAUAAGAGUAAGAAAAAUACUGAAUUAUCCAAUUUGUGUUCUAAGAUUCUUCCCAGCUAUGUAUCGGAUGUUUUUCUUAUAAAAGUAAUGAUUCGGGCUAUAACGAAAAAGUAAUAGUUAUUUUGAGCGGGUUUAGAUAGUCUUGUUGGUUCGCGCAACACUCGUUAAUUUCACAUAUAAUAUUGUUUGUUUUAACUAUGAUUAAGUUUGUACGAAUUUAUUUUUUGACUCCUCCAAAAGAUCUCAUUCUGGUAUUGAUAACUAAUAGUGCUGAUAAAGUUCUUUGAUAAAUCUUUCUUAAUCUUUACGAUAUGGAUCUGGAUCAACAAGUUUAAGUAUAAAACCUUAUCUCAUGUCGUAAAAAAUGUAUUUUAGUGUAGCGGAAAAUGGAAAACAAAACAUGGGCUGAUCAGUGGGGUUCAGGAGGCUUUGAUGAUGGCUAUGAAAAGAGCAAUGGUAAAACAAGGCUAGGAGGGGCCAAACAAAAGAGCAAGAAGACAGAAGGGGUAAAAGCAGCAGCUUCAACAGGGAUGGUUAAAGCCAAGACAGUUGCAAUUGUUAGUGCUAAAAAGAUGAAAACCGGAACAGCCAUUGGGAUCAAGUGGGUCAAGACACAGUACAAGAAGAAAUUCUCCUCAAAAUGAACAUUAUUUGUGAUGUCGAAAUCUCAGAAUUUGCGAUUUUUCGCGGCAAGGCAUUUCUAAUGUUGUACUUGUGAACCGUAUGUAAAGUUGCAAUAAGCUUGAGGCGAUGGUCCUGAUAUUUUUAUUAUAAUACCUUAAAGGCAUGUCGAAUGAUGUUUUAGGAUUAUAUACUUUUUGUGAUUCGGUGAUGAAGGCCCUGGAUAGGAUGAUAUGAUCAAGUCAAAACUCAAGUGAAGAAUAGGAUGUUUGAGUAGUUGGAUUUGCAUGAAAAUAUCAAAAUUUAAGUUUCGCCAUAAGCGGUGAGGUUUGAAAUUUAUGAUAUUAGUGCACGGUGUAUGAAAACUAGAUACAUUGAAUGUUCUAAACCUGUGCCCCGUAGCACUGGUUAGACAAACCGUAAAUAAAAUUAUAUCAGUUCGGUUCAAUUUCUUUUUCAAUUCCAUUUUGCUCCGCUACGCCUUCAACAAAUCUCGCCAGCAAGUGUAGUUGAAGAUGCAGCUUAUUCAGUGCUAGACAAACCGUAAAUAAAAUUAUAUCAGUUCGGUUCAAUUUCUUUUUCAAUUCCAUUUUGCUCCGCUACGCCUUCAACAAAUCUCGCCAGCAAGUGUAGUUGAAGAUGCAGCUUAUUACAGUGCUAGACAAACCGUAAUAAAUUAUAUCAGUUCGGUUCAAUUUCUUUUACAAUUCCAUUUUGCUCCGCUACGCCUUCUACAAAUCUCGCCAGCAAGUGUAGUUGAAGAUGCAGCUUAUUAAAAGGAGCGUCUAUUAGUAGCAGAAGAUUGAAUGCUCAAGAAAAGCAGNNNNNNNNNNNNNNNNNNNNNNNNNNNNNNNNNNNNNNNUUACUUAGCCUUCAACAAAUCUCGCCAGCAAGUGUAGUUGAAGAUGCAGCUUAUUAAAAGGAGCGUCUAUUAGUAGCAGAAGAUUUGAAUGCUCAAGAAAAGCAGCAGGAAAAAACAGAAGCAACCCAAACAUCCUCUGCCCAUUCUACCCAUCACCAGUAAAUGCAGUGUAUUUAAGGCUCCAGUUUUGUCCCUCUGAGUCUCCUUAAAUUAAUGUUCCCAACUUCUUUUUUAACGGGUAGUUGAAAAUAUUUAUUGCUUCUUUUUCAUUCUUUUUAUCACCUCUUUUCUUCAACUUGUUGGUCAGCUUCACAUCUUCUUCACCUCUCCCUUUCUCUCAUUUUCCUGCUAUCAACAAACCAUUUUUUCCUACCUUUCUAAGCGGUUACUCCUUUGAUAUUAUACGUGCAUGUGUUGUCCGUGUUCGAAAAAUCAUCGGAGAAAGUAAAAUGUACGCAGAAAUUAUUUUGAACGGAAAAAUUAUAUAUAUACGUUACGAGAAAGGGAAUCGUUUGACGCAAGGAGUAACUGAACGAGAUAUUGGUCCGGUUCAAUAAAAAAGUUGUGUUCGAAAUAUUAAGGACUUAGCUUUUUGAUUGAGCCGUGCCAAUAUCACGUGUCGUUCCUCCGAUAUCAUUUCUUCUUCCGAAUAUCACACAAGGUACAAUAAUUUUUUGUACGACUAAAUUGUUUCAUGGUAUAUUCGGUAACUUGCGGCGCAAAAUUUUCAAACUAUCAUAUCAUAUACUCUGCAUAGAGCUGUUGUUUCUUUUUUACCUUUCUCAUUGUUAGGUCUUUUUAUGCAGUGUGUGAUUUUUAUUUACUAGUUUUUGUCCUUACUGAAAGAGGUGUGUAUGUCCACAUUGAUCGUAGACUCUUGGUCAUGACUGUGUAGCAUAUGGAGUUGGCUUCUGAAAAUGACAACUUGACAAGAGACUGUAUUUCAUAUUUGCAAGGCCCUGAAUGUUGUUAUUGAGUGUUGGGCUAAUCUGCCCUGGGCCUGAUAGGUGAUCGUGGUUGUUGGACCUCAAUUGCUUUAGAAGCAGUUGGUCAGUCAGAGUGAGCUCCUGCUCAUGGUGCUGGUCUGAUUUUCCAUCAUUUCUGAUUUAAGUUUUCUUGAUCUUUGACUUCAUCGUUGUUCGUUGACCUUUGACUUAUUAUUGUUGAUUUUGUACUUUUAAUUGUUUUCAUGAACCCACCUGAAGAAUUUGUUAAAUAUCAUCAUUUUAUUAUUAGAUAUAUCAAAUUUUUUUCCAAGAGUCGUUUAUCAUAUUAAUGUGUAUUUUAUUUUUUUAUGUCUAUGAUAUAUUUUUUUUUCAGGUGUGUCUAUGAUAAUUAGUUGUAUAUUAUCUAUGUUUUUAUCUUCGUGAUGAUGUUUAUUUUUUUCUUAUUUCUAAAGACAUUAAUGACCUAAAAAUUCUUGAAUUUCAUUGCCUGAAAUAGUAAAUUGUUUGGAAAUUAAAAUCUGAAUUUGAUCCGAUCUCUUAAAAAUAAUAUAGAUAAUAAGUGAGAAAUGGGCAUUCCAUGGGAAUCACUCAUCUUUAUAAAAGUAUAUCGUAAAUUUAUAAUAAGAUUUCACAUCAUAUUUAAACAAUAUAUUAUAAAACUUCAAAUUAUUUUUAAAAUAUAUUCAAUCAUCUAUUAUUAUACAAAAAUCACAUAUUUUAUUUAUAAAAAUUGAAAAUAUAAUUAAUCAAUAAUAAGUCUCAUUGAAAUCCAAUCUAAUAUGAUAUGUCCAAUUUAAACCAAAAAAUAGAUGCUGAUCAAAAUUCUAAUUUCGACUAGGCACUCACAUGAUGUCAGGGCAACUCCAGGGCAAGUAAAAAGGAUUUGGAAUCUUUGUAUCCAUAAAAUCAUUUAGAACAAUCUAUAUGUUGCACUUCUAUGCAAGCAAGGGCAAUUAUAUAAAGACUUAACGAUGGCUACUUCAAGAGAAAUCCGUAAAGCGGAAUAACUAAUAUCUUGUCACAAAAAAUGAACAAAACCAGUCUAUCAUGAUAGGAAGGGAAAUGUGUCUUGCAUUGUUGCAAUUGUUGCUAGCAACGUAACUCAGACCGCAAUCAUCUAGAUUAUGAAUUUAAACCCGGCAAGAACAUAAAUGAGAUUUUACUAUAAUUUUAUUCUUCAAACUCGUUCUCAUUUCCAAAAAGAAUGAAAAUGAUAUUUUAAUAUAAUUUUAUAGAGGAAAUGCAUCCUCAUUUGUGUUAAUCGGAUUCAAAUCUCAUGAUCCAAACCACGUCCAAGAUAAACAGGUGAUAUGCUGAUAGCAGUUGAUGUGGCAACAUGAUUCAGAAAGCUUUGUAUAUGGUCCUGGAGAAUCCCUUACUCAACUAACAUGAACAAGCAACGGAAGUUGCUUGUUUUUUAACAGCAUUAAUUUCAAAUAUUGAUAAAUCCCCAACAUAGAUGGAAGAAGCAAAGAAACAAAAAUAUUUAUUAUGAGCUCAGAGACCAUUGAAUGUAGCUUACAUUAUGGUCCUCCAAGUAGCCAAAAAAAUUAUGGUGGCCACCACUUGCUUGCAUUUCUAACUGCCUUUCAGUCGAUUAGCGUAGCAAGGGCGCUCUGCCUCUUUUUCUCUCCCUCCCUCUCCGUGUAUACCACAUUAAUCUUUACAAGUUCAGUGUAAUUGAUAGCGCAAGUAGCAUUGCCUUAUCAUCCUUAGGACCGUAGCAAGAGCUUCAAGCUGUGGUUCUUUCUCAAAAUGCUGCUUUCCAUACAGCAUUCUCACCUUCACCACACCGUCUAUGAACAUCCUUAAUCCUAUCAACUGAACGACAUAUACCAGCGCAUGUCCAGUCAAAUGAAGCGACACACACAUUUCCUGCCUGCGCCUUCCACUCACAGUCUGCACAUGAUCAGCAACUCCAUUAGACUAGUUACAUAAAAAUAGUUAAGAUGGUAGUAGCUGAUACUCUUUCUAUAAUUAUUGGCGUAUAAUUUCUCUGCGUACUUUAAAUGUGAUAGACUCAUUAUUAAUGAUAUGGCACCCCACUUCUAUAAACAUAUGGGCUCGUAGUUGUGGAAUCACUGAUGCUACAGAGGGGAAGAAUCAAUAAGUGUGUAGGGCAUAUCAGGUUUAGUAUCCUUGUGAAUACUGCAUUCAAAAAAGCCGGUAGUGUAGUUGUCAAUGACUCAAUGUUAUAAAUGAAUGUGUGCAUUAGUGGCCAAGAUACAAAGUGUCCCAUAAGGAAAUUUCCAUCACAAAGCUUAUAACUAAUUGGAGAACUCUUGUUUUUCUCCAUCCACAAGAUUAUUUUACAGAUUUUUUUUGACCCUGAUUAAAGUUGCCGCUCCACUGUCCUAGAAGAAUGACUUUUGUUCAGUGAUCAAGUACUCGGUUCAUUUUUGUGCAGUUAAAGACUAAAAGUAGAAAAGAAGCUGAAAAUCAUGUCGAUAACAAUGCAUCAUUGAAUGAUCAAAUUGAAGGUUUUGUUUACCAGGUGGAGUGCCACAACAAAGUCUACGAUCAUCAAUGUGCUCCACAUCGAGGCCAAUGAACCAUGCUCCAAGAGAGACAUCUUCAUUGGCGUACUUGUGUAGCACAUGCCUGAGACAAGUUUGAACAUGGUGGAUGUCAGGAACCGUCAAGUCAGAGUCAGCAAAUGUUAAUUGCUAAAAAGUAUAUAGUUUUAUGUUAUUUAUAUACACAAGCAAAGAGUAACAGACUUACUGAUUUACUGCAAUAUAAGUAGCCAAAUCUUUGGAAACUGCAUAUAACUGUCCUGUGGCAUGUCGGAAAUACUUGUUUCCUGCUUCCCCAAAUUUCCAGUAUUCAGGCUCAUGGUAUCUCACUCCUCUGUACAAUGAAGAACAAAAGGCAUCAACAGAAUUAGACUAUUAGUAGAUCUCAACAUUUUGAUCAGUGUUAAGUAGUGCUCACAAUUUUGUACCAAGGCUAUUAAUAGCUACUAGUUUAGUUCUGAUUAUCUCUAUUUUAGCAUUUAGUAUAUUGGCAUGUUUAGCUUCCAAACAGACUUACUUCUGAGCAAGGACUGGACCAGACUUCAUGCAUCCAAUGUAUAUUCGGGGCUUUUUGCGAUGUCUAACUAAAGUUUUUCCUAGUGUUGCUGCACAAGACAAUGAAUGGAUACUGAUGAAUAAAGAGGAUAAAUUGUUACAGAUAUCAGAACUCAGAAGUCUUACAAAAUAUUAUCUGUAAAAUGUGAGAAUCAUAUAUACUUCUUUUCUGGAAAAGAUGUGAUCACCUAUAUUUACAUGGACAUCAUCAUCAACCUUGAUAAAGAAUUCUGCAUCCCAUUUAGAAACAGCUGUAGCAAAAUAUUUCUUUGUCUUAGCUGACAAUUCAAGGUACCCCUCAACAUGAUCCUGCCAGGAAGUAACAUUAUUAGAUAAGCCAUUCUUCAAGCAAUAAAUGAUCAAAUUUAAAGGGCAUUGAGUGCUACAGAAUAAAUAAAUAAUACUGCAAUAAGAAGAUAUGAAGUAUUACCAGUCUUAAUAUAUCUCCAUGCUUUCUGCCCUCUGCUUCAAUGGCUCUGUCUAGUAUACCCCCCACUGUAGCACUGAAAAUACCACUAGUUAAUCAUAUCAUAGUUUUAAUCUGUGCGGAAACUAUGGCCAACUGUCCACAUAAAAUUUCUAAGAAUCUAUCAGACAUUGUAUCCUGGUAUACAAUUGAAACAGACCAACUACCCUUAAAAGAACUUUCAUAGUUUAGGGUGUCGUGAUAGUGACACUUGAAAUUGCAACCUUGAAUGCAUGAUUUUCCAAGAAUCAAACUUUACUUUCGCAAUACAUCAGACCAUGAGUGAGUUAUAAUAUUUAUUGUUCGAGUGGAUUAUAGGAUCCUUAAUCCAUAAUUGCAGCUUUUUUACACCAGAAGAUCUUAGGAGUUGGUGAAUUUAAAGGUUGUGAUAUCAAGUAUGUUGAGGCAUUCAAAUAUAUGCUACUAACCUAUGGCCAAUAACAAAACGAAUGAUAAUUCCUUUCUCUUCCUCCAACUUUUUUCUUUUUUCACCUAAAUUCAGAAUACAGAUAAAUAAUGAUAAGAAACUGUUUCACCAUGUAAAUUUUUUAACUAUAAUCCAUAAGCUGCACCAGAAAAUGAAGCAGGUUUAAGUAAUGAACCUUGUGGCAUCCACGUGGCACGAAUUGAAUCUCUUCUUUUCCGGCUGCUAAAAGCAGUAUUGAUUCCUAUCACCAUAAGAUAUUUUCUUCUACCAGAUGACUGACCGGUAAUAUUUAAAUCUUCUGAUAGAGGAGAACCACUACGAAUAGACUCAUGCGCUGCUUUAGCCGCAGCUAGCUCCAUUUCCAAAUUUGAUAUAGUCUUAUCCAGUUUCCUACAUUAAAAUUUAUAAAUCAUGAUCAAAUUCACAUUGAGGCUAUAAAAUCUUACACAAUACCGCUUUUGUAAAUGGUCGAUCACAGAAAUUUAAUUACUCAGUUAUGCCUUCCAUUGGACUCGAAACUUUGUUACCAAUGGAACACAGUUACACAGGUAUCAAUUAGACCAACACCCUCUUUAAUAUGUAACUUGAAGAAAAUGGGAAAACUCACUUUAUAGCAUUAUCACUUUUAGAAACCUCCUCUAAGAUAUCUUCGGUUUCACGCUUCACAUCUUUCUCCUGCAACUGCAGAAACUAUCAGGUCAGAUGACUAAUCAGGUGCACUCAAAAAGCAUUAUUGUGUACAGAAAAGAAAUUCAGGACUCACUGAUUUUGGAUUGCAACCUUCUGAAACUAACUUUAGGCUUUCAGCUUCCACUGCAGUAAUUCGAGUGAGACCUUUAAAUUCAGGGGCCGUCCACAUUCUGCAAUAUUUAUCAAGUUACUUCCAAAUUCUUGUCUACAAAAGCUACCCACUUAAACAAUCAAAUCAAAAUUGUAAAAGAUCACUUGAAGAAAAAAUGAAAAAGAUCCUGAUAAUUAGUAACUUUUGAAAAAAAUUAUAUAUGGAAUGAAACCUACAGCAUAUAUGCUAUUAUCUACUUAUUGUCAAGGAAAAGAAAGAAAGAUUGAUCCACUAGUAGUUACUAUUGGUGUGAGAGAGAGGGAGGGAGGGAGGGAGGGAGGGGGAGGGGGAGGGUGAGAGAGAGAGAGAGGGAGAGAGAGAGAGAGAGAGUGAGUCACACACAACCUAUUGGUGAAGAACAAACCAGCACAGAAGCUGCCAAGGCAAAGCAAUAGAGUCCAUCUCUGAGAAAUAACACUGCUACUUCUAGAAUUUUGCUCCCUGUUCUUCACAGACAUAUUCUCUAUAUUCUUUCUACCUAACUAUAUAAACACUCACUUCUCCCUCAGCCAGUAACACAAAACCAACCAUGUAAACCAAGAAGCUCAAACUUUCAUAAUUUAGUUAAAAAAACCAAAAUAAAAAGCUGGCCUCAACCAAAAAAAAAAAAAAAACAAAGAUAAAAGUGUGGAGGUGACUCUAGUCUAAUUUAGUGACUGCUUUAUUAUUCCUUCCUCUUUUUCCAGACAAUUCUUUUUAUUGUUCUUGACUCUCACUGUAUCUCUUACCAGACUUUGCAGGGAAGAGAAGUCUAGCAGAAGUGAGUGGAUACCUUAACUGUCCAUGCUCUUUAUAGUAAUUUAUGGGCCCUUAUUAUGGAACCUUACCAGCUCCCAUGUUAAAAAAUUAAUUGCUGCCUCACUAUAACUUAAAUGCCUUCAAUUUCAUGCAGUUUUCAAUUCAAUUAAUGAUUUAAUUUAUUUUGCAGUUUGAAGUGGAAGAUGGAAUUAAUCCAGGCAUCAAGUAUUGCCAUGUGUUUUCACUGGCUAUUGUGGUUUGUGAGCUGUGACACUUGAGCUUGUAUCAUAUUUGAAUCAAACAAAAUUAACAAAGCUGUUUUUGAUAAUACUUUUGAAAAAUUAUGAGAUGCCAUGUGAUGACUUGUUUGCUGUUUACAUAAAUUGUCUAUUUCACUCUGCUCUUUCUUUCUUUUUUCUAGAUGCUCUAGUCUUUUUAACAGUGCCUUGAUAAACUUCCCUUUAUUUUUCCAUAACGCGAUUUUUUUUGUAAUUAGAGAUAAUCAAACAAAUUAUUAUUUUUGAUAAAUCUCGAAUUUCCGACAAAACAUUUGGGUUAAUACUUCUGUCUUAUCUGUUGGAAGCACACCAAUUAAGUUCAAAGGUGGUACAAAAACACUAAUGUACAAGUGCCAUAAUUAAGAAUUUUGUACUAGCAAGUGGAUUAAUGUGUGUGAAUUCACUUGUCAUUAUCAACAGUCAUUUUACAAGAAUGUCUUUGUACUAUACAUACGCGUCAAUCGUGCAAAUGUUUUUUUUUUUUAAUUUUUUUCCAAUUAGAUUUAUAUUCUCAUGUCGACCGUCUUUGGUGUCAGGGUUAAUAUGUACUUUUUUGUUCAUGAAAAUAUUUGAGAAUUUUGUCUAAUGUGCUCUUAAAAACGGUUAUAAAAAUUAGUUUAGUAUUGUUAAUUCUUUUAUAUUUGCAUAAUUUGAUUUAUAAUGUAAAAAAUAAUAUUUUUAAUGAGAUUUGAUAAUAAAAUUUAUGACAGUUUUGUUAUAAAAAAGUAUUUAAUUUUAAUUAAAAAUUUUAUUUUUAAUAUGAAGUCUACUAUUGAUGUCCAAAACAACACUACAAAAGGAGCCAAAAUCUUUUCCUAUAUACAGGGAGUUUAUGAAAACAUGUAAAAUUUUCGCUAUAUUACCUCCAAGAAAAUAUGAAGAUUGUAUGCUGGUGCGCACGUGCUCCAAAUUUGUCUCAUAAAUCGACAAACGAAAGUUAGAAAGAUAAAUCUACUUUUAUACUGUUUACUGUCUGCCGUCUGAGCUAGCAGCCUUUGCAUGUGAAUAUACAAAUGUGUUGCAUAUAUCCUGAUGUAUCCUUUUUAUUUACUUAUCAGAAAUUAAAUUUUCUCUAAUCAAACAGAGAUUUAAUUGCUAGAGUAGUGCUACCUGCACAAAAUUGGGUACAGAAUUUUGCACAAAAUAAUAUGGCAACUGAGGUGAGAAGUUUUAAUUGGUACUAUUAAUGCAUAUAUGGAGGACCGAUUUCAAUCAAAAGUUGACACAUACCCAUUAUGUGAAUAUUUUUUGACCCAAUUAUGUGCUUCUACUGUAGCAUUUUCCUAAUUACUACUGUGUGUAUUUACUAACCAUAAUCAAAUGAAGGAGGUAGAUUAAGCAAUGUGGCAUCACGUGCGUCCCAGGCAGGGCGGGACGAGGAAACAUACGGCACGUGUUGAGAUCUAGUGAACAUAAACAUGGCAUUCUGUUAUUGGAUGACUGUCUGACAGAUGCCAUACAUUGUCAUUUAUCAACUUAUCUCACUCAUGUUCAUGCCGCAGAAGAGUCCACACAAAUGGGCCGGUCCCACCUCACGGGCUCCCCUGACACGUGUCAUCAUGUGGUCAUGCUUUGCUUUCACUUUUUAUCACUUCUUACUACUGUAAAUGGACUUCCUGUGUUUCCUUUCUUUUAUGUAUGCGCACUUCAUCUUAAGUUUGACGAAUUUCUAAUUACAUGUUCCAUGUUAGGAGGCCGUAUAAUAUGUUGUGUCUUUCUGACCUUGUGUUCAAGGUCACGUAGAUACUAAAUUUAAUGCCUUUGAUGAAUUUUUAUUGAUUGAAUUGAUGUACAUACAGAGAGAUUGUGUGUAUUUAUAAUUAGAUGAUCAAUAAAAAUACACCAAAGUCAUAGACUUAAAAUUUAUUGUGUGCGUAAAACAAAAAAAAUCGUAAUAUGUUAUUGGACCAUUCAGUUAACCGGUUAAUAAUAUUAGAGAGGAUAAUCUAAAAUGAAUGUCUAUCCGAAAUGUUAGUGACCUUUUUAAUUCUGUUAUAUACAUAGAAUAUAGAGAUCUCAAUUGUAUUUGAAAUAUGAAUCAAAGAUGUUUAUUUCAUUAUUUUAAGAUUUGUAGAUGAGAAUGAACUAUGUGCAAACAAUUUUUGGAAUGUAGGUAGUGAUAACGCCAAUCUCCGAUCCCGGUCCUUCCUCCGCCGUGAGUGGUGGUUCCGUGGUGCAGCUGCUGGAUGGGAGCCUACAAAACAACGCCGGCGGGGGGGUUUUGCCCCGAAGCGCCUCCGGCGUGAGAGUAAGCGUGGGUUUCGGAAGGAUAAAAAUUAGAGAAAGUGCUAUCUAUAUGUGGUGGGAGAAGGUGUUCGGUUGGUGGUUGCUGGUGGCUGAGAGUGUUUGAAUAUAUGCUGAGUGUAAGUGUUUGUGAGAAUGAGUGUGUAGAAUGAAGUUAACCCCCAGACUCUUGAUCCUUGGUCUAUUUAUAGGCCAAGGAUUAGGGUUUGGGGGUGCAUACCUGGAUCCUGGUCCUACACGUGUAGGGGUUUGAUCCCCUACACGUGUCCAGGUGUCAGCGCGGAGAUAGUAUUUUGGAAUGUUCCCUGGCUUGUCUUUAUCGCCAGUAGUUGACCGUUAUGCUUGUCUUUAUCGUGUCAGUCUGUGCCUUGUGCAGCAAGUGUCGGCUGGUACAUGUAUGGACCCCGGUCGAGAGGCAUGGUUAAGUCAUACCCGGGUCCAAUACCCCUCCCGGGUGAUGUAUCCUGGUAGGAUUGAGAUGUUGUGUCUUUCGGGGAUCAUGGUCCUUGUGCAGGCCCGGGUAUGGACAACCCGGGUUACUCCAUAUCAGGUAGUGCAAAUAGCCCUUAUUCUUUUACGUUAUUUUCAAAUUGAAGGUGCUAAGCAAAUGCAAUAGUGCCCCAAAAGUUGAAACUAAGUAGGGUAGAAAGCCAAAGAUAAUUAAAGACAUUCUGGCGUCACUUAAAACAUGAAAAAGAAUGACAUCCAAGUAACACAUGAAUUGCGUUUCCUUGUAAUUAUUCAACAUAAAAUGAUUGACAGGGCUUUACCUUUACAAACCAUGACAGAUAACAUGAUAUAGACAUCUCAUGUUACAGGUUAUUACCAUUUACCUUGUGUUAGUCACGCUAAUUACAUAACACCGUGGGGAUUAUGUAUCCUUAAACAGCUUUCUAACGUAGUUAAGCAUAUUUGAAAAGGGUCUGUCUGUGGUACGUAGCAAUUAAGGAUGACAGCAUAAAUUAGUAGUAGCUCAGGCCUCAGAGGAGAUUAAGAGGAUGUGAAAUCGACUGAUCUGAUUUAAUUUCAAAUAACGAACAAUAAAUAAAUGAAUGAUAAAAUUAAUUACAAAGAGCAGCUCUGUAGAAUAUUAGUAUCUGACGGGGCUAAUGGUCGGUUUGGACUUUGGAGCGAGCAAUCUGACUGGACUCUGGAGUAUAAAUUUCAAACAGAGAUGGUUUAAUUUAAUCGCCAUGCACCAUAAUUUACUCGACAAAUCUCAGCAAGCUUUUAGCCUUUUUUAAUAUGAUGAUGAUAAGUAUGGGCGGAUCUAUAAUUUUUUUUUGGGACACAAAGCAAAUUUUCGAAAAAUAUUUUAUAAAUUUUCAAAUUUUUUAGAAACAUUUUUGUAUUUUAUAAAAUUUAAAUGAUGAAAAUUUGUUAUAAAAAUUUUAAAGGAGACACGUGAUCCGUUACCGCUCUUACUAAAUCCAUUCUCAAGCAAAAAAUUUGUUAUAUGCAAAAAGUAAGAAGCUGUCUUCUUCAUACGAGCCAUAAUCCCAAGAAUGCAUCUUAGGCAUAUUCUUCAGAUACAAGUAAAGGGAAAUGUGGAAUUCGAUAUUGAUCUGGUCAAAACUAAAAAGAGGAGGAAAUCAAGGGCUUGUUUUGUAUACAACACAUCUGUUUCUAAGUGGUGCAUUGGAAUUAGGCAUAUGCAUAGUUUUGAUGACUUCUUAAGAUCGGUUGAAUAUUGAAUUUUUUCAGAUACAACUUUUAUUUUACAUUUUCUCGUCCCGAAUGAUUUGUAAAUAUUUUUUCCAUUUUAUUACCGUCUGGACUUUAAAUUACAAUAUAUCCUGAUAUCAGCUGUAUAUUUAAAUCUCACACGCAUGGCUGAUGUCUUUGUGACUUUGUGUGGGAUUCUGAGAUACCUUGCUUGUUUCUGAAUUUUACCUUAGCUGGUGUUCUAUUCUUAUUUUGGGCCUGACAAAACAAUUCUUCUUUGGCCCAAUCACCAGAGGGGCCGGACUCGGUGAUUUUUAAAUUGUAAUUGAUGGUUCUAACUGAAUGGACUAUUGGACUUAAUGGGCUUCUGCUGUAUGUCUACCGUCCAAAAGUUAACGUAGUCCAUAUGUUCUGUUUUAAUAUUGUUGACGUCCAAUUCAAUUUCAAACUGAUAAGAUUAAUUUCAGUGAAUUACUUCCCUGUCAAUUUUUUUAUCAUUAUAAAAUCAUAUAUGAUUAUAUAGGCAUGAAUCUAAGAAUUCUAUAAUCACGAUUAAUCUCUUAUAAAAUGGGUUAAUAAUCAAGUGAGCUCAAUAUAUCAAGUUGGUCCCCGAACUCAAAAUGGUCUCAAAUCGAUCACUUAAGUCAGUUAUAUGUAUCUUUAAAUAUGAUUUUAAGGAGUAAAAAUAUUAUUUAUAGCGAUUUACACAUUAUUUAUGAAUAUUACCACAACUAAGUACAAGCUUAUGACUUCUAGUAUUUAUGAUAAUAUAUUUAGAUUUUAUCAAGUUUAAUUACUAUUUAUUUUUUUAUUAUAUAGUAAUUUUUUCGUUUUAAUUAAAAAUAAAUGGUAAAUAAAUUUGAUAUAAUCUAAAUAUAUUAUCAUAUAUAAUAUAAGUCAUAACCUUGCAUUUAGUUGUGGAAGCAUUCAAGAAUAAUGUGUAAACCUCUAUAAAUAAUAUUUUUACUCCUUCAACUCAUAUUUAAAAAUACAUGUAAAUGACUUAAAUGAUCGAUUUGAGACUCUUUUGAGUUUGCUGACCAACUUGAUAUAUCGAGCCGACUUCAGUAAGUCACUUGAUUAUUAACUCCUUAUAAAAUGUGUGUCUGGUUCAAUUUUUAAUAAUCACCACAAGUCUUUAUUAAAUAAAAUAGUAUAUGAUAGAUUUAAUUAACAUAUUAAAAAUUAUUAUAAUAUUCUCGACUAUGCGAUUAAUUUUUAAUCAGCAUUUUUAUCCUCUACCUGACUAAUAUCAUCUCAACUUUUACAACAUUGAUGAUAUAAAAUAAAUAGAAAUUUUUUUUUUGAAAAGAAAAUAAAUAGAAAAUUGUUCAAGCAUUUUUCAAAAAUACAGAAAAUUUAAUCCACUCUUCCAUACAAAUGAAAGAGAUAAGGCGAAAUACGUUUAUUUAUUAUGUUCUUCGUUGAAAAGAUUAUUUUGUUUAAAUAAAACUACAUGAUAAAUAAUUUUAGUUAUAUUUCAAAUUAUAUAUUGGAGAAUGAUAGGCAUGGCCCCACAAUCACACGCAGAAGCUGAAAAGGAAGUGGAUCGGGUAACCGGGUCAGAUCACAAAUCUCAAGAUUCAAUUUUUACUUCUGAACCAAGUAUCUAGCUCAAGAAGAGAUUUUGGGUAUGAUUUAAAUCUCAUUAUUAGUGCAAUUACUAUAUCUUUUCUUGAUCUUUGUAAUACUAAAUAUUUGUUUGUUUAUUUGUUUAAAUUUUUUAGGGUUUGAUGUGUGUAUAGUUCUUGACAAUGUCCUCAGCUCAAGAUCCAUUUUACAUUGUGAAAGAAGAAAUUCAAGAUUCUGUAAGUUAUUUAAUGGGUAGUUCUUGAAAUAUUGUAUGAUGCAAGAUUUAUCGAAGGGUUUUAAUAUUUGGUUUUUGUUUAUAUGGUUGUUUAGAUUGAUAAAUUGCUAAGUAGUUUUCACAAAUGGGAACAAAUGGCAUUGGAUGCUGUGGAUCAUGGCCAUCUUACAAAGGAGCUGCUUGCUGGUUGUGAGAGUAUUCAGUGGCAGGUAGUGUGAUCACUCUAAUUUUUUAUUUUGUUGUUUUGGUAGAGUUAGUGUUGCUAAUGGCACUGUUGUGAGAUUAAUCUUGUGCUUGUAUUGUGUAAUGGUGUGCUCGUGAAGCAAUGAUGGAUAAAUUGGAUUGUUGAUGUUGUGAUUUGAGUUUUCGAAACAGUUUGUGGCUUGGGUGUUUUAGUGAACAGAUUUUCGAUCGGGUAUUGAUAAAUCCCUGAUAAAUUAAUAUCUUGAGAUUAAUUUUCUUGAUUUUGAUUGUGUUAUGUUUACCUUGUUGUAUUUGAUCAGCAUACUGGUACGGCUCAAAUCGGUACUAGUCAUGGUAAUUUUAAGAAGAAUAAAUGACUUAAUGCGGAAUUGUGUAAUUAAAAUGUAGAGUAUAUGUUUUCCCUGAAUACCCGGGGCAGGAUUUGGCAAUGGCUAAAGAGGACCAGUAUCUAUCACUUUACACUAUCAGUGUGGAAACUGUUAUGCCAGUUGGUUUCUCCAUUUAAACAUGCUCUUUGUCCAAUAGAAGAUUGUUUUUUUAGCUCAGAUUCGAUAAGCCUCAGUAUCCUUUUUUUCUGGUUAACAAAUUUUGCAUGUCUUCUGAAACCUAUCUUUUUGAUAGAAAGGUGGUUGAGUUGGAGAAGACAAUUUCUGUAGCAGCCAGGGAUCCUUCUUUGUAUGGACUCACUGUAGUGGAGCUUGAAAAACGAAGGAGGUGGACCAGCACUGCCCGAACCCAGGUUUUCUUUGAUAAACAUGAUAUUUAUCUUCUGCCUUUUUAUUCAUUGAGUUAAUUUCUCAUAUCUUGAAAUAUUCUCUUUGUGUGAUUCAGCUGAGCAAUGUCAAGAAUGCAGUAGUGGCUGGAAAGGAAAUGAACGGCACAGGUAACAUCAGUGCGAGUGCAACACGUCGUGAACUUAUGAGGCUACCAGAUUCUAAUCAGACAGAUAGAUCCAAUCAGUAUAUUGCCAGAAACAAUGAUGAUUUCAUAUCAUCAGAGUCGGACAGACAGUUACUUCUCAUAAAGUAAAGUCUCACUCUACCUCAACUGCAACAAGUAUUUUAGCUAGUAUUUGUACUUUAGUUGUAGAUUAAUCUCUAUAAUGUCGUCAUUUAUGAGCUAAUGUGAGAGAUACAACUGAUAAAAACUUAGGAUGGUCACUAGAAUAUUUCGGAAUGGAGGGUAACACGUAGGUCAUAAUGUCGAUUUGUGACUGAUAAAAAAAACUUGUUUUUAGUUUCUUGCAUUUUCAGUGCAGUAUUCAAUUGUCCUUGCAGUGUUAUUCUGAUAUUCCGGUGUUUCAUAUUGUUCAUCAUAUAUACAAUUGUGGGUGCUUUGUAGGCAACAGGAUGAAGAACUAGAUGAGCUCAGUGCGAGUGUAGAAAGAAUUGGAGGUGUUGGGCUUACUAUACAUGAAGAACUCCUUUCACAGGUCAGUUUAUAUAUACUAAAGAAAAGUAUACCCAUCAUUUUGAGGAAACUAGUUAUAUUGAUGUAUUUAGUCAUCAGUUGAAUAUGAUGGUUGAAGAAUUCUAUUAUAAUGCAUGAGUAAAUUUGGAAAAACUCUAUGAAGUAUUAAUUAACCAAUGCUAUGUGAACGCUUGUGGUACAGGAGAAAAUAUUAGAUGAGUUGGGUAAUGAAAUGGAUAGUACAUCAAAUCGUCUUGAUUUUGUUCAAGUAAGUAUAUAUGUGCCUUCGGUUGAAACUUUGAGCUAAAUGACAUAUUUAUCUCUCUCUCUCCCUCUCUCUUUUUUAUUUAUUUAUAAAUCUCUAUUCAAUAAUUUCGUCAAUUUAAGUCUGAUUAAAUUCUCCUGACCCAAAUAUCGAAUGCAGAAAAAGGUUGCUAUGGUUAUGAAGAAAGCUAGUGUGAAAGGACAGCUGAUGAUGAUAUUUGCCCUAAUUGCUCUCUUUAUUAUUUUAUUUGUUUUGGUUUUUGUAACUUAGGUUAGAGGAUGAGCCUCCUUGACAAUGUGCCAUUUUUACAUAAUUAGUAAACAAAUUUAUAAAAUAAGCUUAAAAUUCAAUUAUAAAUGAGUGUUUGAAUUGAUUGAUGGUCUUUAGUCAACUGAUCCUUCUCAAAUUAAGCUUUCAAGGUUUAAAAUGGCCUUUUUUGUCAUCUUAUCAUGAUCAAAGAACUGGUUUAUGAAUAAUGAUCAUGACGACUGGUCGAGGAGAUAUAUGGAGAUAAAGAGGUGAAGUUCUCAGACUUCAACUGUGCGCGCCCUCAUAGACAGGUGGCAAGCAGAAGAGAGGAUGAUCAGAUGAUGAUUUGGUCGGUGCUGUGGCCAAGGCUCGUCUGCAAUCAGCUAAGCCAAUUAUUAGUGUUUAAAACCCAAAUUAAACAUAGGGUUUAUUCAUUCCACUCGGAGAGCGGGCUCAGACAUUGCCUUGUAUUGGUGUUAGUAGGGUUAAAAAUGGGGAGGGUUCGGGGCGGGAACUUCAUUUCCCAGUCUCGUCCCAUAUAUAUUUUUCCUGCUCCGUCCCCGCUGCAUUCUCCGCGGGGAUUUAUAUUUAAUCCCCGUCCCACCGGGGAUUUAAUAUAAUUUCGCCCCGUCUCACUGCUAUAAUAUUGCACUUUAAAUAAUUACUUUAAAAUUUAGUAAUUUUUUCUUCAGAAUUUAAUAAAAAUAUACGAGACAUGUAUAUUAAAAGAAAAAAAACUAAAUAUAAUAGAAAUCAAAGAGACAUGUCAUACAUUGUAAAAUUAUAAUUUUGUGUAUUAUAAAAUAAUAAUAUUAAAUAUAUCCGGGGCGGGGCGGGGAAUCUCCGCGGGGAUUCAACAAAUACCAUACUUGCUCCACAUUUUGGCGGGGCAGAAAAUCAUUCUCCGUCACUACCUCAUUCCCCAUAUUAGCGGGGCAGAUCUGCCCCAUUUGAGGCGGGUUGGGGCGGGUUCCCCAUUUUCCCCGCCUCAUUUUUAACCCUAGGUGUUAGUUUGGAGUUUAAAAUUUUGUAGAUCAACAGGAAAAGUUAAAUAAAAAUGUCUUUUGGUUUUGAAUAUGAUUUCAGUUCGAGCUUAAAAUGUAUGUUUGAUUAAUUUUAAUAACAAUAAUGAUAAACUGAUUUAUGAGUUUAUGAUUUAGGAUAAUUUUUAUAUAUAUAAAAAAGUUUAAAAAUAUGAAGUCACAGUAAAAGGUAUUUUCAAAUUAACUUUCGACUUCAAGUCAGUUUGAAGGCAGAGUCUGACUUAUCUCUAAUUUUAAAUCGAUUUUUGACUUAUUACACAAAUGAUAUUUAUUUUUAAUUUAAAGUUGAAAAUGACUUAAAUCUGAGAAGCUGUUGCAAUAAAUAUUUGUCAAAUUGGCCUUGAAAAAUUGAAAUGAUUUGUACUUGCAAUUAUAUUGCCUCUUUCAAUGUUUGUUAUUUUUCAACAGCAAUAUUAAAUUACAUUAUUCAAAAAGUAAUAUUUAUUAUUUUCUGAACUCUUCUGUAUGUUAUACUGGUUACUUAACUUUUUAUUCAUACACUUUGAAAUAUUCCUAAAAUAUCAAACGUUAAAUAACAAGAGAGUAUUCUAAAUUCAAACUCAGGGAUCACCUUUUUAGGUUUUCUUUUUGUAACGAAAAUUACAUUCAAGUUCAGCAAUUGCUUCUCCAGAACCACCUGACAACCCUGCUUACAUGUCUAACAUCACAUUUUGGAUGACUGGGUUUCUCAUUAGUCAUUUCCAGAGGAAUCCUGGCUCUAACAAUAAUAACGUUUUGCACUCUAAUAAAUUCACAUCUGAAACCAAUAAAAGCCGAUAAAUAUUUUUUUUUGACAAUGCAGGAUUAUAUGCCUUACAAAUUAGUAUCUGUUCUAACAAUUCUUGGAAUUCUUGGGGUGAGCCAGAGUCGAACCCGGGUGUCCCGGGACAACAGAGGAUAAACCCACCACUGGGCACAUCUUACCCAUAAAUAUCAUCUUGUUUCCAUCAGAAAUAUAAUCGUACAAAACUUGCAAUAAGAAGUUAAGAACCAUCAUUCAAACAUGCAAGUAUGCAUCCUUGUCUCCCAAAAAAUUACAGUAAACUAUAUUAAUUUUGUAAAAGCGAAAAUGUAUAGUCCUUGACAAGAAAUUGGAUGCACCAAUGGGCGCUACAGUUUGAUCCUCUUAGCCCAUGUAGAAUAUUAUCAAUCUCCAAGGUAAACUAUACCACAGUUGCCAUCUCCCCAUGCAAUUAAAUUAGUUAAAAUGUACCUUCCUACCUUGUGCUUUAGCUACAGCAUCAGCAGUUGAGAUUUGUGAUCAAUGCCAUUAAAGAUGAAUGUCCCGGACAUGGGAAUGAACUGCCUAGUGAUGAGCUGUAGGACAAAUAUAGAUAUGCAACAUGAAUAAUGGUGGGGUAUAAGAGAAUGCUUUGAUGCACUCAUUUCCACAAUCUACUGAAUUUCCUGCAUAGCUAAAUUGCAGUAAUUAACAUAGUCCGGUCAUAACAAGACAAACCUUGAUAAUUUCUUGUGAUGCGAUGCCGCCAACGAAAGCAGAAACUGCGUGGAGCUCCGCAGCACCAUAUCUGCACAUCUCAUUGAUAAGGUCCUCUGUCAAAGUUGAACUGUUGCAACCCAAGUCAUUAAGUAAGCCAACUGCUGUAGCUUUCAAUCGAGAUAUAUCCUCAUCCAUGACACUGAAAAAUUGAUAACAAAAUUUUGACAUUUAGACCACUGAGAUUAAUCAAGUGGGAAUCAUAGCAGUGAUUCUGUUGGUAAAAGUUACCCCUCAAAUUGCCCAGGGAAGCUAUUAAAGUUGGUAACAAAUCGAUCAACAGCUCGGAGUAAUACAUAGAAUCCCACGGCAAUACUGCAAGGAAUAGAAAACCGGUAUUAAGAACUGCUGAGAAAAUAAAUAAACUAUACACAAUUUUCGUGUCGAGUGUCCAGUAGCAAACUUUCUUCAUCAAUUUAUCAGAAGAAUUAGAGCUCAAUAAUUCAGUAAAACAGUGCAGCUGAAAUAUUUUAAAAGAAUCCAAGAAUAGUAACAAGCCUCAUCAUUAAAGCACACAAAAACAAGACACCCAUAUGCUAAAGUACUCAUCAUUUUUCUAACACUUUCUGUCUUUAGAUGUCCCGUUCAUUUCUGUCUGUUUCUUAAAAUAGCACAUUUUUCAAUACUAAAAUUAUUUGUCUCAUCAACUACACCUACUUUCUUAUCUUUUCCUCACAAUUUUUCAUUUUUCUUAUACUCCGUGCCCAAAAACAAUGAGAACCCAUCAGGACGCAGGGAGUAAUUAUUAUCACAUGCACAUUUGAAUUUAAAUUUUAGUAUUUUUAAUAUUAGUUCUAAUAUUGCACAACAACAUAUUCCCCUGAAACACAAGUUUAACAUUCCAUUUAAUACGACACAUCUUCUCCUUGAGUUUUCAACUAGGAUUUUCUUAUGCCAGGAAAUCCAGUACAUUUUAAUUAAUACAACACACUACUACUAUCUUGGGAAAUAACUUGGGUUUCUAGACUAUAUAAAAAGUCAUUUUUAUUAGUUUGAUAAUUUAUGCCUUGCAAGGUGUGGUGUGUGGGUUAUGGUAGAAGAGAUUUACAUACCUAUAAUCAUCAUCUGUUAGAUACUUUUGCAACUCUGGUUGCACAGGGGAGUUGAACUCAUCCUCAAGAAGGCGAUAUCUGCAUACCUGAUGAAGUAAUAUGAAUAUAAUCAAUACAGAACAUUACAAUGCUAGGGAUAUCUCAUGCAUGUCUUAGACAAGGUUAUACAUCGCCCUCAUGCCUUGUUAGUUUAGGGGGAACCCGUAAUAUUAUCCAACCCAUGUAUGUUCUCAUGUAAGUUGUGAUUUCUUGAGACAUAACAACAAUUUUGAAACCCCUAAUUUUAUCUGUCUAUAAUUUACAGCAAUGCAUACUUACUGCCAGCUUCCUUGCAUUUUUACAAAAGCUUUUUAUUUUGGUCUUUGAGAUGCUAUUUGUAUCUCUACCGAUUUUCUUCAAUAUAUCCCGUACUCGCUGCUCAACUAUGAGCAUGUCAGACUCAGCCUUGGCUUGGUAAAUUUUCUGCAAGUUUACAUACAACCUACAAAGCAGUAAUAAAUACAGUAGAACAUCGAAAAUUAAUUAGAUGACAAAAAAAGAAGCAGCAGGGACCGACUCUGUAGAAGAUGUCAUGUCUGGAAUUGAUCCCUCAAGUGGUGCCUCACCGCCACCUUCAUUAUUGAUGAAUUCCUAAAACAUGUAGAAAAAAUAAACUACAGACAAGUUACACUUUGGUGGUUGAAAAGGCAGAGGCUUAAAUUAGAAAAACAAUGACAAAGGCUUCAGGAAUAGCGUAAAACCUGCUGGCGCCAACCUCACCCACAUGAGAUGAAGUAAGAAAAAUAGAAGGUAUAGAUAUUUCAUAUAUAAAAGCAUCACCGAUAUAGAGUAGGCUUACAGUACUUGACAAAGGAUAGUUUAGGUAAGAUGUGGUCCUAAACUUUGCAACUUGACUAUAAUUAACUGUCUGAAGUCAAUCAGGUAUGAAAGUAGUGAAUUUGUCUAUAUAUGUUAGCUAUUAUACAGAGUAAUCAUUUCCUUUUGAGCUUUAAAACUGAACGAUGAACACAAAAAAAAGAAGGCAGGUGAACUACUGCCAAGUUGGAAUAUCCCGGUACAUGCUCUCAGUAAGCCUAGGAAGUAAUUUUUUUUGUAAAGAAAAAAUAGGAUCUGCAAGAAAUAUACCAGAAUUUGUGACUGUGUAGUGCCUUGUACCAAGUGGCAAAAAAUAUAAACCAGAAAAGCUAAAUACUAGGUCAGAGGAAACAGUGAUGUGGAGUUCAACUUAAGCUCAAAAACAACCCGAAGAUGGCCAAAUUCAUGGGUUGGUUUUCAUUCCAGCACUGAGAGCUUGAAGACAACACUAGGUUCACUUGUACAAUAUAUUAUAAAAACACUUAUGGAGAUCUUUUCUACAACUUGCAUCCAGGGACGCUCCACACUGUAAAUUAUUUCACAUUCAAAAAAAUAAAUAAAAGUGGGUCAGAAAAGCUAAAGCAUUACCUUAAGAGCUGCAACCAUUAUCCAAAAAUCUGAUGAAUUGGAAGUAACUUCUGCAGAAGGAUCAUUGAUAACAUGUAGCAAACUCGAACCUGAAGUAUAACGGGAAUAUAAGAAGUUUGAAAAAGAAUCGAUAACAUCUCAACAUGACCCUCAGAUCUUCAAUUUAGAUGAAACAAAGUUAAGCUUUUGUUUAUGCACUUACUAAUUCCUCGAGGAGCAAAAACUUUGAAUGAAGCAUCUAUAGCUUCUUUAUAGUUGUCUUCAUCUAUAGCUAUCAUCCUGGAUUUUAUCAUUUCCUAAGCCAGACAUAUGUAUCAACCACUUGAUCCAGUGAUAGAGUAUAUAACACUACAUACGGCAGCUAAAAAAAUUCUAAACCUUAAACUCCCUUUUCUCAUCCCUGGUUGCUGGUAGGCAUCCACCAUGACUUUUGGCCCAUUCAUCUGCCAUCUUUAUAAGAAUUAUAACAUAUGGUGUAUGUUUGUGAACCACGGGAUCAGGCACAUUUAUAUCAAUAGUUUCCGUAAACCUACAAUCAAGAACAAUCUAAUGACAGUCACGCAAACAAUACAUAGAUGGUAAAGGGGUUACAUGAAAAUAUGAAACCAGAAGAUAAUAAUUAGUAACUACACAUAAGAGUUGCACAUGGUGAGUGAUGCAGAAUCAGGCUGGCAUAUACAAUUAAAAGCAACAUUCCUGUAUAAUAUGUUUCAAAUAUUUUUAACCGUACUUACUAAUAAUCUCUUAACACACUAUGUAAUAAUCAGAUAAACUAUCAUGAUAGGCACCGUAUGACAAUUAAAGGUUAGCUGAUAGCUGAAUGAAGCAACUCUUUUGACUAGCGGAUUGAAUUAGUUGUUUUGUAUGAAACUAUUUGGUAUAUAGCUGUUUAAUUAGCUUUUUGUAUUUUAAGUACACACAUGGCCAUACUCUGAUUGAAAAGGCACCUCCAAGCAGCUUUUUCCAAAUUAGAAUCUGUAUAUGAGUGUUGUUCAAAACUGCUAUGCUGUUAGAAAAGGUGUUAGAAAAAGUGUUGCAGAAAUCAGAUAAUGUUUUGGUAAUAAUUUUGAUAUUUGCAUAUUUUGAGGUAUAAUAUAAAAAUAAUGUUUUUGGUGAGGUUUGAUAUUAGAAUCUGUGACAUCAUCCUGCAAAAGCUGAAAAACAGCUGUUUCGAAAAGUAUGGGGGACCUGCUAGAAAGCAGCAUUUAAGCCAAAAACUAUUAUUCAGAAAAGUUAUUUUUAGAUUUACCAAACAAUUUUUUACCUGCUGUUUAGAUAAAUGUUGUGUUGCUGUCAGCAACAGCAAUACCAAACAUGGCCUCAGUUUUCCGAGUCCGACCCGCUAAUUACCAAACACAAAUACUAGAUGAUUCACAUGGUCAAACCACUAAUGUGGCCCAAACCCCCGAUUCUUUCUUAAACCUUUAACUUCCAAACAAGACCAUAGUAAAUACUUAGCAAAAGUAGUUUGCACGUUACAUUGGCUAGCUUAAUUAGAGGGAGGAUAAUAGAUAUUACUAUACUUUAAAAUUCACGUCUUUGAGGUAUACUGAUACAGAAGAGGACAAUAAAGCCACUUAAAAUUGUAUCGCAAUAUUCCAUAAGUUUCUAGUACUAUUAUAACCAACUUUUUAACUAGAAAUUAUCUUCCCAAGUACAGUAUAUCAUAUUAUUUAUAGAUUAUAUACUAUUACAGAUGCUAAUUAUAAACUGAAGUCAUACUAGAUGUGAAGCUAAAUAUUAUGAUUUCAAACAGCCUUUACCGAAAAGCAAAUAAUAAUAAUAAUAAUAAUAAUAAUAAUAAUAAUAAUAAUAAUAAUAAUAAUAAUAAUAAUAAAAAGAUAGAGGCAUUUGAAACUGACUACAAGCAUUGUGCUUCUAUAUUUUUAGGUCCCUUGCCCUUCUUUCUUCUUCUUUCGAUAUAAACCUUUCUCAAACCCUUUAUACAUCAGUAGUAAAAGAAAUACAGUCUACUGAUGAAUAACUUGGUAAGAACUAAUGUACAACAACAAAAUAUGGACAAAGUAAUUGUGAAAAUAUAAACAUCCCAAAAAUCAUACCUUGUGAGCUCAGGCCACGGGUUAUUUAAUCGGAGAUCAUCAAGAAAAUGAUCAGGCUUGGAUUCAAUUACUGUAUGUUCCUGCCCAAAUACAAAGGUUAGAAGACUGCGUUGGCUAGCAUAAUUAUCCGAAACCAAUCCAAUUAGGCCGAUCCAGAUCGUCCAACCCGAAAUUUUCGGUUUUUAAAUGGUUUGGUUUGGUUUCGGUUUUGGUAAUUAAAAAACCGAAAUUUUCUGUUUGGGUUCGGUUUUCACUUUCCAACCGACUGAAAUAACCGGACAUUUAAUACAAAUAUUAUAUAAAUAAUAUUUUCACAAUUUAACUUAAAAUUUAAGCGGCGUCCAUUACUCUAGUUGUUUCUCCAUUUGAAAACCAUUCUCCACUUUUAUUUACAUCCUUAUUUAUCACUAGUUCACUACUAGUUGAUAAUUAAUAGUUUCUUAAUUUACAUAAAUAAUUUCUUUUUCUAAAGUCAAAUGAGUUAUUUUUCUUCAUAACAACAAACAAGUGUAACACCUAGAAUUAUUUUUAUCGAAGAGUUAUACAAGUGUCAUCUUUAUUUUCGAAGUGUUUUGUUGAGAAACAGAAAGGGUAACACAUAAAAGUUAUUUAUUUUAGUUCUCUAAGAAAACAUAAUUAAAAAAAAAAUUGGUAACUGAACCAAUCCGUUAAGAAUCGGUUCGGUUUUGGAUCAGUUUUUAUAGCACUCGGUUUGGUUCGGUUUCUAGAUUUUCUAGAUUUUCAAAACCGAAAAUUUCGGUUUGGUUUGGUUUAGACCUUCAAAACCACCCAAACCGAACCAUGCUCAGCCCUUAAUAUUAUAUAUUAGAAAAAUUGCUUUAUAUACUGAUCGUCAAGUUCUAUUAUAGAAGCCUUGAUGGCACCUAUUACACUAAAAGGUCAUAGCAAACAUAUAAUUCUAAGAUUCUUGUAAUAGUACAACAUAUCCCUCGCAAAACAAAUUUGUACACCCCUGACGGUAAUUUAAUAUAUUAAGAUCACCUGCGUAAGUACUUACAAUAGAUAUACAUAGUGCGUACCUUCACACUGAUGCGAACAAACCCAGUCAGACCGUAGGACCGUGCAAAUAUCAACAUAACAUUUGCUUCCCGGCAGAUUAUAUCCAGCUUUACCAUUGAUUCUUCCACCAGCUAUGCACAAUGAUUCAUCAUUUGAAGGUAAGUCAAGUAAUUGCAAUCAAACCAGAAAAGUAUAUUAUGAGAACAAUACAACAGAAGCGGCAAAAAGUUGAAUGGUUAUAAAUUUAUCUGCUACAGCCAUAAAUAAAACUUCAAAAGUAAAAAAUAGCUCCAAACUGACAUCUAUUCAGGAAGGAAAGUAAGCGUAGUGAAGCAAUCAUUCCAUAUCCUGAAUUUCAGAUGUGCUCUUACCAUCUCUGAUCUCUCAUUAAGUAACAUAAAUAAAUACUGCUUUCUACUUCCUAGAAUUCAACUUACAAGUCACAUUAAUAAGUACUGCUUUCUACUUCCUAGAAUUCAACUUACAAGUCACAUUUCUCAUACACACAAGAGUGGAAGACCAUGUAGUAAAUUGAUUGUAACUUAUGCCAUAAACUGCCCAAACCAAACUGUCCCUUAGUCUCGCCACCAGUAACUUCUGCUAUUCUGAAGUUAUUUUCUUACUUACUAAAUAUUAUGUUAUAUGUCAUUAUAUUAACUAUCCAAACAAAUAUUUAUGAGUAAAAAAUCACUUCUUUAUAAUUUAGAGCACUCACACACCCAAUUUUCUUUCAACAAGACUUGAACCCUCAAACUCCAGCUAAGAAGCAAGGCAAUAACGUUAAACCAGGGAGCCUCUGGUAUAAAAAAAUGAUUAUACUACUUUUACAUAGGAGUCAAAAUUCAGAAACAUGACAAAGUAACUUUUUUAAGGUAAGGUUUCAGCGAUUUGUUGCAAGCUUUCGAUUUGACUUGACAAGAUAUAAUAUUUAACCUUGCCACAUGUAAACAAUUUUUUAUAUAGGAUAACUUAUAAGUUGUCAACUGAACUAUCAAAAUAUAUAACAACUUGAAAGUAGAAAACCUACUUUCAUUUGUGAGUUUAUAUAACAAAAAUGUAUAUAAUUAAAAAAAAUCUUUUUGAGUCCAGCCAAACAAUACCUCGCUCGGUCGCUCAUUUUAAUAUAUGUAUAGGACUCUCAUCAGAGAUUUUCCGAGUCACUUGAACUCUAAUUUUUAUCAAUCUGCUAAUUACGAUCAAUAGAAGAAAAAAAAGGGUACAAUAUAAAAGUACGUAAUAUAAUCAAAAAAAUUCUAAGUCAUGACCUCACUCAUUUUAGUAUAAAAAAUAAUGGAAAUCACAUCGAGAGAUUUUCAGAGUCAUGUGAAUUGUGAUCUCUAUUUUUUAUCAAAUCUGCUACUUAAAGAUCAAUAGAAAAAAUAAACAAAGGGAUACUAAAUAUGUAAAGAAUAAAUCAAGGGAUACCAAAUAAAUACAAAAAUAAAAUAAUCUUUUUAUGUCAAGUCAAACAGAACCUCACUUAUUUAAAUAUUAAUAACAGAACUCUGAUUGAAAGUUUUUCAGAGUCAUGUGAGCUCUGAUUUUUUUCAGAUCUGCUACCUACGGAUUGACAAAAAGAAAAAUUAAGGGCUUUAAAGAAUAAAAGUGUCUCCUCAAGAAAAAUUAUGGGCUUGAAAAGUGUCUCCUUAAGAGCUGGUUUCUUUAAUUAAUUUGCAUACUGUUUGCCAUCUUUCAUCAUACUAAUAGACAUAUGAAGAACCUAACUGAACCAGAACACUGCAAUUCCUUAAACUUUCCAACAUCGUGACUCACAUCCUAUACAGGUAACCUAAUUACUGAACCAUCUACUAAGCCACUAUAUUAGUCAAAUCUUACCAGUUUAAGCUAGAGUCUAGACCAUGAAUGUGAUAUACUGAUUUUUCAUAAACUGAAUUCUAAGAUGAUACCCCACAGGGAUUAUAGGUCAAAAAAUUUAUCGAUUAGUUAAUGCCUACCUUACUAAUCAGACCACAGUUCAAUUCAACAAGAAGCGCACAAAAAAAAUUGCAUGAUACUUAUUGACACUUAUUAUAACGCGGUAUGUGUUUGCAUAUAAUAUCAAAUCCUCAAGGCAUUAAGUUGACUUUUAUUCACCAUUCAGGGUUGGUACCAAUCUAAGUUUCUCACGAUUACUCUUAAUUUUUGGUUUGGCAGAAUUUUAAUUUCUGAUACUCACAAGUGGCAUGCUACGAAAUGUUUAAUACUUUAAGGUGGUACAUCUUGUGUAUACAGGAAGGGGGGGAUAGGGAGGAUUCGAACCCAUGACGAGUGAUGCAAGGAGAGUAGAGCCUUGACACUAGGCUAUCAACAAAACCCCAAUUGACGUAUUUUAGGAACAACAUUGCUACAUCAUGAAAAAUUGAUUCUGACAGAUGAAUGAUAAUGAAUUGGCAGCCUAAGAAAACCUUUUACAGUAGCACAUUAUAUUUCAUAGAGCAAGGAGAUGUGUAGAUCAUCCCUUUGCUGACCUGCUCACAGUAACUUUGAAAUCUUCGAAAGUACUUUUUGGUGAUUUUAAACAUCAACAUUCAUAUAUUACAAGUAAAAAUAUACCUGUGUAGCUACGACCAAGGUAAACUGAGAAAAGAAUGAAGGGUUCGUUUUAAUCAAUUCCUCUGGAUUCUCUUCAAUGAACUUGGCUUUAACAGCAUCAUUCAAUUCUUGAAGAAAUGAACAGACACAUUUGGCUUUGGACUGCCCAAUGCAUGACUCGUCCACUAAUACAUUAAACGAAACAUAAGUUACAGAAACUCAAACGUGAACAAGGAAAAUAAUCACGAGACAUGAGUACAUGACAUACCCAUAAAGUUAUUUCCAAGAUCGCCCUCUUCAACUUUAGAUCCAUCAACAAUAGUAAUACUUCCAAUACCACCAAGAACAAGGUUUUUCAGGGUUUCUGAACCAGUAGGACCACAAUUAAGUAGACAUAUACUUGCUUUCUCUAAGGCAGCUUGUCCUUGCUCACCCCAAAUCCUGCCACAUAAUCAUCCCAGGUUUUUCACGCUUUAACCCUAAAAACAAUGUAACUAUAACAAACAUGCUCCAAAUCCACGACAACCGAAACCUACUGUUAGUUUUCUUAUCCCAAUUCCCAACAAAGUAUAACUAGUCCUUUGUCAAAAUUUCUCAAACUUAGUAGCAGCUUCAUUAUCAUGACCGUUUCACACUAUCCCAAAAUAUCAUCGUAACUAGAACAAGUAACUUUAAAUCCCCGAUUUCUUAAACAAAUUUUUGCACUAUACCCAAACAAUUAUUUGUCAUAAUUUUCACGCAGCAAACUAUCCAACUAGGUCAAUUCAACUUACAUAUUUCGUAGUUUCUCACACUAGAACUGAACAAGACAAAAAAGUCACACUGAGUAUACUAAAUUCUACAAUUCUUCUUUCGAUUUCUAAAGAAAGAAACAAACUGAGGUUUAAGCAUCUCAAUAUCGCAUAACUAUUCGAUAAAUAUACAUUAGUAACAACUUUACUUAAACUAUCUUACAGGUUUCAAUUCAAAAUUAAAAUCAAACAAUUAGGGCAAAACGAUUAUCACAGAGAGAGAGGGGGAGAGGGAAGUAAGACCUAAGUUGACGAUCGUAUUUAGUUUUGUGUUCCGCCAUUGCUCAGAGAGAGAAAGUGUUGGAGCUGUGGCUUCGCUUGCUUUACACGCACAACUGUGUUUUUUUUAGAGUGAGAGAGAGAGCUGAGUGUUCGUAAUUGAAAUGGAUUCGAAGGUGAUACACAGUUGUGUACGUAUAUCCUGCGAAAAUAAAAGUGAAGCAGACAGCCCAAACCCAAUAUUAUAUGGGCUUCAGACCCGGUUUAUUUAUUUAAUGAAGAUGUUUCUUUUUAUAAUAUUUUUUGACAUAAUUGUUAAAGAGAUACUCCCUCCGUCCCACCAGAUUCUUUACGUUAUCAGUUUCUCACACUAGAACUGAACAAGACAAAAAAGUCACACUGAGUAUACUAAAUUCUACAAUUCUUCUUUCGAUUUCUAAAGAAAGAAACAAACUGAGGUUUAAGCAUCUCAAUAUCGCAUAACUAUUCGAUAAAUAUACAUUAGUAACAACUUUACUUAAACUAUCUUACAGGUUUCAAUUCAAAAUUAAAAUCAAACAAUUAGGGCAAAACGAUUAUCACAGAGAGAGAGGGGGAGAGGGAAGUAAGACCUAAGUUGACGAUCGUAUUUAGUUUUGUGUUCCGCCAUUGCUCAGAGAGAGAAAGUGUUGGAGCUGUGGCUUCGCUUGCUUUACACGCACAACUGUGUUUUUUUUAGAGUGAGAGAGAGAGCUGAGUGUUCGUAAUUGAAAUGGAUUCGAAGGUGAUACACAGUUGUGUACGUAUAUCCUGCGAAAAUAAAAGUGAAGCAGACAGCCCAAACCCAAUAUUAUAUGGGCUUCAGACCCGGUUUAUUUAUUUAAUGAAGAUGUUUCUUUUUAUAAUAUUUUUUGACAUAAUUGUUAAAGAGAUACUCCCUCCGUCCCACCAGAUUCUUUACGUUAUUUUUCGGCACGCAUUUUGAGACUCCGAUAAAAUAUAGUUCUAUAAUGUGUUUUUUCUGGAAAAAAAUCCUGAAAAAAAGUUUGACGUUUAAACUUUUAUUCAGAAAAAAAAUAAUUUAAAAAAAUGUUAAUGAACUAUACUUUAUAAGAGCCUCAAAAUGCGUGCAAACAGUGAACGUAAGCUUCCUGCUAGGACGGAGGGAGUAUUUCAUAUUUGUUUAACAAAAAAAGUAUUUUUUUUUGACAAAAAGAGAAGAAAUUUCAUUCAGAAUUCAAAUCAGCAGAAAUACACAGAUUCACCUUGGUAGGCACAGACCACCUAUCGAAACUACGAUCAGAAUAAAUAUGAGAAACCCUAGCAAGCUUAUGGGCAGCCAUAUUGGCAGACCGUUUAAUAAAGUACAACUCUACGUUGUUAACUGAGAAAUGUGUCUACGACAUUCCAUAAUAAUCCCUCCAAACUGAGAUCUCAUGCGAGUUUUACUACGAAUUGCCUGCACAGCAACCAAGCAAUCCGAUUCUAUUACCACCUUCAACCCUUCCCAUCGCCAGACCCAGCUGAGAGCUUCUAUUUAAUUCAGAGAAAAGUAGAGUUUAUGUAUUUAUCUCUAAAAACAUUGCCUUAUUCCUGAAAAAUAAGUCAAAAACUAUUAUCUGGCCCCAUGUAACCGAGUCUGAAUAUAGUUCGAAAAUUGAUUUGAUUUGAUCAAAAAAUUUAUAUGAACCGAGAGUAAUGUGAAAUAUUGGAUUUAAUGAUGAUCUGAAACCAAUGUUCAUGAAAAAAAAAUCCUAAAUUGAACAAGACUGGAAGUACAUGAUAUCUGGAUUGCGCAUUAAUCAAAUUACAAAAAAUGAUAUAUCAAAUGGGAAAUAUCCUUAAAAAAAAUGGGAAUAUAAAUUAUAAAAUCAAAAUUAUUUAGUGGCAGGCGGUGUGUCCAUCACAUACUGGAAAAUCCGAGAUAUAAAAUAAUCUAGAAUAUGGUUAACAACUUAUUAGCAGAUCCAAACUGGCUGAAGUGCAUGACCAACCAUUCCGCUUCUACAUUGCCUAGUUUCAGUAUCUCUUGGCAGUUUACCAAGAAAAAGAGCAACUCCAGCCACUCGUCAAUCGUCAUUGUUAAGCACAAUUUAUAGUAAAAGUGUAGGGGAGGGAUUACUCUUACAAGUUACAAACAAUCAAUGGUGGAAGAACUAACGAAGAUCAAGCACAUUUAUACAUACAUACGAAAUUACUUGGUAUCAAAUCAAAAUUACGUGUUAAAAUAAUAUAUGAUCUUGAUCAUUGAGAUUUUGACGGAACUGAUCACUUAACAUAAUAUGAGAGUUCAGUCUCGCAGGAACAUUCCAUAUUUUCAUUAAUGGCUACUCCUCUACAAUGCUCUUUAAUCUCGGCCUCCACUUGCCAUUCAUGCUGCCUCGUUGAUCACAACGAGCAUAACUUCUCAAAGAGUUCUCCGUGCCACUCAUCUUUCUCGCACUAGUUAACAACAUUUGCUUCACAGCAGCAGAAGAAGCCGAUAAAGAAGCUGAGUUCCUCGACUCCUUCAUUAUCUGACUCAACUGGCUUUGUGUCACCACAACUCUAAUCCGCAUCACCCUAGUAGCACCUCCACUUUUCACAUCCUGAUCAUCAUCACUAGUUCUUUUUUCGCGUACAUCUGAAUUCUUUCGAAUAGUAAUACUAUCACAGGACUUAGUAAGUGCUGUUGUUGGCUUCCCUUUUUUCUUCUGAAAUAAACCUGUUCUUCUGGUGACUAUGCAAUUUCCCAUUUUUUCGACGAAAUAAACAAGCGGUGAUCAAAGAGAUUGAGAGAGAUUUAUAGAUGUGGAGAGAGUUGGAGUAGAAAAAUAUCAAUGUAGGAGGUGUUUAUGCAGAGAAUAGGGCAGGAAAACAGGAUGGAAACCUGAGAAACAUUUGUUUGGAUAUGAGGACUGGCACAUAGUUUGCCAAUUACCAUAAAUAAUGGCAGCCACGCUAAACUUAUAUAUUAAGUUUUGAUAUGUUAAAUAUUAUUAUAUUGUGUGAUUUCAAUUGGGAAAUUCAGUUUUGACCUGUUGAUUUAUUUAGCAUGGCAGCUCAAACAGCUACUCUG
rnacentral:lncRNA from 1 species